rnacentral:lncRNA from 1 species
UUUCCACCAUCUCCCACCGUUAUUUGUAUAUUCCCAAGCUAUAUAUACACACACAGAAGAUCCAUCUCUAUCUCAUAUCCAUCAUCGUCAUCAUCUUCAUCUCUUUUAUCAAAUUAUAUUAUCAAUACUAAAAUAUAGUUAAAUUUUAUUUUUAUUUUAUUAUUUGUUAUUUAUAUUGUAAAGAGUUUGUAAAUAUUAUGUUAAAUUUUAAAAAGUUGAUAAUCUCACCAUCCUUUUGUAGAAGGUGUUUAUAUAUCAAAAUUUUCAACUAACCAAACAAGUGAAAUAGAAAUGAAAAACUAUUUUUCAUUUUUUUUCCUUACCAACCAAACACGCAUACAUGAAAAACUAAUUUUCUUUUCUAUCGAACCAAACAACAGAAACAAGAAAAUUUCUUUUCCACAAAAAACUUUUUUCUUUAGAAAAUAGUUUUCUACUAUUUUCCAAGGAAGGAUUUAAGUGUCGUGGUACGGGGUCGUGCCGGAAACUUGCCGGCACGGUACGGCACGAUGCGUGCCGAGCAGUGCCGAUGCGUGUUGGUCAAAAAAUUUCUUGUGUGCUGACACAUAAUAGCAUGAAAUAUUUAUUUUCUUUAGCAACAAAAUAUUCUAACUAUUUAUUGUCUUUUUAUCACAUCUUUUGGACAUUUUUUGAGGAAAUUACUUACUAAUUUAAAGAAUAGAGGGUUUUGAGCUGUGCUAUCGGCACAGGGUUUGUAUCGUGCCGGCAUUUUGUUGGUACAGUACGGCAUGGUGGAUACGGCCCGUGCCGACGGACAUUUAAAACCUUGUUUCCAAGGAACCAAACAGGGCCUUAAUCAAAGUAACUUUCAGGCUGAGUAGUACAAUAAAAUUUUUUGAGUUCAGUAUGUAUUUUUAAACAUUUAUUAGUUGUCUUUUUGGUGAAAUACUAAGUCUUGUGUGUAUAACCACCUGGUUGAAGAUUUGAGUAGUGGGCUAGUUACUAUAUGCAUUUAGUGCUAUAGCUAAGGCCUAUCUCUGAGCUAAGGAUUAAAGUGCCCAUCGGCACGGGUCGUAUCCACGUGCCGUAUCGUGCCAGCAAGAUAUCGGCACAAUGUAGCCCCGUGCCGAUGGCACAACUCAAAACUCUCUAUUCUUGAAAUUAGUAAGUAAUUUUCUCAACAAAGUUCAAAAGAUUUGAUAAAAAUACAUAAUAAAUAAUUGGCAUAUUUUGUUGUUAAAAAAAAAACAUUUCAUGCCAUUAUGUGUCGGCACACAUAUAUCUUUUUGACCAGCACGCAUCGGCAUGGCCUGGCACGCAUCGUGUCGUACCAUGCCGGUAAGUUUCUGGCAUGACCCCAUGCCACGACACUUAAAUUCUUGCUCUGAGCACUCCAUACCUAGUAUUCCACUUUAGAAAGGAUGUAGAUAACGCCUAUCUUAGUAUACUCAGUUGAAUUAUAACUAUAUAUAUAUAUGCAGUUGAAGUUACAUUCAACUCUAGGAAUGUGCAUUUCUUGUAACAGGUGUUUCUUAAUGAUGGGAAAAUGGAGAGGGUCAUCUUAGCUCACCCUUCAGGUAUAGAUGGUUCUCAAGAUGCUGUUACCGAAUAUAGGGUUAUGGGACCCACCAUUAAUGGAUGCUCAUGGAUUGAGCUGCGUCCCCUUACUGGUCGGAAACAUCAGGUGCUCCUUCACUGUAUAUAUAAAAAAAAAUGCACAUUUAUCUAAAUAUCUGUCUACAUUUUCUUGCAUAUAGUUCAAAGGUAAUUUCCGCCUGCAUAUAUACAAGGUCUGCAGUAUGUUAAUUUCUUGAAAUUCAGUUUUCAUGAUUUAUUUGGCAGUAGGAAGAAUGUGCACACACUCCUUGAACUUUGAUCUUUUUGCAAACCAACCCUUUGAAUAGUAAUAUUUAAUUUGACUGGUUGACGCUCCAUUUUAUGUAACAGUAUAAAUGAUUCUUCCUUCACGUGACUUUUUUUAGCCACUUUUUCUAGUGUGUCUGUCGUUGCAUCUACCUAAAAAAUUGUUAGGUUAGGGAUGCAGCAAGAUAAGCAUAGAUUGUAUCUCUUCUAUUGUUUUCCAUCAGGAGUUUCACUAACAGAACGGCUGCAAAGUUUUUGACUAAUCUCUCAAUUCGCCUAAGAUUUUCUAUCUCUAUUUGAUGUUUUUUUUUUCCUCAUGUGGGUGAUGAUAAAGGAGAUGAUUCGGUGAAGUUUUUGUCCUCACUUCAGAUGCAGAUUGAUACAUAGAACUAUUUAGUGCUAAAUUACACUAGUCCUCAAACAAUGAGGAGCGUGACAUUGGUCCCCAAACUUUAAUUUGUAUGAUUUGUGGGUCAAGCUUUAUAAAUUGCUGCAAUCAAGUCCUACAAUCCAAUUUAGUUGGCUAAAUGUUGACGUAUCGUUGAUGUGAAAAUAUUGCGGCAUCUUAAUUAUUGUCGUGUUAUUAAUCACAAUAAUGCUACAUCACUUUCACAUUAGCAAUACAUCAAUAUUUAGUCAACUAGAUCGGACUGCGGGGACUUGAUUGCAGCAAACUUAAAAUGUUCGAGCUAUAAAUUAUAACAAAUUAAAGUUUGAAGACCAAAAUUUCACGCACCUCGUAGUUUGAGGACCAGAAGUGCAAUUUAAGCCAACCAUUAAGAGACAAAUGUUGCUUGAAAUCUGAUCAAAGGGCUGUUUACACUGUUGACCAUUUAAAUUGUCACAUGAAGAAUAUGGGUCAAAACAAAUUUCGAUAAUACCUUUUAGCGGUCAGCUUGCAAAAAGGCCAAAAUUGAAUGCUUGCAGCAGGUAACUUUUGCUUCUAGAAUUCAGUCUUAGCUAUCUAGUAGGAAUUCUAAGCUAUCAACUAUCAAUACCAAUCUAAGGAGAACUGGUGUGAAGUUCAGUUUGUGACAGAUAUUGUGCAGUUUUCCUUCAAGAAAUAGUUUCCUUUUUCACAACCAUUUAAAUUUUAAUCUUUUGGACUUUAGGAGCAACAUGAAAUCUUGCAGAGUCGUGGAGGGUUUGGCACAUUUAACAUCUAUGGAAGUCUAUACAAUAUCGACGUCUUACGAGUGUUUCCCUCGCAGCUACGAGUGCACUGUGCUGAAGCUCUUGGCACUCCAAUAGUUGGAGACUACAAGUACGGUUGGUUUGUGCACCAGAGAUGGAAGCAAAUGCCCCGACUUGACUACGCGCCAUUGAGCGGGACGCCGUAUAAAUUAAGAAGGCCAGAGGGUUUGGAGGUGCAAAAGGGUAGCGCUCUCUCCAAGGUCCCUUUGCUACACCUCCACUGUAGAGAAAUGGUGAUCCCUAACAUCGCCAAGUUCCUUAGCAGCACAGGUGAGUGGCAUGAUGAGGGCAAUCCGUGGUCUAGGGAUAAGCCGGAUCUCCUCCGGUUUGUUGCGCCGAUGCCUUCGCACAUGAAAAUAAGUUGGAAUAUUAUGUCUUCAUAUUUGGUGUGAUCAUGCCGAGUCCUUCAAGUCUUGAAGUUCAAUUUUGUAUCUAUAUUGAGCUGUCUCGGACAGCGGGUGUUUAUGUAGGAAGCAAUAUGCUAUUCUUUUUCUUUUUUUCCUUUUUCCUUUUUCUUUGUCUUCUAAAAUAGGGAAGUUCUUUGAUAGUUGCGGUAUCUCUUUAUGUACUUCUCUAUUGAAUUUCAGAUGUUUUAAAUGGAUCAUGCUGGAUCGCGUCUCGGACACAGACAUUCUGCUUGAAGAGGAUUAAAACAUGGUUUUCUUUUCGUAGUCCAGGAAAGAGGGCACUUGUCAAUUGCUCGAGACAGCGGCGGUAAGGAAUUUGUAUGCUAAUGGUUUUAGAAUUUACUGGAAGGAACAGAAGGCAAUAGAUGACCCUGUCAAAUCCACUAUACUUUGUUCUGCCAUUUUGUGGCCAAGUGAGAGAAGGUUAUUUGUUCUUGUACCUAUGUAUUUUAGGAAGUUUUUGCAGCAGCAAAAUAAUAGUGUAAUAAUUUUAUAUUAAAAUUGUGCCCAAAAGUUUCUUGUUACUUCUUUGUAGGAUGGAAGCUUUUAACUGGAUGCCAUUCUUCUACAUGUAUAAUAAUUAGGCUUUAAAUCGUCAAAGAUGUUGCCCGUUCUAUGCUUUGUUGUUCUCUACCAUCAAAAAAGUAUAGCAAAAAGUAAAAUUUUUUUGAUAAUCAUAUGAUAGUUAAAUGUAAAAUUUUGAAUCAUAGAAUGGGAAAGUGAAAAUAUGCUCGACUUCUGGGAGCUAAGUGUAACUUUUUGAACCAUAUAAUAGCAUAGUGAAAAUUAGUUUCAAGUUAUAACUAUAGGGGGGUGGAAAUUAAAGUUUUUUUUUUUUGAGAGAUAGGUAGCACGCUUCGUUCAUUUUAUUUAGAAAUAAACUUAGCUGGAAAUGUGAAUCAACUAGGAUUCGAACUUGAGUCUCGUUACCAACCAUCAUGCCCUUUACCACUUGCUCUAGGGACGGUUGGUGGGAAAAUUAAAGUUUUAUGAGCAAUGCUACAUGAGUAAUGCUAUAUAUACACUCCAUUUGAAUGUAUGUUCUACACCUUUAAUAUCAAUAGGUGAGUGUUUCACCAGGUUUUGAUAAUCAAAGCUUUAGUUUAUUUAAAAAAUAUAGUAAAAAAAAACAAAGAAAUGAGAGCGCUUUUAAUUUCUUUAGCUAUUGUCUAUUUCCUUGAGAAGUGAAUGAUUUUAAGCUUUGAUCGUGCGUAAAAGUUCAGAGUUUGGAAAAAAAAAAGAAAAAAAAAAAGAAAAAAGAGCACGCUGAAAAAGUUUACCAAAAGAGAAAUGCUUCAAUAUAUGAGUUAAGUUAGAAUACUCUCAAAAGCACCAAGGGGUGGUGCUUUUACGUUUGUAACCAUUGGAUGAAGAGAUAUAAGGUUGAGAUGAUGGUCGUAGGUGGUGGUAGGUGGAAUAGUGUUUGAUCUAAGGGGUAUUAGUAAUUAAGGAGUAGAUCCAAAGUCUAGAAAUUUAGAAGUAUCAAGGGGUUGGUGCUUCUAAAAGUAUUCUAGCUCAAUUCAAUAUUGUGGCUCAAUUAAAUCUAGCAGCUCAUAUUUUAAGAAUCAAAUUGACUUUACGCAGUAGCAACUUGCUCAACAGGUUACCACUCAAAAUCAAUAGUAAGGAUAACAUUAGAAAAUAAAUACUAGCCAAUUACCAACUGUGCUAAACCCUAACUAAAUAUUUGUUUCCUUAUUUAAUUUUGUUACUUACCAAAUUAGAUAGUGGCUAAUUUGAUAAGUAACAAACCUUAAUAAAAUUUAAUUUAAAAUUUAAUUUGAGCUUAACUUUAUAAUUGUAUAGAUUAAAUUCAAAUUUAAUUUUACAUUUAAUUUUCAUAAAGAAAAAUUAUGUUUAAAUGAGUAGUACAUUUCAAUUCAAAUUAUUAAUUUAAUAUUAAAAUAACAUGAAAGUUCAAAUAUAUUAAUUUAUUUUAAAUUGUAAGUUAUGUUGUACUUAUAAACCCAACUUUUAUUAUUUAUUUAAAUAAAAGGCUUCUAUUUUUAAAUUAAAUUCAAACACAGCAACACUCCAAUGUCGUAUUACCACCAAAUUAAGAGAAAAAAAAUGAUAUAUCACUUAAAAAUUAAAAGUAUAGAUUAACUAUUACUUUAAAAAUGAAAGCAAAAAAGAUCGGAUUUCUCUGUCAAAAGAAAAAGAAAAAACAAAUGGACAUGGGUUUGGAGGAAGAUGAGAUGCUGUAGAUGGAAAAUUUACAAAAAUGGAAGGGGAAGAUGGAAUGUGGGACAUUAUGGAAAUGAAAAUGGGAAUAGAAAUUUACAAAAAUGUCAUUGAUGCUAACCCUACAUUAUGAGAAAAUUCUUUACCCUCGGAAUGAGGGUGAUUGGUACCCAAGGCAAUAAAAACCGGUCAUCCUCUAAAAUAAAAUGCAUCCUUAUCUUUCAUUCUAAAAAAAUUAAGGAUUAAAAUUUGUUGGUGUAUAUGAGCAUUGUUCUUGGCAAAAAUGUCUAUUUCUGAUAAUAAUAACAAGUAGCCAUAUAUCUUUUAUAUUAAUUUAAUUUCUUUAGUUUUAUGGAGUGAAGCAUAUAACUACUUAAUUAUUAGUUUUUAAAGAAUAAAAAUUGCAUAACCUGUGCGAAUUUUCGGAAUUGAAGAUAUGUUUUAAAUUUCGAAGCUCAUGUACUUUUAAAAGUAUAGGAACUCGAUGUACUUGUGAAUUUUUAGCAGUCGGAUUGCCUCAAGAUUUGUACAGUAUUAAUAAACGAUAUUUAAUUGACCACACCGUUAAUAGUGCUGCACGAAUCUUGAAGCGACCUGACGGCUAAAAAGUAAACUUCUGAUAUGAUUAUAAUUUAGUUUUAUGUAUCCCUCACUUAUCUAAAAAAAUAUAUGUAAUCUCUAAGUCAGCAAAGAUUAGAUACUUUUUGUGACUAAAGAUAGCAAAUUCUUCUACGCACAAUUGAAAAAAGAAUCACGCUCAUUUAGUUUGCCGAUUUGCGUGCUCAGAAAUCCAAAAAUAAUAUGAUAUAAUAUGAUAUAUAUAUAUAUAUAUAUAUAUAUAUAUAUAAGGGAAUUCGAUGCAUCAUUGGACUCUGCAUGUGACCGCAUUAUAGAGUUCCACUGAUCGUGAUCAACUGGUCAUAAUUAGUAAUGCACAGAAACAACCGCACCAUCAGCAUGACGAAAACAUUGCCCUUCUAAAAAAUAAUACAAGCGUAAAUUGAUAUUCUUAAAAAUUAAGUUCAUAAUAUUCCCAAAUUGAUAUUCUUAAAAAGUUCAUAAUAUUCCCAUGUCCCUUAUCCUUGCCUUGUGGUCAUGUAAUGUAGGAGCUAAUAACUGAUCAGUAUCAAUUAAGCUAUCUGACUUAAGAGCAUCUUCAUUAUAUAUCUCUCUUCAUGUAGAAGUUGUUAUAUAUUUUCUUUUUUUCUAAAAAAAUUAAUUUUCUUCCAAAAUUCUAAGGUAACGUUUGCUUUGGGAACAAAGGGGGGGAUAAGUUCUUGUUCCCCCUUUGUCCCAAACAAUGCGUUUGGUACCCGAGAAUAGUAAUUUUCGAGUUUCUGAAAUAAGUCGGUAUAAGGCUGGAACUGUUGUUCCAUCUUUUUUCCGGAACAAACUUGUUCCCAGGUGAGAAUAAAGUUAAUUAAAGUUUAAAAAUAAUUUUAAUUAUGGUAUUAAAUAAUUAAUUAAUUUAAUUAAUUAAUUAAAUUAUUAUUUAUUGAUUAAAUAAUAAAAUAAUUUAUUAGUUAUAAUUUUUAAUUAAAUUAUUAUUUAAAUUAUUAUUAAUAAUAACUUUAUUUAUUUAUUUAUAAGUUUAUAAUUAAUUAAUUAUUAAUUUAUUUAUUAAUUUAUAAUUGACUAAUUUAUCAUUAAUUUAUAUUUAAUUAAUUAAUUUAUUAUUUUUCAUAAUUAUUAAUAAUUAAUUAAAUAAUUUAAUAUUAAUUAAUUAAUUAAUUAGUAAUUUAUAAUUAUUAAAAAUUGAUUAUUAUCCAUUAUUUAAUUUGUUAUUAAUUAAUGUAUUAUUCUUUAUAAUGAGUAAUAAUUAAUUAGUUAAUUAAUAAAUUUAUUAUUAUUUAAUUAAUUUAUAAUUUAAAAUUAUUUAUAAAUUAUUAUUUAUUUUAUUAUUAAUUUAUUUAUUUAUUAUUUAUAAUUAUCAUUAAUUUAUUAUUUAUACUAUAUUACCUAAUUAAUUUAUUAUUAAUAGUUUAUUAUUUAUUAAUAGUUUAUUAUUUAUAAUUAUUUAUUAUUAAUUAGUUAAUUUAUUCUUAUUUUUAUUAUUUGUAAAUUAAUGUAUUAUUAUUAAGUAAUAUUUUGAUGUUAAUUAAUUAGAUAAAAUAAUUUUCAUUUAAAAUUAUAAUUUUUAUUCGUUUUGUUCUAGUCUAAUUAACCAUGCAAAUACUAUUUAUCUUAUUUUUAAGAACAAUCUAAUUUUCAUCGAAAUAUAAAAUUAAUUUAAUUUCUACUUAUAUCUGAACUUGUAUUUAUUCUUAAAAUAAAUAGUUUUAAUUUAUACCCGAGCUAAACACAGUAGGUCUUAAUAGUUCUGAGUCCCCACCAACGAGGAAUUCUACACUAUCACACUUGUACCACGUCAUCAAUAACAAGCCAAUCACAUUUCUUCUUUUCAAACAAAAGUACAAUAAAAAUAUUUUUUUACAAUUAUGAUGGGACAUAUAUUCUUAAAAGAUUAAUUUGAUUGAUUUAUUACGCCACGUCAUUAAUAUACCUGUUGCAUUCUAGAAUUUUUCCACACCAACACAUGCAUUCCUUCGUGAAGCGUCAACCACGAGUGGGUAACCGUACCCAAAUAUCAUCGUAAAAACCAAAUAUCAGGGAUAUGUGAAGCCAAAUUUUGGCGACCAGAGUCUUCCAAAGGAAAUUCAGGAAGAGGGACUUAAUUGGUUGCUGAGUCAACCGCAGAUACAGUAAAAUAUUGGAGAUGACGUGGGAUCCUCUUGUGAAGAAGAAGAUCGAGGAAGAUAAAAGAAAGCAAACUACACAGUUAUAUACAUAAUAAAUAUACAUAUAAAACAAUUAUAAGAGAUCAUUAUUAUUCUAACUCUAUAAAUCUUCAUCUAAAUAUCAACAAUCUACAAACACUAGCAACUUUGUGUUCUUAAAAGUAUAGAGGCACAGUCCUCUAUUUCUCUCUUUUUAUAUAGAGUUCAGCUACUAUACUCUUAUGAGUACAAUCGCCCUCAUACUUAUAAGUCAUUUUCGAUGAUAGAACUUCCAAAUUGACGAUCCAUAUAUUAUCUAAGAGUAUUUAAAAUUUUUAGAAAUCAAAUUUUAUAAUUUUUCGACAUCAUUUAUCUUACGAUCAAAAAAUUACAAGAUUGACAAUUUUUAACGGCUGGUGUAGAAUACUUGCUAGUUUACUGGUGUAAAAGAAUUGUAAUAAGUUGAAUUUUGAUAGAAAAUUCUAUUCACUAUCUAGAUAAAUAUCAACAACUCCGAUUUUAAAUUGAAGGAUCCGAUCAUCCAUUUCUAGUAUGUCGUUCAAUUUUGACUGUUCAUUUUAUGUCCGCUUGAUGAAUUUUACUAUAAUUUAGAAAAAUUACGAAAUUUAUUUUUUAAAAGUUUUAAAUAUUUUAGAUCAUAUUUAACUGGAUCGUCGAUUUGAAAACUCUGUUAUUGAAAAUAACUUAUGAGCACGUACGAAGGAUUCGAUACUCAUACGAGUAUAUUAACCUAACUCUCUCUCUCUCUCUCUCUCUCUAUAUAUAUAUAUAUAUGGUUGAUGACGUUGCCGGAUAAUCCACUGGGUGGUGGAAAACCACUGCGGAAUUGCAUGCUUUGUCGGUAGACGAUGAUAGGUGGCUGCGCCAACUCUGAACUCCAUUCGCUGUUGCCCUAAUAUGUAAUGUGUUGUAUUAACAUCAACCUAUUGCUUUGACUACUAACAUAUAUGGGCUUUUUUCUUUUAUUGUUUUUCGUUUUUAAUAUUUUACGUGGCUUCGAAACUUCGCGUCCCGCUAUAGUGCAAGCCCCACCACAGGGCAGUGCACAAGAUGUAAGGAUAAAUGAGUGUAGAGAAUAUUUUUUAUUUGUUAAGUGGAUGAGAAAACCAUCCCACCCUCCUCCAAAUUCUCAAUAUAUAUGCGAUGGUGUUUUUAUAAAAUAAGUAACUUAAUUUAAUUAUCUAACCCUACGUCUACUACGGAGUUUUUUUAACAUUUAGUUCGUUCAAAUAGUCUUUUAAAAUUUAUAUUUGCAGAAUUGGUCUUCCUGCAACGCGAGCGCCAUGCUGGAUGGGGGAGGGCCAUGUUGGAUUUAAGUUGAACAUGGUGAUAGUCACUGUAUUUAAACACAGUGAUUGUAUUACUGCUUAUAAAUACAGUAAAUCAAUCGCUGUGUGAUUCACCACAUUUUUAACACGUAAAUCAAUCAUCGUGUUCCUUAAGUUUAAACCUUCUACUGCACUUCUCUUUUCUCUUCUCCCGAACACUCAUCCCUCUCUCUCUCUCUCUCUCUCUCUCUCUCUCUCUCUCUCUCUCUCUCUCUCUCUCCAUGAGCCUCUUCUCCUCCAUGUAAUAUACUGAAUUUCAGUAUAUCGUACCGAACUUUGCUUAUAUUGAACAAAGUGCAGUCAAAAAAUGAAUAUGAAAGUAUUCUAGAAGAGUUUAAAGGUUUUAGAAUAAUUAGAUGUCAAUUGGAGCUAAACAGCACAAAAAUAGAUUUUUUUUUAGCAAAGGAAUCAGAGUCAUCAGACCUUUGGGAUCCGGAUGUUGGCAAGGGGAUCCUGAUUCUAAAACUACUGUUCAGACUCCAAACUUCAUUAUCUGAUCCUCAGGAAGGAGAUACGGACCUUCAGCUUGCAAACUCAGUCCAAUCAUUCAGGAUCUGGACCUUUACUAUGUAACAGGCAGAAUCAGACAUUCGGGAUCUGGACGUACCCCAACUAGUGUUAGAACUGAUAGAGAAAAAGUAUGAAGUAUAAAGAUGAAAAAGGCUUCAAGGCGUGUAGCGAUGCCACUCUCCUUAAGAUUUAAUCUAUCUCCAUCGUUCAAACAAUUUGGUGUGCACUGGGUCAACGAACAACCUCCAAGGAUACAAUGAAGCACAAAUUUUAAUUGCAUUUUCACUCACGAAGUCAUGCCUUUUAGCAUUCACUCGAUGAAGUUAUUAAAAAAAAUAGAAUUAGAAAAUAAGAAUGGAAUUAUUAUAAAUGAAGACUUUUCAAAUGUUUGUACUUCAACAACCAAUACUAUGGGCUUAUAUAGACCACGAACGGGUGCGUUGAAGUGACACUUUAUGAAUGGGUGUUUCGUGAAGUGACCUUUCAAUUGUGACUUUUCAUUUGAUCAUAACUAAUUAGUUAUAUAAGUCAAGUUCAAUGAAUUUAAGAAUUAAUUCCAACGGACAUAUGCUUGAAGAGGCAUACUAUAAAGUUGUGUCUUUUCAUACUAAUCCAUUCACCAAAAGUCAUUUCUUUUCACAUUCAUUCACUAAGAGUUGCAUCCCCUCACUAAAGGUUGCAUUCAUUCAGUAAGGAUUGCAUCCAUUUACUAAAAAUCAAAGAACAAAAUAUAUUAUUUUAAAAUUUUCCUUACAAUUCCCCACCAAAUUUUAAAAUACAUAAAAAUACAUAAAAAUACAAAAUAAAACAAAAUAAAAAAUCAAAGAUAAAAAAUUCUUGACAACUUGACAAAAUCAUAUGCAUAGGUGUAGGUGUAUUAAAACUUGAACCUACAUUUAGUGAAAAUACAUGAAAGUUAGUGAUAAUUGAAUGGUAGACAAGAUUUGAACCAAUAAUUAUUUUUUUGACUAACCGGACAUAUCUCACACAUAGAAACUUAUAAUCAAUCGAAUGCUUUAUUUUAUUGCUGACACUUUAUGGCCUUGUAUCUACAUCCUAUUUUAUGAAUGCUGUUAAAGUCAAGCCCUUAACUCUUAAAAGCGGCCGCACUUCACAUUCAUAUCGGUAGAUUCUACCAAAAGUGUUCCAUAUUUAACACUUCAGUAAAUACUAUUGUAGGUCUAUUAAGAACUUUAUUAGCUCAACCUUCCCUUUCAAUACGAAUACCAAGCACUUUACUUGGGAUGAAAAUUUUAUAUUAUAGUGCUUGCAAUCACUCCAUAUAAUGUACUUUGUGUCAUUGAAUUUAAGACUUGAUGAUGUUUCAAGUGUUAAGUCGAGUUUUCAUUAUUGGCGAUUUUGUAAUGUGGGCUUGAGACCCAUCCCCGUCGAUAUCUUGAAUAUCAAUUAUCUUGGAAGUCCUUUGGUCAACGGAUCCGCAAGAUUUUGGCUUGAUCUUAAUCAAUGGUAAUUAUGCCAUCUGAUAUCAGUUGUUUUACAUAGCUAUGUCUUAAAUCCAAUAUUCUUGACUUUUCAUUAUAUGUAUUACUAUAUGCUCUUGAGAGCGUAGCCUCACUAUCGCAAUGUAGUGAUAUUGGCGGCAUUGGUUUUGGCCAAAGUGGAAUCUCAUACAAUAAAUUUUUUAUCCAUUCCGCCUCCUUACUAGCAGAUGCUAGUGCUAUAAAUUCUGCUGCCAUUGUAGAGUCCACUAUACAUGUCUGUUUGGAACCCCAAGAAAUCGCACGUCCACCUAACAAAAAUAUCCAUCCACUUGUGGAUGCAUGAUCUUCUCGAUCUGUUAUCCAACUGGCAUCUGUAUAGCCUUAUCCACUAUAGAAAAUUUCAUAAUCCAUUGUCUUUUUCAAAUAUUUUAAAAUUCUGUAAAUAGCAUGCUAAUGUAUAUUACCCAGAUUACUAGUAAAUCUACUUACUUUAUACUAGUAAAUCUACUUAAUUUACCAACAGCAUAUGCAAUAUCAUACCUAGUACAAGACAUAACAUACAUCAAACUUCCAAUAAACUUAGAAUAUUCUAGUUAAUUAAUUGAUCUACCAGUGUUGCAAACUAGUUUUAGAUUAGAAUAAAAAAGAGUGGAUACUGGAGUACAAUCAAAAUAACCAAAAUUUCUAUGAAUCUUUUCAAUAUAAUGAGACUCGGAUAAAAAUAAAUUAUUAUUUUUAUGAAUAAUUUUAGUUUCCAAAAUAAUAUCAGCCUUGUAGAUACCUUUCAUAUCAAAAUUACAAGAUAAAAAGUUCUUAGUAUUUUCUACUUGCUGAAAAUUAGCAUCAAAAAUUAACUUGUCAUCAACAUAUAAACAAAUAAUAACACCUUUACUAUUUUAAAAUUUACUAUAAACACAUUUAUCAGAUUGAUUAAUUUUAUAACCAUUGGAAAGAACAAUCUGAUCAAACUUUUGAUGCCAUUAUUUAGAUGCUUGUUCAAGCCCAUUCAACGACUUAACAAGUGUACACACUUUGUGCUCUUGUCCAGGAACUACAAAACCCUCAAGCUAUUCCAUAUAAACUUCUAUCUUUGCACACAUGCCUUUUGGAACCCGAAUCAAUCCACCAAGCUCCGUCAUCUUUGAGAAUGUUAGCCUCGGAUAUCAUAGCCACAAAAUUUAUUUUGGAAUCUAGUGCAUUUUCCUUUUUGAGGAACCAACAUUCUUUCUUUUAAUGACCCGGUUUACCAUAAUGAAAACAUGCACUUUUCCUUUUCUUAUUUGUCGUGUGGUUGAUUGGAUGCUUGACUCUCUUUCGAUUUUCUUUCGUGGGUUGACCAAUUGAUUGAGAAUAUGUUGAAUUUCAUGUAAUUGAUCAAGAACGGAUCUACUAUCAACCAUUUUAUAGUUAUUAAAUUUACUAACAAGAAACUUCUUACUUAUGGCAUUCUCAGAUUUGUCUUUUUAUUCAAGACCUUCCUAUAGUUCUUUAGCCGUUUUCACAUUUUGGUAGACAUCGAAAAGCGCAUAUGACAUAGCAUUUAGAAUGUUGCCUCGGCAUAUAAUGUCAUCUUCAUCCCAUUUUUGUCUUCUACGAGUUUGUGCAAUAGGUUCAUCAUCAUUUUCUCUUGGUCUUGGAGUAGUGAGGAGAUAAGCAACUUUGAGAGUCGACAGAAGGAAAAAAAAAAAAAUUCUUCUACCAGCGCCUUAGUCAAACCAAUUAAUAAUUUAUAUAUAGAGUAAAUUUGUUUCAUGGUUUGUAGAAACCCUGAANAACUUCACGCCAUCAAAUCUUUCUAGUCUUAUAAAGUUUGUUGCCAUCUCUUAUAGAGUAGCAGUCAACAUUUUCGGAAUUAAGCCAUAUGAUUGUUAGAACAGAUAGAGAAAAGGUCUGAAGUAGAAAGAUGAAAAAGACUUUAAGGCGUGUAGCAAUGCCACUCUCCUUAAGGCUUAAUCCCCCGCAGCAUUCUUGCUCACUCCACCUCCUCCACAGAAGAGAAAAACUCCUUUUCCUUUUUUCUUUCACACUCUAACCCUAACUUCUCUCUAACGGUGGACUAACGGUGGAAAACUCAGUAGCACCAAGCGCUUGGUGCUAUCGAUAGUAUCCCAGCCGGACUCUCUCUCUCUCUCUCUCUCUCUCUCUCUCUCUCUCUCUCUCUCUAUAUAUAUAUAUAUAUAUAUAUAUAUAUAUAUAUAUAUAUAUAUAUAUAUAGAGUUGGGAUAGAAUACAUUAGAUAAGUAUUUGGCCAUUUUGCUAUCAAGUUUUUAAUCUUAGAUGAGAAAUUGUAAGAUUAUGAUAAGAUUAGUCCUUAGGGUUGAGUGGGGCCCCCUAGGGUUAAGUAGUCGUCACUGAGGGUAUAAUAUUAUAAAUCUAAUGGUUAGAAAUGAUCAAAGGAAUUGAUUCAAAGGAUAAAAACUUAAUAGCAAAAGCGGCAAAUACUCUUAAUAAUAUUCUAGCCCAACUCCAUUAUUAUAUAUAUAUAUAUAUAGAGAGAGAGUCGGCUAACUAUUUUUUAUGAGCAUUGGUUCUCUUAUACUCAUAAGUUUUCGGCCCUUAGAUUUAUUCCAUGAUCAUUUCCACCCGUUAAUCAUACUAUUCAACAACUAUCCACUAACUAGGGACCACUAUCAUUCUAAGUGGGGACCACAUCACCUAACCAGCACAUCCCAUCAAUCAACGGGUUAAAAUUUAUGAGUACAAGAGCGUUCUAUACUCAUAAGAGUAUAGUAGCCCCAACCUCUAUAUAUAUAUAUAUAUAUAUAUAUAUAAUAAUAUUAUAUAUUUAUACAGUAUAUUAGUAUAUUAUAGGUAUAUUAUUGAUAUUGGUCACGGCCCGAAAAUGCCCAAUACAUUUUUUUUUUUUGAAAACCUUGACCCAAAGGAAUGCCUUCACCCAAAGGAUGACAGACCUGCCACAAAUAUAGGAGACCCAUUGUUCAAACGGACAGAGCAUCCCCUGUAUUUGCACGACAUCGCACAAGCACAAGUACAACCACAAUCAUUCACUACACAACAUACUAAUACAUUUCCACAAGAAAACUCUUUUAAAACUAUUUUCCACUCGGAAACCUUUUCUUUAAAGACACUAUCACGAUGGGUAGAAAAUUAUUUUUACAACUCACAACCAGUUAUAAAAGCCAUAAUAUUUAACUUUAUAAAUCCAUAAACAUUCAACCGAAAUAAAACCACUAAACCAUAAAUGUCUAAGUUAUUUAUUUUGAAUAAGUAAGGAUAGAAACUAAACCAAUUCAAUCAGGUCAGAAGCUCUAUCGAUCGCUACUAAUGUGUCUCACGCCUCGUCACAACCCUCAUCGCCCGCAUCACCUGAAAAAUGGUGGGGGGUGAGAACAUAUAAACAUAUCUCCCCUCCCAGUGGGUACCGCAAGCCAACGAAGACGAGGAGUACACACUGAUACAUAGAGAUGUCAACGGGUCGGAUUCGGGGCGGAUUUUUUAAAAACCCGAACCCGAAUCCGACUCCAAACCCGAGACCCGAACCCGAACCCGAACCCGAACCCGAACCCGACGGAUUUUAAAAAUCCAUAUCCAAACCCAAACCCGACCAAAAAUCCGAAACCCGAACCCGAACCCAAACCCGAAAAUUUGAACCCGAAACAAUUAUUUCUUUUUUCAAUAUUUCAAAAUAUAUUAUAUUAAAUCUAAAUUUUUAAAAUACAAAUUCAAAUAUAACAUCAAAUUUUAUAUAUAUAUAUUAUAUAUAAUACAAAAUAAAUUCGGGUUCGGGUCGGGUUCGGGCCGGUUUCGUUUUCGGGUCGGGUACAAUCAAAAUCCAUAUCUGAAUCCAUAUCCGUCGGGUUUCUAUUUUUUAUAUCCAUAUCCGAACCAUAUCCAUAUCCAUCAGAUAUAUCCGUUUCAUUCGGGUUCGGGUUCGGAUAAAAUUUCGGGUAUCCAUACCCAUUGACAUCCCUAUCGGUACAAGAAGAGAUAAUCAAAAUUAUGAGCAGAUAUCACAAAUAUAGUAGCAAUAAUACCGGAAGGAAAGAGAACAGUAAUAGAACAUAUAACUACCACUACUGUAAGGUAGAACAGAAUGCAUACAUCGAUAUCAUAACUACAGUAGCAAUGAUGCAGGGGGUAAACAACAGUACAGAGGAAUAUAACUAGCCGCUAUUGUAAUACAGAACAAAGUACAAGUAUGUAUCAACCGGACGAUUAGUCCCAAAAAUACCCAGAAGCCGCCAUAUCGGUCCGAAGACCUCAGGCUAUGCCACUACCGCUCUAACUUGUAUAUGACCCUAGCAUAAGCUCCUGAGUCUAAAGGCAUAUGAUCCUAGCAUAAGCUCCUGGGUCUGAAAGGCAUAUAAUCCUAGCAUAAGCUCCUGGGUCACGGGUCGGAUGUACGACCACUUUUUCGAAAAAAAUACCUUCCCGCGGUGGAUCAAACCGCUGGUGUAUGUGAAAUGCAUAUGAGCAGUGGCGAUCGAUGCAAUAUGCUUAAUAACCCACUGUCGGCGGAUAGCCAAAGUAAAGUCCAACAAAGAGUAACCGACCAACCAGAUCAACCUCUAUCUCAAGGAUAGAACAAUAUCAGAGUAACUGACUAACUAGAUCAACCUCUAUCUAAAGGAUAGAAAAAUAUUAUCGACCAAUCAGAUCAAACAGAGCAAGUCAUGCAAGACACUAGAAAUGUCACCGACCACGAAGUCAACUAAUAUAAAAUCAUGUCACGUAUAAAUACGUGUGUCACCGACUAUAAGGUCACCAAAGUCAAGAUCGUCUACUAUAGACAUGUCAUGGAUGAGUCAAUCAUCAGGAAUACCGCUCUACUAUAAGAUCAUGACCAUAUGAAAUAGAAGUACCCGUAGAACAACGAACUACGAAGUCAAGUGGUAUACGAAAGCUCAAUCAACAUCAAGAAAUGAAAAGAGGUAGAAAAGGUAGAAAUCACUGAGUAGGCACCACUUUACCGACUUCGGAUCGAAAUACCCACCUGUAUGAUAUCGUGCUUGUCUCUGGCUGUGGAAGAUCAUCAACCGGACCUACGGAGGGUCCACCGGAUUAGUAUCUAACCCACAUAUAGAAAAUACUAAACUCACAACCCUACAAUUAAACCUACAAAAAUCGGUUUUCCAAAAUCGAUUAACGUAACUCGCCGGAAGUCCUGAAAGUUGUCCCGGGCUUCCACCGGGACCCACAAAUUGUCCUGGAACUUACCGACUCAUGCCACUAGUCACCCGCUGCCACAAAAAACCAUAUUAAAGGUGUCCUGGCAGCAAACACGAAGGCUCACAUCGAAACAAUUAUUGACGGAUAACCGUUCUGAUUCGGGUUCCCGAAAGUGUCGAUUUCGGCAUCGGAACCCACCGUUGUUCACCCGUCGUCUCCGAACCUCCGAAAUGACGUAAGUGACCAGCCAACCAGGCUCAACGACAAAGUAUAGUAUACUCUAGUAUCGUCAGAAGAAAUCCGAACCAAAACUGCGUUCUGUUGGCGAAUUUCGUUGAAAAACGCACCGAAAAUCAAUAUUCAAUUUCCACGAAGGGCAUCAGACCUUGGACAAUCAGUCCAGAGGUCAUCUGCAGCCUACAUAUACUGCCCACAGCACCCAUGGAGUGCACAAUUGCACAAAAGCCCUUACUAUUCCAUAAAAUCACAUUAUUUUAUGUGAUUUAUCGGAUUUUAUGGGUUGUUACAGCAAACCGAGAGCUUUUGAGGUAGGCCGAGACAUGUACUAACAGGUCUCGACAUGCAGGAGGUUGUGUUCACGAUUCGGAGCACAACCGUCCACUGUGGAGAGCGCGGAAGCGACUUGAAAAUCUGCGAACCCUGCGCGCUGAAACUAAAAUGCAUAUAAUUCACCAAUCCGAGGCUCGUUGACCCCAAAUGAGGUAAGCACUGUGAUUAACACUGAUCGACGAUAACCGUGCUCACCUUCGGAGGCAUCGGAACAACCUUGGGUCGUCGGAAUAGUGGAGACAACCCAAAAACUCCCAAAAACAGCUUCAUUUAAGUUUACCGGGCAGAGGGGGCCUAGGGCGCGGCUUGUGGUGGACGCACCGGCGGCAGGCGGGUGCAGCCGGCAGGGGGAGGUUGGGACGCGCGUAGGCCGGCGCCGGAAGGCGGCGGUGGCUGCCGGCAAUGAUGCCCUAGCCGCACGGGAUGAUGGAGAGCUCAGCUCCAGUCCGACCGGUAGGGGGCUCCAGUGGCGGGAGUGCCGGCAGCGGGCGGGUGCGGCCAACUAGGGAGAGCCGGCACGCACAUCGGCCGGCGGCGGGAGGCAACCGGAGGAGCGAACGGCGAUGCCCUAUCCCACACGAGGUGAGGGGAGCUAGGGCUCAGCUUCUCCGGCAACGGUGGCCAAGGGGCGGCGCCGAUCGGCGACGGGGGUCUCCUGGGGUCGCUGGGAGGGGAGGCAGGGCACCAGGCGACGGUGGCGACGACGCGCGACAUCGCACGACCGCCCGAGCUUUGUUCGGUCAGAGGAUCGUCACGGCGGCGCCCUGGACGCGUGGCGGCGGUGGCGACCACUCUGAUCGGGCACGAGAAAGGCCGAGGACUAAGAAGAGGGUUCAAAAGGCCUCGGGGUGCCGUGGGGAAGCCAGCACAAGGACUCCUACUCCGCGCAUGCCCUAGUUCCACCCCGCAAGUCACAGGGCCGCGGCGGCGCACGGUGGGGGCGCGACUGCUAGGGGAAAGCCUUGACGGAGGUCUGGCGACGCCGACUGUCAUGCCCUGGAUUCCUCGUUUCCCCGGGCACGCUAACAGACUCGCCGUAUACAUAGAAAUUUUCCCUGUAUAAAGCGAAGCUGUACAAGAACCUGAAAUAANAUCUGAAUUAACUAGAUCCUAACGACCUAAUGCUAAGCUUUGAUACCAACUUAAUCUGUCACGCCCCGAAUUCCUCGUUUCCCCGGGCACGCUAACAGAUCCGCCGUGUACAAAAAAAUGUUUCCUGUAUACGGAGUGAAGCUGUACAUGUAUCUGCAAUCAUACAGUACUACAACCCAGUAGCAUAGAGCUGCUAGAAAGAAACAAAACAUAAAUAAAACUGAAGUUCACUAUACAUACAUAACAUCCAGAUGUACAAAACGCUCGCCCAAGCGAGAUACAACAUAAAUAUGUAUAAGAACUCAAAACUACCACUACCUGUAGCUGGUAUACUCUAGAUCAGCAACAACUGGGAAGGGAUCUAACUGGCAACUCCCUUUUCACGGUCUGAAAUAGCAGCAGCAGCAGCCGCAGAAGAAGGCUCUGCAAAAGAUUCCAACAACUGGGCGUGAGAACUACUGCAAAAAGAAGUAGUCCUCAGUGGGUACCGCUACCGACCUCAACGGCUCGCCCACUAAGUUUACAGAUAUAUGCUCAAAUGAUAGUAAAAAAACUGGAAAUAAUCUACAGCUACAUGCCACUAUACUAUCAUGAUUCGACACUACUAUCUGUAGAAUAAAACAAGCUCAGACCCAAACUCACUAGGGACUGUAAACAUAUCCGUCCCAGGGAUUGUGAGCACACCCGUCCCGUCUGUCGAAGCUAUACGGCUACCUCCACACUAAACAGUCUGUGGAGAGCAAGUCCAACCAGGACACAAUGACACCAACGCAAACGCACAAAGCCCGAGUCCGGAGUGGCACUCGUGGGCACUACGCAACCGAGUAUGCAAGUGUAUCUCUGUCGAUCUCAAUCAGGCUCUCACAGGCUAUAGUCAAAUAAAUAUGGUCUAACGGGUCUAACAACCAAACCCACGUGCCCUCGGUACAAUCUGAUGCAAAAACAGUAAUCUGGGUCAACCGAUAACCCCGACGGCACCCGACAGUCCGAAAGAGCCUAAACACUGCUGUAAAAAAAUAAGCUCGGCAUCUCAACACGAGCGUAAAUACAUUCUAAACUACCCGGAAUAUCCACCACUCUCAAAUUGUGGUGACACCAACAAACUAGGCUCAUAGAGCUAAAUCUGAUAGUUUAAGCAUAUGACGAUGUAAAAUCGGCAGUUUUCUCCUAAGUCAAAACCAAGUCCAACAUGUAUAUUUAAUCAAUAUUUCAAGCUCCCAAUUUAGAUUCCACUAAGCAUGUAAAUCAUAAAUUUGAGCUAAUUACAUUAAUCAAACCGAUAAUGAUACAUGUCGACAAUAUUACUUAGAAGGAAAAUCCACCGAAUUCGGUAAGUAUCACAAUUAACCCACCUCUCGCGCAACUCCACGGCAGCAAGAAGGUCACGAAAACACUGGUAAUCUCUGUUGUAAUCACCACAGGACCAGUAGUAAACCUCCUCAAAGAUCUGAACGUCAAAACCCAACAAAUUACAUUAUAACCCAAAAAUUCAGCACUUAAGCUUAACUUUCCUCAAUAUCAAUGUCAACUUCACCUUCUAAUACUCAAAUCUGGUGAAGUUAGGUUCCAAAUCCAGGGGAGAGUGAUAGCACACAAAGCUUAGGUAGCAAUUCCAGCUCCCUCCAAAGAUUGCAUCAAGAAAGUCCAAGAAAACUCACAAUCAGGUCUAAACCACCAGCAGCAAAGAGAAACACGAAAUUGACCAAGCUAACCUCAAUCAAAUUCUGUCAAAUUGGGCUCCACGGAUUCCUCUUGAAGUCUAAAAUCCAACAAACCAAGUUUUACUGCAAUCCGACCUUCCUACGGCGCACACGAGCCGAAACGCCGAAGGUCGCUGCUGGAAAUCUGCAAAAUCAGCACUCCUCAAGCUUAGAAUUGUGGGUUUUGGUGUAAAUUGGGAAGUUUAGAAGGGUUGAAAUGCAAAUUAUGGGUUCUCUGUGAAGAAGGGAGGAAAAGAGCUCACCAGGGACGUACUCCCACUAUUUAUAGGGUGAUAGGAUGAUCCAAUAAACCCCAGGAACAAAAGCUGUUAAACUUCUCACUCUGCAGGAACGGCCACUUUCGGACGCCCAGAACCCCUUUCUGGGCGUCCGAAACAUCCAGGCUGCACAAAUGCUCCCCUUAGGUUCCUCCGCCGGCGGUCUGCUGCGCUCAUAUCCGGCUUCGGCGGAUCUCACCUACCACCAGCCACGUGUCAGGUUAAACGAUACUCACGAGGUGAACUUUCGGACCCACUUCCGAGCGCCCGAAACCAGGAUCCGAAUUGGUUUCCAGUUCUGCUCAGUUCUGCACUCAAGUUCUGGGCGACCCAAAACCUAUUCUAGGUGCCCGAAUUUAGCAAAACUCCAGUUUUGCUUAUUUGAGUGCGUCGAGUCCAUUUUUGCAUCUAUUUCGUGCAGAAUUGACUCCGACUCAGUCCGACACUCUCCAGGUGUGUCGACCAGUUACUAACACUGUUGUCAAUUCUAUCCAAACCUCAGGAACACUACACCAACAUUGUCCAAAGGGGAAAGGAAAGGUGCUGGAUUAGGGUUGUAUGAGGAGAAACCCUAGAAACUCUCUUAUAUAGCAACGAGUAAAUCACACGUAACUCCCUCAAACCGUGACAUUUUCAACCGAGACCCUGACCAUGAAUGUAUGACAGUCUCGCGCCACGACCCACCGAGUUUCAUGAAAUUUCGCGCAUAAAAUAUAGGGGCUUUCGUGUGAAAUAUGAAAAUGAUCAAUUUGAUCCUUCCUCGAUAAACACGUGAUAUCUAGCGAUCUGUUCGUCGGAUUUUCGAACGGGUUGUGCCGGCACGUUUAGCAUGAUUGAGACAUCGAAUCCAUGAUUUUGUUUCAUUCUAUUUUGUUAUCGAUUAGCAGCGAAAUCCAACCUCUCUCCGAUUCUCCAAAACCCUCUUUCUGAUAAUGGGUCACUAUGAACGAAGACCCCUAAAAUAUAACGAGUGCUUAUGUAAUUGAAUUACACACAAAAACACUGUCAACAAAGCAUUUAGCUACACAGCCAAAUUCUCAGUCCUCACACACACACACGCACACACACAUAUAUAUAUAGUCGGACUACUAUACUCUUAUGAGUAUAGUCCCCUUUGUACUCAUAUAUUUUUUGCCGUUAGAUCUAUUUCUUUGAUCAUUUCCACCCGUUAUUUCAUACUAUUCAACCAACUAUCCACUCAACCCUAUGGGACCACUUUUAACCUAAUCGGGGACCACUAUCAUCCUAGCCGCACAUCUCUUCAUCCAAUGGUCGAAAACUUAUGAGUACAAAGGGGGCUAUACUUAUAAGAGUAUAGUAACCCUAGCCUAUAUAUAUAUAUAUAUAUAUAUAUAGAGAGAGAGAGAGAGAGAGAGAGAGAGAGAGAGAGAGAGAGAGCUAGGCUGGUAUACUAUCGGUAGCACGGAGGUCUUCGUGCUACUAAGUUGUUUUCAAUGAUGCGGCUUCCAAAUUGACGAUUGGCCCCGUUAAACUUGAUCUACACUAUUAAAAGUAUUUGGAACCUAAAUUUCAUAAUUUUUCGACAUCAUUUGGCUAGUGAUCAAAAGGCCUUAAAAUUGACAAUUUUAAUGGUUGAUGUGAUGCAUUUGUGAAUUUAACGGUGUAAAACAAUCCAAAUCUGAUGAAAUUUUUGUAGAAAAUUUUUUUCACUAUUUAGAGUAAGAUCAAUGCCUCUGAUUUUAAAUUCAAGUCUUUUAUCAUCAUUUUUUAUGAGAUUUUUAUUUUUUGCUGUUCAUUUUUAAACUACUCAUUUGAUAGGUAAAUGACGCCGAAAAAUUAUGAAAUUUAGUUUUCAAAUACUUUCAAUAGUGUAGAUCAAGUCUAAUAGAGUCGAUCGUCGAUUUGGAAGCCACAUCAUUGAAAACAACUUGGUAGCAUGGAGACCUCCGUGCUACUAAUAGUAUGCCAGCCUAUAUAUAUAUAUAUAUAUAUAUAUGUAUGAGUCUAGCUAUUAUGUUAUCAAUAAUACCAAGCACUUAGUGCUGCCAGGUUUUCCACCGUUAGAUCUAUCUCGUUGACCAUUUCCACCCGUUAGAUCAUAUUCAACCAACCACUCACUCAACCCUAGGGGAUCACUAUCAUCUUAACCGCACAUCCCUUAACUAACGGCCAAAAACCUAAUAGCACCAAUGAUUUGGUGUUAUUAAUUAAUAGUAUAGUAGCAUAAUUCUGCAUAUAGAGUAUAUAUGGCAUUCUGUUAAUGUAAUUAAUUUUUAUAGUUGAUUAAUAAUAUUUUUCUCUUUGUUGAAGAGUUGUAUUCUUUGUGUAUCUCUCUUUCCAUUCUUUUUGCUUCUUCUCUCUCAACGCAGCUUAGGCUUGCAUUAGUCCCACUAAAGCCUUUAUCAAAAUGGGCUUUGGCAUGUCCCAUGUUACCAAUGUGUAUGCGUAGCCCAUUUACCGAAGCCACUAUCCAAAAUGUCUUUUCGCUGUCUACUGAAGAUCUUUUCGACGCUACAUAUCUUCCUCACAUUCGUCCUCAUAUCGGUGUCAAAAUUAGGUAACAAAAGUCGCCAUAUCCAAAUCGUGUCAUAUAUAUAUCCCGUAUCCAUGCACACCUUAUGCAACAUAAAAAAAAGAGGUAACUACUGUGAAUCGUAAAGUAUAAUGAAUUUUUAUAUUAGGGCAAUUGCUUAUAUGCCCCUGAAAAUUUUCCGACUUUCCGAUUUACCCUUCUUAGAAGGCUAAUAUUGAAAAUACCCUUUUUACGUUCCAACCUAUUUCUAAUAUACUCCUAGAGUUAAAAUCUGGUAAUUAACUCCGUUAUCUCUGUAAAAUUACUAUUUGCCCUUUCAAAUAUACCUUUCCACAAUCACCGACUUUCUUAUUUGCCCUUAAAGUCAGGGGCACAAAAAGUAUUUUGACUUUUGGUCUUUUCAAAUAUACCCCUCUACCGUUACCAACAUUUCUUAUUUGCCCUUAAGUUAAGGACAAAAUUGGCAUUUUAAUUUUUUUUAACUGUGGUGGAUAUUUAACUCACGUUUAACCCAAGUUAACUUAACAGGAGAUAACUGCGAGGCUAUUUUGCAAUAACGGUGGAACAUAUGAGGGGUAUUUUAGAAAGAAAAAAAAAAGCAGAGGUAAAUCGGAUAUUUUCAAACGUAUGAAGGGUAUAUAGGCAAUUAUCCCUUUUAUAUUUGAUAAGUACUUUAAAAGGUUAGGGACUGAAUUAACAAACUCAUUUAGUAUAAAUAAAAGAGCAAUGCUAUAUAUACACACCGGAUGGGUGCAUAUCCUACACCCUACCCAUCAAAUAGGUGGGGUGUAACUUGUACAGCCAGGAUGGGGUGUACAAGUAGCAUAUUUCUAAAUAAAAAGGGGAAAAUGUAUAACAACACAUAGGGUGUCUGAGCUUUUAAUUUUUGGUAAUUAUACUCUUAAACUUUAUCGAUAGUUCAAUAGGCUCAUCUUCUUAACUAAAGUUAUUAAUUACACAAUAUUUUGGUUUUGUGUAUUUCAUAUAGUGUUUUGAAGUUUAUUUUUGUAUUUUAACAUAUAUGUAAAAAAUAAAAAAAAAAGAUUUAAUCUAUUACUCGAUCGUCGAACUUAAUUAUCAAAAUUCAAAGAAAAGAAUAAAUUUCUUUAUAUUUUAAAGUUUUACAGGAUUAUAUGUGCGACAUCUAAUCACAAAUGCUUUCUAAUUAGUAAGUUACUUAAAUAGAGAGUUCUAUUAAACCAUUUGAUAAAGUUUAGAAAAUGUUAUUGCUAGAAGUAUAUGAUCGUAUUUGCAAUCAAGAGGUCUCUAUACAUUUUUCCCAAUAGAAAGUUAAGUGCGCACAUAAGCUGACAUAUAAUCUAAAAUAAAGGUCAGAAAACAUUGAAACAUAAGCCGACAAAACACCAGUAAUCUUCUUAAUUUCCUUCUUUCUUCCCUUUCAUUAUAGUGUGCAGAAGUCAGCUGGGUUUUUCUUUUCCAUCUUUAUGGAUUGAUGACAUUAUAUAUAUUACGGCCAUUACAUAAUAAAAUAUAGCAGAUGAAGUAGUGCUCAGUAAAUUCAUUCAUGUAUGACCUUACAUAUCACUCUUCUUUUUUUUUAGCCCUUUUUAUCAGCAAAGUUCCAGGAGCACUGAGCUAAAGUGGCAACUGAAUCCAGACACAAUGGCGGCCGGAUUCAAUCCGCAGAUUCAGUAAUCAGAGAAAGGUGACCACUGCAGCUCCAGUGAAGAGAUUAGACAUGCAGUUAGUGGUGCAGUUAGGAACAAUCACAAGUAUGUUAAAAGCGAUAGAUGUACAUUAAAAAUAUGAACUCUAAAUCAAGAUGAAAUGCGUGUCGAUUUCUAAAUUACGGUUAGAAAUGAGCGCAGGGACUGGCGCUUCCUUCAGAUAGAGCUUCUUACAAGAUUAUAUGGAUAAAUUAAUAGUUACUCAUACAUACUUAGAUGCAAAUUAUACAUAACUAUAUAUUAAGACAUUGAUACAUUUUUUUUCAAAAAGAUACUCUUCUUUAAUAAGAAAGCAACGUAUAGGACAUGUAUAUUGCAGCUUGGCAUAAUUAGAUUAAUUUGGUCUAGUUUUUUGUGUUUUAAAUAUCGGGAAAUUAAUUAAACCAUGUCUUUUCUUCUAUUUUUUCCCUUCUUUUCCAUGGUUUUUCAAAGAGUUUUUCAGGCGACGAACCAAGUGGACACAAGCUAGAUUGUGCUUACAAACAGUUAAUUUCAUGCCACAGAUGUUAGGAUUAAAAGCAUGCUAAUUCAGUUACAUUAAUUGCACAAAUUUGUUUCAUUAAUGUUUUCUAUUUUAUCAGAUUAAGUACUUUAUUUUUCUGUUUCUUUUUUUUGAGAGAUAGGUAGUAUGCUCCUGCUUUAUUUAUUUUAUUUAGAAAGAAACUUAGCUGAAAAUGUGAAUCAAUUAGGAUUCGAACUUGAGACCUCGAAUACCAACCACCAAACCCUUUGUCAGCUUCAUUUAUUUCUUUUUCUUUAUAAACAAAAUUUACAUGUUUUGAAACAUAAAAUUUACUAUCACAACUAGGGCCUGCUUGGCUAUAUUGUAGGGUGUAGCACAUACUUUUUUAUGAAGUUUUAUUUAAAAGGUACUAUUUAGAACAACAAGAUACUAAAUUGUCACAAAUUAACUAGCUAUUUCUCUUUUUAGCAAAAUUAGAAGCUAGUUCUAAACUAGAUAUAUUUUUACAUUUACUUAUCAAAAUAAAUUUUUUUGCUAGCUAUAGCAAAAUUAAUGUUAUAUUUUGUUUAGAUUUGUAGUUAUCUAAAUUGAAGUUAAAUCCUAAUCUAGAUAGGAUUAGAUAUAAUUUAGAAUUAAUUUGGCAUAUAUGGAUUAUAAGUAGGAAUGUAAUUCUAAUUGAAUUAGGAUUAGACUCUAGUUAGAGACAUGUACUAUAUAUACAUGCUACAGCAAAGUUAAUGAUGCCGCGACCAAAUUAAGAGCCAUGCUAAUUAAUUAAGUAAACAUCAAGGAAGAGUGGUCCGUACGGGUGAGAGGAGUCGAGCCGCUUAUUUGGAGUCGCCUGUACCGAUGCGGAUCUCGGCGUUUCGGAUCUAAUUAAGUUUUGGUUCUUCGGGAGAUUUUUCUUUGUACUCCACCUUUCGACAUUAAUAAAUUAUUAUUUGCUCCGUCUUCGCCCGUGGACGUAGGCUGGUGGCCGAACCACGUAAAUAUUGGUGUGCUCUUUCUUCUUAUCUUUUUUUUUUCCUGCAUUAAGUUAUUUUUCUGGAUCUAUUUUUCGCCGUUCCGAUUUAACAAACUGGUAUCAGAGCCUUUCUAUUCCCUUUGAGGAUUAAGAUGACGACGAAGUUCGAGAUUCAGAAAUUUGACAGAACCAACAGUUUCGCAUUAUAGCAAGUCAAGAUGCGUGCUAUAUUAACACAACAAGGAUUGCAGAAGGCACUGUUGGAAAAAGAAAAGAUGUCUGAUUCUUUGAAGCUGGAGCAGAAGGAGGAGAUUGAUGAUAAAGCUCUGACGGCAAUACAAUUAUAUAUGUUUAUUCGAUAAGGUAUUGCGCGAGGUCUUGGAUGAAAAGACCGCUGGGUUUUGGCUUAAAUUGGAGUCUAGUCUCUCACCAACAAGCUAUAUUUGAAGCAACUUCUCUUCAUGUUGCGCAUGGCAGAAAGUACCUCUAUUAAGUUGUAUUUAGAUAAAUUUAAUUCUAUUAUUAUGGAUCUCAACUCGAUAGACAUUAAAAUCAAGGAAGAAGAUGAAGCCCUUUUAUUAUUAUGUUCUUUACCGCCCUCUUACAAGAAUUUUCGUGAGACCUUCUUGUUUGGACGAGAUACUCUAUGUCUCAAUGAUGUUAAAUUCUCUUUACUUUCAAAAGAAAGAAUUGACAUGCAGAUAAGCAACGAGACAAGUGGAGCUUUAGGACAAGGUUUGGUUGCUAGAGGGAGGUCUCGGGAGAACGGUUCCGGUAAUAGAGGUACAUCUAGAUCAAAGUCAAAGCAUAGAAAUUUGAUUUGUGGUUAUUAUAAGAAGAAGGGUCACAUAAAAGCUUAUUGUUUCAAGUUAAAAAAUAAAGAGCAGCGGAAGAAUAACGGUGAUAAGAAUCAAAGUCAGAAACACAUCAAUACUGAAGCAGAAGCAAGUGUUGCAGCAGGAGAAUCAGAUAAAAAUAAUAUCGUCUUCAUAGUUACGAAUAAGACAUGCAGACAUGAUGAGUAGCUUAUGGACUCCGCAUGUUCCUUCCAUAUCUGUACGCAUAGAGAAUGAUUCUCAACGUACAAGCCUAUUGAAGAUGGAGAUGUAUUGAUGGGAAAUCACUCUAAGUGUACAGUUAUUGGAAUUGGCACUGUUCGGGUACAGAUGUUCGACGGAGUAGUGAGGACUAUAUAUGAGGUUCGGCAUGUUCCGGAUAUGAGAAAAUAUCUGAUCUCAUUGGGUACACUUGAUACUAAAGGCUUUAAGUGUUCUUCAGCUGACGGAUUAAUGAAGGUCGCUAAAGGGAAUCUUGUAGUGAUGAAGGCCAAGUUGUCUGACAUGUUAUAUGUUCUACAGGGUUCCAUUGUGACAGGUUCAGCAGUGGUGACUUCUUCCUCUAUGUCAGAUUCUGAUAACACCAGAUUACGGUAUAUGCGAUUAGGCCAUAUGAGUGAAUAUGGUAUGAUGAAGUUGAGUGAGAGAGGUCUACUUGGUAGUCAGAGUUUAGAAAAGUUAGAUUUCUGUAAGUAUUGUAUUCUUGGCAAAUAAAAGAGAGUCAGCUUUAAGGCCGCAGUUCCCCGGACAAAAGGUACUCUGGACUACAUUCAUUCUAAUCUUUGGGGACCCUCUCGUACUCCUACUCAUGGUGGUGCUAGAUAUAUGUUGGCUAUUAUUGACGAUUAUUCUCUCAAAGUGUGGACGUUCUUUCUGAAAAGUAAGGACAAGGUGUUCAAUUAUUUCAAGCAGUGGAAGGUCAUGAUUGAGAAGCAAACUGAAAAGAAGAUCAAGAGAUUAAUGACCGACAAUGGUUUGGAAUUUUGUUCGUCAGAAUUUGAAGAAUUUUGCAAGAAUGAAGGAAUCGUCAGACAUAAAACCGUUAGACAUACUCCACAGCAAAACGGGGUGGCCGAACGGAUGAACAAAACUCUUUUGGAGAGAGCUCGUUGUAUACUCUCUAAUGCUGGCUUAGCUAAGAGUUUCUGGGAAGAAGCGAUCUCUACGGCAUGCUAUUUGGUGAAUCGAUCUCCACAUUCAGCACUUGAUUGCAAAACUCCGGAGGAGGUAUGCUCUGGCAGUCCUUCUGAUUAUUCUAAUUUGCGAAUAAUUGGUUGCCUACUUAUAUUCAUGUCAAUGAAGACAAGUUAGAACCUAGGGCUAAAAAGUGUAUUUUUAUUGAUUAUACAUCGGGGGUUAAGGAAUAUAGAUUAUGGUGUCCUGAAUCGUCUAAAUUAAUUAUUAGUAGGGAUGUCACAUUGGAUAACUCUGCUAUGUUAUAUUCUAAUCGUAAUUCUUCUGAUGAGACCCCGAGUGCUAGCAAGCAGGUGGAGGUAGAGACCGAUGGUAUAGUUCAGUCGCAAGAUACUUUUCAGUCAGAACAAGUUCAGUCGGUAGACACCUCAGUAACUGAAACCCCACAAGUUGAGAGGCAGAGUAUUGCUACAGGCAGAGUGAGGAGACAGAUCAAACCACCAUAGAGAUUCGGUUAUGAAAAUAUGGUUGCUUAUACUCUUUCAGUGGCAAGAUACAGAAAAAGAAGGUGAACCUUCCACAUAUAAUCAAGCUAUUUCUGGUGUCAGUUCUGCAGAGUGGUUGGUGUCGAUGAAUGAGGAGAUGGAGUCUCUCCAUAAGAAUCACACAUGGGAGUUGGUAAAACUGCCUACAGGCAAGAAAAUUGUUGGCUGCAAGUGGGUCUUUAAGAAAAAGAAUAGAAUCCCCGGCGUGGAAAAUAGAAGGUAUAAAGCUCGUUUAGUUGCUAAAGGUUACAGUCAGGUAGAAGGUGUUGACUUUAAUGAUAUUUUCUCACCCGUCAUGAAGCAUACUUCUAUUCGUAUUCUUUUAUCAUUAGUAGUCAUAAAUGACCUGUAUCUUGAGCAGCUUAAUGUUAAGACAGCUUUUCUGCAUAGAGAACUUGAUGAGUAAAUUUAUAUGAAACAGCUGGAGGGAUUCAUUAUUGAAGGAAAGGAGGACCAUGUUUACCUGUUAAAGAAAUCGCUUUAUGGCUUAAAGCAGUCUCCUCGACAAUGGUACAAACGGUUCAACUCCUUCAUGACAGGUCACGUAUAUUCCAGAAGCAAACGUGAUAGUUGCGUGUACUUCAGAAAGCUUGAUAAGGGAUCUUUCAUAUAUUUGUUGCUCUAUGUCGAUUAUAUGUUAAUUGCUUCCAACGACAUAGUUGAGAUAAAUAAAUUGAAGACUUUACUUAACGAUGAGUUUGAGGUGAAAAAUCUAGGUGCUGCUAAGAAAAUCCUUGGUAUGGAAAUUAAGAGGACAACAAGUCAGGACUACAACAUUUGACACAGGAAAAAUAUAUAGAGAAGAUUUUAAAGCGUUUCAGGAUGACUGACGCAAAACCAGUGAGCACUCCUUUUGCGGCGCACUUUCCGCCGAGUUAUCACCACAGUCCGAUGAUGAGCGGGAGUACAAGUCUCAUGUUCCUUAUUCUAGUGCUAUCAGGAGUAUCAUGUACGCCAUGGUUUGCACACGGCUGGACAUCUUCUACGCAGUGAGCAUGGUUAGCAGAUAUAUGACCAAUCCUGGUAAGGCUCAUUGGCAGGCUAUUAAGUGGAUUCUGAGAUACUUACGAGGUACCACUAGCACUUGUUUGGAGUUUGGGAAAUGUAAGGAUGGCGUGGUUGGAUAUGUUGAUUCGGAUUUUGCAGAUUAUUUGAGUAGGAGGAGAUCACUUUCAGGUUAUGUAUUCUCUAUUGGUGGAUAUGUAGUUAGUUGGAAAACUUCAUUAUAAUCUAUUACCGCCUUAUCUAUGACGGAGGCGGAAUAUAUAUUGCUAUGACAGAGAGUGUGAAGGAAGCUAUAUGGUUAAGAGGCUUAUUUGGAGAGCUUACUUUUUGUUGGAAUCCAACGAUUGUUUAUUCGGAUAGUUAAAGUGCUAUUCAUUUGUCGAAAACCAGAUGUUUCAUGAGAUGACAAAACACAUCGAUGUAAAGUUUCACUUUGUUCGGGAUGUGAUUGGAAUACGCACGGUGACUGUUAAGAAAACUGGUACUGAGGACAAUACUGCGGAUAUGCUUACCAAGUUCAAACAUUGUUUAGACUUGGUGACGAUUGGCAGCACUUGAGGCCCUAUAGGGCAUUUGGAGAAGACGAAGCACAGAGCGUUAAGGAACAUUGAGGCGAAUCAAAUUCAAGGUAGAGUUUUGUGGCGACCCCGACAUAGCGGCGGCUAAAAUACAAAUUAAACCAAGGUAGAGAUUGUUAUAUUUGGUUUAGAUUUGUAGUUAUCUAAAUUGAAGUUAAAUCCUAAUCUAGAUAGGAUUGGAUAGAAUUUAAAAUUAAUUUGGCAUACAUGGAUUAUAAGUAGAAGUGUAAUUCUAAUUGAAUUAGGAUUAGACUCUAGUUAGGAGACAUGUACUAUAUAUACAUGCUACGGUGAAGUAAAUGAUGCCGCGACCAAAUUAAGAGCCAUGCUAAUUAAUUAAGUGAGCAUCAAGGAAGAGUGGUCCACACGGGUGAGAGGAGCCGAGCUGCUUAUUUGAAGUCGCCUGUACAGAUGCGGAUCUCGGCGUUUUGAAUUUAAUUAAGUUUUGGUUCUUCGGGAGAUUUUUCUUUAUACUCGGCCUUUCGACAUUAAUAAAUUAUUUGCUCCGUCUUCGCCCGUGGACGCAGGCCGGUGGCCGAACCACGUAAAUAUCGAUGUGUUCUUUCCUUUUAUCUUUUCUUUUCCUGCUUUAAGGGCAUGUUUGGUUACCCGUAAGUGAAACAAUAAAAGUGGUAUUUUGGCGAAGUGAAAUUAUUUCGGUUAUUUGGAUUAUAAAAGUAAACAUUUAAAUGACUUUUGAAAAGUGAACCGAUGAGGAUUAUAACUAAAAUCUAUUUUUUUGACUUUGCCAAAAAAAUUUUGAAGUCGUUGAAAGUGGGCUGCCUACUCCACGCAACUUACGAACCGCAUCAAAAAACCUUCUUCUAUACCAUCUACAAAAAAUAAAAAAAAUCACUGUAUCUUAACAAAAAAAUACCAACACAUCUUAAAAAAAAAAAACAAAAAAAGAUACGUGCCUUAUUCCAUACCAUUACCAAAAAAAAGAAAAAGAAAAAAAAAACUACGCAUCUAAAAAAAAUCAUUUUCUUUUUUCUUUCAUUUUUUUGAAACCAAAUAUUUGAACUCAAAAGUGACUUCUAUAAAAAAUCACUUUUUGAAAUCAAAAAGCGAUUUGUAUAGAAGUUACUUUUCAAAAAGUCACUUCUUGAAAAACGACUCCUAUAAAAGUCACUUUUCAAGAAGUUACUUGUAUAGAAGUCACUUCUCAAAAAGUGACUUCUUGAAAAGUGACUUUAUAGGAGUCACUACUCAAAAAGUGACUUCUAUAAAAAUCACUUGUUGAAAAGCGGCCUUGUUUUUUUUAUAAAAAUCACUUUUCAAGCAGCUUUAUAUUUUUUUAUUUCUAAACAUCGGAUUGCAGGUAACCAACUGCCUAUGAAUAUCAAAAUAAGAGCAAAACUAAAAGAACCUUAACUGGUAAAAUUUUGAAACCAAUAUAAAUUAAUGCUUGCAUAUUUUUCUGAAAAUAAAGAAGGGGGGAAAAAAGAAUGGAUGGUGCAAAACUCUCGCAUUUAUAUAGGUUACUUUUGCACCCAGUCCUUAAUCUCGAUCGCGACAUUCGCAGUACGUUGCUUGUAUAUAUAGAACGUCACGCAAAGUUCCUAAAAAACGGCCGCUCGGGGGAAACAGGGGCCAGCUUUAAGCUGUUGGAAGUGGCGUGGCCGCACCAUGCAUGUAACUCCACCUUUUAUCUCCAUGAGCCACGCGGGAAUCACACUACAAUUAGUACACCUACGUAAUUAACCUAAUUACUCGCUUUAUCCCUCCUCUAGAAACAAACACCUUUAAUUAGCCACUAACAACUUUUUAUAUAUCACUUUAAUUUCAGGGGAAGCUAGGUUGAGGUCAAGAGGCAUUUUUUUUAGAAAAAAAAGAAGAAGAAGAAAGAAACACGCUACCUGGUCCAUUCCGAAAAAAAUAAAACUUAGCUACAGAAGUAAAGUUGCUGGACCUAUUAUGGUCUUAUUAAGUCGAUUGUGUAUCUCAUUUUUUAGCUAGUUUGAUUGGACGUAGUUAUAUAUUAAACAGUGUAAUUACUAAUUAGUGAUUCAUUUUGUUAGACCUACAGCUGCUAUAUAUACUUCUAUCUAUCCUAUGUGGCUUAUGUUAAUUGCUCUUAAGAUUAAAAUUUGUUUUUUCAACUACUACAGUUGAAGUCUGAUGUAAUUUCACCUGCAAAGGUUAUGGUUUUCUUUUUCUUUUUCUUUUUCUUUUUUUUGGCAAUUCCAAGUAAAGUAGAUGUUGAUGAAAUUAAUAAUUAAUCCAAACCAUGGAUUUAGACCCUCAUAUGCAUAGUUCAUUAGACUGGUAGUUCAAAAUAGCCUCAAAGUAAAAGUGCACAAGUUGAGAAUAACUAUUUUUGGUAAAACCGAGAUAUGAGAUAUUGAAAGAAAAAAAGUGAGACUGAUAUGUACUAUCUAAAUAGAGCCUGAUAGAAUUUCAAGGUAUGUAAAAUAAAUAGAGAAAUAAAUACAUACCAAAAUUCAGGAUCAAGAUAAAAUACGAUAACUCACAGAGCGCCAGAGAGAAGAAAUUAUUGAUCAAUCUGCGGAAGCGUGAAGUCCGGCUAUGAUCUGAAAGUCACGAACCGAACUUAGGUGAUUUGGUUUCUCCUCCUAUCUCAGGCACUCUACCGUAUGGUGUGGAACCGAUGGUAAUUCUUCACCAGAAUGCGUAUGAGAAGGUGGCAGGACCAAUACCCCUUUUUAUAGAGCUCAGAUCGACUUCCCAUCAAAGUCUGAUUAGGAUUCUAUUUAAAUUUAAAUUAGAUGGGAUAGGGAUAAAAAUAUAUCAUAUCAAAUAGUUCUAUAUCUGUUAGGAUUGACCUUUAUCUAUAGCAAAUCCUAAUUUAAAUAUGAUUAAUUGGGCCACAAUAUAUGGAAAUCCUAACAAUCUCCCACUUGGCUCAUUUUAAUUAUAUUCCAUGAACGAAUUUUCUAUACUCCAAUCUUUACUGCGCAUUAUUGAAAACUUUAUGGUCAAAUACCUGAGAACUCACUUGAUCUUUAGCUCAAACUAAAAGACUACAAUGAUAGGAACUAUGACGGUCCACCUCUUCAUAACGAAAUUUUCCUUCCAUAAUUACCGUAUCAUCUUCACCUCCUAGCCAAGUACUUUAUAUGACACAACUUUAUGAAUGAAUUUAAACUGUAUAUUCAUUCGUUAAUAGACAAAACUUUAUGUCUAUUAAAUGGUCCAACACAGCUGCAUUAAAUUUUAACUUUAUUGAAAAAAGAUAGAUGUUGCAACUUUAUAUAUCAAAAGAACUAAUCAAACCCAUACUUUUAACACGAUCCGUAGAUGACCCAGGUACCGGCCCCUUGGUCAUUGGGUUUGCAAUCAUACAUUUGGUACUGAUGUAUUCAAUUGUAGCAUAACCUUCAUCUAUCUUCUCUCUCACAAUAAGAUAUUUUGUGUCCAAGUGUUUACACCUUGCUGUAAUCUUGUUGUUAUUGGCAAAGAAAACCGCAGCUGAACUAUCACAGAAAUCCUUAUUGGAUAAACACCGGAGUCCACAAUUCUUUAAGUCUGUGAUAAAAUUCCUAAGCCAAAUAACCUGUAAUGUGGUCUCGUAACAUACAAUAUGAUUCAAAGUUUCUUUCAAAUACCUCAUAACCUUUUUUAGCAGCAUUCCAAUGCUCCAUACCUGGAUUACUUUGAUACCUGCCAAGUAAUCCAAUGGCAAAAGUAAUAUCCGGACAUAUGCAUGUCUGUACAUACAUAAGACUACCAACUGCAGAGGCAUAGGGCAUGUUUUUCAUAUGUUCAAUUUCUAAUUGGUUUUUAGGACACUGAAAAGCAUUAAGCUUAUCCCCUUUCUGGACAGGAGCAACAUUGGGCUUAUAAUUAUGCAUUUCAAAAUUUUUCAAAACUUUCUUUACAUAGGCCUUUUGAGAUAGACCAAGUAAACCUUUAUGUCUAUCCCUUUUAAUUUCAAUACCAAGAACAUAUGAGGCCUCAUCUAAACUUUCAUUUCAAAAUUUUAGAAAAGAAAUUCUUUAGUGUUAUGCAAUAGUCCAAAAUCAUUACUGGCAAGCAAAAUAUAAUCAAUAUAAAGGACUAAGAAAAUUAUUUUACUCCCACUAACAUUUAGAUAAAUACAUUGAUCAACAAUGCUUUUCUUAAAACCAAAGGUCAAAAUAGUUUGUUUAAAUUUUAAAUACCAUUAUCGGGAGGCCUGUUUUAGUCCAUAUAUUGAUUUCUUUAAUUUGCAUACCAAGUGCUCCUUUCCCUUUUGCGAGAAUCCUUCAAGUUGAUUCAUAUACACCUUUUUAUAGAGAUCCCCAUUUAAAAUAGUUUUUACAUCCAUCUGGUGUAGCUUGAGAUCAAAAUGAGCAACCAGAGCCAUAAUUAUACAGAAAGAUUCCUUUCUAGAUAUUGGAGAGAAAGUCUCUUUAUAGUCAAUGCAUUCUUUCUGAGUAAAUUCUUUUGUCAUAAGACGGGCCUUGUAUUCUCUAUGUUACUUUUGGAGUCCUAUUUGAUUUUAUAAACUCACUUGCAUCAUACGGGUUUAACUCCUAUAGGUAACUCAACAAGAUCCCAUGCCUUAUUGUGGUUCAUGGAUUCAAUCUCAUCCUUCAUGGCAUUAUACCAUUCCGUAGAAUUAUUACUAUUUAUAGCUUCGGAAAAAUUAAGAAGAUCAUCUAAACUCUGGCCAUUCUCAUAAAGAUAGACAAUAUAAUCACUGGAUAUAGCCGGUCUUCUCUAUCUUGAGGAUCUUCUUAAAUCUAUCUGAUUAUCCACAUGUAUAUCUUGAUGUGGAUUAUUCAUUUGUAUAUCUUGAUGUAAAUUAUUAAUUUGUACAUCUUGAUGUGAAUUUUUCACUUGUAUAUCUUGAUAUGAAUUAUCAAUGAUAGGUUCACAAUGAUUUUGUGGUUCCAAAACGAUUCGUUGUUCUAUUGGAAUAGGAAUCAUUAAAUCAUGAGGGACAAUAGUGGGUCUGUCAAAUACAGAAUCCGAAUGCUCUUUAAUUUCCUCAAAUUUAAUGAACCAAGGUUCAGAGCUCCCACUAAUUGCACCAUUCUCAACAAACUGUGCUGUUUUGAUUUCUGCAAUCUUUAUAGGAAGUGAUGGACAGUAAAACUUAUACCUUUUGGAUUUUUCUGAAUAACCAAUAAAAUAUCCUGAUAUGGUUCGAGGAUCUAAUUUCUUUAUUUGUGGAUUAUACAAUUUGGCCUCAGCUUGACAACCCCAUGUAUGAAAAUGUCUUAAACUGGAAUUCCUACUUGUCCAAAACUCAAAGGAGUCUUAGUGACAGCCUUAGUAGGGACCUGAUUAAGAAUAUAUAGGGCAAUUUUGAGUACCUCACUCCACAAUGAUAUCGGAAGGUAGAAUUACUGAUCAUACUCCUGAGCAUAUCAAUUAAUAUGCGGUUCCUUCUUUCAGCAACACCAUUCUAAUCAAGUGUUCCUGGCAUGGGGUAUUGUGGAACAAUUCCGCACUGCUCCAGAAACUUAGCAAAAGGCCCAGGAACUUGGCCUUUAUCUGUUUCUCUACCAAAAUAUUCACCACCCCUGUCUGAUCUAACUACUUUUAUCAUUUUCUCGAGUUGAUUCUCUACUUCAGCCUUAUAUGCCUUAAAGGCAUCUAAUGCUUCAGAUUUUUCUUUAAGCAAGUAAAGAUAUCAAUAUCGAGAGUAGUCAUCAUUAAAUGUGAUAAAAUAUUUAUGGCCAGUAAUUGAGAGAGAAAGAGGCCCGCAUAUAUCGGUAUGAAUCAACUCUAGUGUUCCAUCACAUCUUUUAGCACCUUUAGAAGAGAUUUUGGUCUGCUUUCCCUUUAUGCAGUCCACACAUAUUCCAAAGUCAGAGAAGUCAAAAUCAUUUAAAAUGCCUUCUCUAAUUAACCUUUGGAUUCUCUGUUUCGAGAUGUGUCCUAACCUCUUAUGCCAUAAUAUGGAUGACUUUUCAUUAUUAAUGCCACGUUUUGAUCCAACAUUUUCGUGCAUGGUAAGAAGAAUUUCACUAUAUGAAUCAUCUAAAGAGACUUUAUAUAGAUUAUUUUUCAAAACACCAGAGCCAACUAUUUGAGAUUUAUAGGAUAAAGAAAAAAACUUUAUUAUUAAAACUGAAAUUAUAUUCCAAUCCAACAAGUUUGGAAAUAGAAAUUAAAUUCUUAGAAAAAUUUGGAACAUUAAAUGUAUCAAUUAAAUCCAAAAUGUGACCAGUAGAAAGAACUAAUCUAAAUGGUCGUACAAAUUCUACUUUAGAUGGAUUUCCUUCAGCUGUAUAGAUAGUCGCUUCAUCUUUACUGGGUUUUCUCCGAUUCUGAAAUCCCUACAUGGAAUUCGCCACGUGGAAUGUGGCAUCAGAGUCAAUCCACCAAGUAUUAGACGGAACUGAAACUAAAUGCAACUCAUGCAUCAAAAUCAAAAAUUUACCUUUCUUCUGGAGUCAUUUCUGAUACUUUUGACAGUCCUUCUUUAUAUGACCAUUUUUCUUACAAAAGAAGCACUUAGGAGUCCAAUUACUUGAUUGGCUUUGUGAACUAGAUGAAACUUCCUUAUUCUUUCUUUUUUAGUCAUUCUUACCUUUACCAUUCUUAGCACGCUUUAUUUGUCUCUUUUGAGAAAUAAAAUUAACUGUAUUUUGUUUCUCUUGUAUUAAUCUGUCUUCCUCUUGCACACACAUGGUCAGCAAUUCAUUAAUUGACCAUUUAUCUUUAUGUGUGUUAUAAGAGAUCUGAAAUGGUCCAUAUUCAGAUGACAAAGAGUUCAAAAUAAAGUGCACUAAGAAUGAAUCAGAGAUGGUUACUUCAAGUGUGGUGAGUUGCGCUGCAAUAUCUCGUAUUUCCAUAAUAUGCUCGCGAAUCGAGCCAUUUCCGGAGUACUUCAUGGAAGAUAGUUUAUUCAUUAAGGUGCUCGCCAAGGCUUUAUCGGAGCUGACAAAUUGCUCCUCAAUGGCCUUUAGAUAAUUCUUGGCUUUAUCACAUUUUGGGAUUGAUCCCCUUAUGCAUUUUUAUGCCCUUGACUUUAUGAGCAUCAAACUUAAGCGGUUAGAUUGCUCCCACUUUUUCUGCGCUGAUUCCUGUUGUGGAGUCAUUGGCUCCACUACCUUAGGCGGUUGUUCAGCGCGCAGAGCCAAAUCUAAAUCCAUAUAGCCCAAAAUGAAUAUGAUCUGUUCUUUCCACUCCGAAUAAUUAGAACCAUUACGUAUAGAAACAGAUUCACCAAUAGGAACAGAAAAUGGAGUCAUAGCUGAAAAAUAAAAUGCAUGCUUUAUCAAUAAAAUACCACAUCAUAAAUUACCACACCAAAAUUAAAAAAAUACACUUUAUAUGACAUCACAUCCCCUCCUUUGGGAGCAGAGUUAUGAGCAUAAGUAUUUUUCGAUCUUUAUGCAUAUACUUUGUAUGCCAUCACAACCCCUCCUUUGGGAGCAGAGUUACGAGCAUAAAUAUGCAAUCAUUCUUUAUGCAUAUACUUUAUAUGACAUCACAACCCCUCCUUUGGGAGCAGAGUUAUGAGCAUAAGUAUUUUUCGUUCCUUAUGCAUAUACUUUAUAUGACAUCACAACCCCUCCUUUGGGAGCAGAGUUAUGAGUAUAAAUAUGCAAUCUCUUUAUCAGAGACUAAUUAAACUUUCUGCAAGUCGUAGUAAUUUUAAAUUUUUCAUAUGAAAAAAUCGUUAGCUUUGGCCAGGCAAAUUUCUCCAAACAAGUUAUAAGAAAAUUACCAUCCUGCACCACCCAUGUACCUUCAUGUCUAGACCUUAUUUGGGAGCAGACUAAACAUAAUAUCAGGGUGCAAUUUUCGCAUGCACUUCUUUAAAGCAAUUAAUUUAUCUUUUCUUCCGGUCGAGGCCGCUUUGGCUUGCACCCGAACAGUUGAAGCAAUAAAUUAAUCUGACUUAGUGCUACUUGAUUGACAUGAAAAUUAUCCGGAAGCACUACUUUAAAGUAAAUUAAAUUAUUUUUUUUUUAAUUAGGGCCGCUUUGACUUGCACCUAACCAAUCGAAAUAAUAAAUUAAUUUAACUUAGCGCCAAACAUUAAAUAAUCGACAAACAAUUAUGAUUAUUUAAUUUUCAUGUUUAUCCGGUCAAAAUAAGAAUAUAGAUGCGAUUAUUUAAAACAUGACAUCGCAAUCAAAUCUAAGCUUUAUAUAUUCUAAUUUGACCAUAAAUAUAAGACAAAUAAAUUUAUGAUAAAUUAAUAUUGUAUGCAAGAUUAAAUCUUUAUGUGAACGGAUUCUUUAUGUUUCCGAACACAUUAUUAAAGAUAAAGACUCCAAAGGAUUGAUUCAGAUAAAUAAAAGAAUUUAAGUGCGUAAUGGGCUUAAAAUGGGACACCUAGUAAGUACAAAUUGGCAAAAGGGAACCCAAUAAGUAAUUACGGGUUCAAUCUUAAUAGGUUCAACUCUUAUCCGUAUCUUAAUUAAGCAAUCCAUCACACUGAAUAAACCGAAACAAUAUUAUGAUGCAACUCAUGAUUACGUACUAUUGCACUAAUGAAUUGGCUAGUCAACUUAACCCAACAAAAAGUUUGACCGAUACAAAAGCUAGCCAAAUCAUUGAUGCGGUAAAUUGAUCCUUUUCGUCAAUCUUCUUCUAUUAAUACGGUUUCAUCAAAAAAACAUAAAACCCAAAACAAGGUCAACCCAUGCUACAUCAGACAUGAAGAUGUCACCGCGUGAGAGCAAGAGCCACAAUUUACGACAUCUUACAGGGUAUGAACACCAAUUUGAAGAAGAUGAAGAAUAAUUUAUAAGUUGUGCUAGGCCACAUCAAAUCUGGCUAUGAUUCGAAAUCGCAAGAUGCUUUUCUUACAUAAUUCUAAAAUUCAUUAUAAUUCAAUCCGAUCAAAGAAUGCAUGCAUACAAUAUUAAAAUUAUCGCGUGGCUCUGAUACCAAUUGAUAGAAUUUCAAGGUAUGUAAAAUAAAUAGAGAAAUGAAUACAUACCAAAAUUCAGGAACAAAAUAAAAUACGAUAACUCACAGAGCACUAUAGAGAAGAAAUUCUUGAUUAAUCUGCGGAAGCGUGAAGUCCGGCUAUGAUCUGAAAAUCACGAACCGAACUUCGAACUUGGGUGAUUUGGUUUCUCCUUCUAUCUCAGGCACUUUACCGUAUGAUGUGGAACCGAUGGUAAUUCUGGUGGCAGGACCAAUACCCCUUUAUAUAGAGUCAAGAUCGACUUCCAAUCAAAGUCUGAUUAGAAUUCUAUUUAAAUUUAAAUUAGAUGGGAUAGGGAUAAAAAUAUACCAUAUCAAAUAGUACUAUAUCUGUUAGGAUUGACCUUUAUUUAUAGCAAAUUAUAAUUUAAAUAUAAUUAAUUGGGCCAUAACAUAUGAAAAUUCUAACAGGGCCUUCAUAUUAUAUUUUGUUAGUGCGCUUUUCAAUAUUGAGCCAAACUCAUUCUAGUGGGAGCCAUUAUUCUAACUCAGCGCACUAGGCGGCCGCGAGUACUAUAGCUCGAUUGAGCUCGCAAAUACUAUAAAUUAUUAUCUGAAUCUGACCGAAUCAUGUAUAGUUGAUGCCGCAUGAAUACUUUUGCAGUUCACAUGUAUAUUUAUUCAUAUACAUGGUGAAGAAUUUAUAAGCGCAUUAAUUAAAUUAUUAUUCCACCAAAGGAUAUAAAGUUUUGAUCAGUGCUUUGUUGCAUGGAUCGUAAGUGAGGUAUAUCGUGCACCCUUUACUAUAAUUUAGGUCAUGUCAUUGUCGCGGCACCAUGUCUUGCCCCCCCCCAUCUCUUAUAUAUGAGCAUGUAUGAACCUCUCCAUCUCAUUGGGAUUAAUACAUGUGCAAGUGAUUGAGCUACCGAGACUCCGCGCGAGAGAGAGAGAGAGAGAGAGAGAGAGAGAGAGAGAGAGAGAGAGAUCCGAGAGAAGGGGAUAUAUAUAUAUGGAGUGGAGAAAGAGCUACUUGGAUUUGAUUCUUGUGCCCUUGGCGCUCUUCUUCCCCAUGCUCUACCAUGUUUGGCUUUGGCGAAAGGUCCGAUCGCGGCCCCACGAGACCAUCAUCGGUAUCAACUCCGCCGGCCGCCGCCUCUGGGUCGUCGCCAUGAUCAAGGUACGGCGGCUGAUUUUCCCGCCUUUCGUUGGUCGAUCGGUUUCCUAAAUCGCAGUUCUUAAUUAACUCAAAAUUAAUUAAUUGAUAUAAUUAAUUAUUUCUGCGAAAUUAAUUACUCGAAUAAUUUCCUUUGGUUACUCUUUUACGUAGCCUCCGAAAGGAAUGCUACUGAUAACUAAAUUUAAUUAUAAAGGAAAUGGUUUUGAUAGAUGAGUAAUAAUAACUCUCAAGGAAAUGUACAAAAUUAAUGAGGGAUAUAUCCCAGGGAUUAAUUUGCUGGUGUAAUGUUAUUAUUAUCCUAUAUAAUUAAUUAAGUCAUUCUAAUCGUAGAGAAAUUAAUUGUUGCAAAAUCGAUCUUCAUCGUAAAAUUAAUUUGCAUGCGCAUAUAUAUGUUUAUGUAUGUAAUUAAGCAUAUAUUGGAGAAAUUAACUAACUAAUUAAUGCAUGUACAGGACAACGAGAAGAAGAACAUAUUGGCGGUGCAGUCGAUCCGGAACGCGCUGAUGGGGUCGACGCUGAUGGGCACGACGUCGAUCCUGCUGUGCUCCGGCCUGGCUGCCGUGAUCAGCAGCACGUACAGCGUCAAGAAGNAAAACAUAUGUAAAAGAAUUUAGAAUUCAGCGUUCAAAAUUCUUUUACACAUAUUUUUUUAAAUAUCAUAGUAUAUAUCUCUAUUACAUUAAAUUAUAAUUAAAAAUAAAAAAUAAAAUUUUAGAACAAAGAUGAUGCACCGGGUGCACCAAAAAAGUCUCACUGUUCUCCCAAAUGGAAGAGCAGCAGGGCGAUAGCCCCGCCUGGCUCGGGUGCCACGUGGCGCCGAGCCAGGGCGUCCUCAAAUUAGCCUUUCUGGACACCAUGUCCAUAAAAUUUUUGUCCCAAAAUUAAUGAGGGAUAUAUCCCAGGGAUUAAUUUGCUGGUGUAAUGUUAUUAUUAUACUAUAUAAUUAAUUAAGUCAUUCUAAUCAUAGAGAAAUUAAUUGUUGCAAAAUCGAUCUUCAUCGUAAAAUUAAUUUGCAUGCGCAUAUAUAUGUUUAUGUAUGUAAUUAAGCAUAUAUUGGACAAAUUAAUUAAUUAAUUAAUGCAUGUACAGGACAACGAGAAGAAGAACAUAUUGGCGGUGCAGUCGAUCCGGAACGCGCUGAUGGGGUCGACGCUGAUGGGCACGACGUCGAUCCUGCUGUGCUCCGGCCUGGCUGCCGUGAUCAGCAGCACGUACAGCGUCAAGAAGCCGCUGUUCAACGACACCGUGUUCGGCGCCCACGGCGAGUUCAUGAUCUCCCUCAAAUACGUCACCCUCCUCCUCUUCUUCCUCUUCGCCUUCCUCUGCUACUCCCUCUCCAUCCGCUUCCUCAACCAGGUCAACUUCCUCAUCAACGUCACCGCCAGCGCGCUCUCCGGCCUCGACGCGCCUGCCGGGCUGUCGCAGGACUACGUCUGCGACCUGCUGGAGAAGGGAUUCGCUCUCAACACCGUGGGCAACCGGCUGUUCUACGCUGCGCUGCCGCUGCUGCUGUGGAUCUUCGGGCCGGUUUUGGCGUUCUUGUGCUCUCUCAUCAUGGUGCCGAUUCUGUAUAAUCUUGACGUCGUGUGCGUGGGAGGGAAGGGUGGUUCCAACCCUGUUGGGAAAGCGGAGAAGACGAUGCCGGUGUAACCACAAUACUAGUAAUAAUCACAUUAAUUAAUGGCGGGGUUCUUCUUGGGCCGAUCUGGGCCGGACUGGGCCAAUCAUCCAUCCACCGUGAUUGAUUGUCAGGGGACAAGUGUUCCACUUGGUCAUGGUCAUGUGCCUUUUAUUGUUAUGUAUUGAACUAAUUAAUUUUAAUUGCAUUAUCUAUUUGUGCUAUCGAGAGUAGUAGUAGUACGUAUAAGCCUUUCUCUAGCUUCUUUCUCUCUCUCUCUCUCUCUCUCUCUAAAAAAAAAAAACAAAAACAAAAAAAAGGAGCUUUUUCUCCCCCAUCAAUUUUUCGGACAACAUUGCAAUCUAUGAUAUUAUAUAGAGCUAGGCUGGUAUACUAUUGGUAGCACAGAGGCCUCCGUGCUACCAAGUUGUUUUCAAUGAUGCGGCUUAUAAAUCGACGAUCGGCUCCGUUAGACUUGAUGAAAGUAUUUGGAAAUUAAAUUUCAUAAUUUUUCGACAUCAUUUAUCAAUCAAACGAGUAGUCUAAAAAUGAACGGCUGAAAAUGAAAAUCUCAUAAAAAAUAGUGAUAAAGAAUUCAAAUUUCAAAUCGGAAGUAUUGGUCUUGUUAUUGAUGUUAAGUAGAAUUUUCUAUUAAAUUUUCAUCUAAUUUGGAUACUUCUACACCGUUGAACUUUAAAACGCAUCAUAUCUACCAUUAAAAUUGUUAAUUUUGGAACUUUUUGAUCACUAACCAAAUGAUGUCGAAAAAUUAUGAAAUUUAGUUUCCAAAUACUUUUAAUAGUGUAGAUCAAGUCUAACGGAGCCGAUCCUCGAUUUGAAAGCCGCAUUAUUGAAAACAACUUGGUAGCACGGAGGCCUCCGUGCUACCGAUAGUAUACCAGCCUAGCUCAUAUUAUAUAUAUAUGCUCUGUUUUGUUUGUUGUAUCGUAUCGAAUACAUAUUAGAUAUCGAUACUCGCGCAACGCACAUCCGAUAUAUUCGUGUCAGAUACUUCAUAGAAAUAUUUGAUAUUUUUAAAAAUUGAGAAAAUUAACGAACUCCAUAUAGAAAAAGUUACUAUCUUUGCAAAGCGUGACGAUUUUUUGAAGUUCUAACAAACUGCCGCUAAAUAAAGUGAUAAAAAGUUGUCAUAUUAUAGAAGAUAGCAUGGUCAUAUUUGGUUAUCACCGAAUAUGACUUUUAGUGGUGUUUAUAAUUAGUAACCACCAUUUAUGGAGAAAAAGCGGCAACAUUUUUAAUUUCGCUACCAAAUGCAUAUUUUAAGGCAUUUAACAUAGUUCUCAACUUAUAUGAAGAUAAUGUGGCCCUUUUUUUUUUUGCCAAGAACCAUAUAUGUUUUAAAUAGCAUUAUUAUAUAAAGUUAUUUCAAAAAUUCACCACCAAUAAUAAAAAAAGUUGCUACCAAUAAUAAACAAAUAAUAAACCAAAAUAUAAUAAUACACGGUUUAUAUUUAUAAACAUAACAUAUCCAAAAUAACAAAAGAUACAAUCCAAGUGAACAAAAUUAUCCUUAUAAUAAUAAUUUAAAAGCGAAAUUAACUUCUGACUUACAGUAGAUUAAAAAUAAAAUAAUAGUAAUAUCAAUUUAAAGACAAAAAAGUAAUAAUAUCUGAUGUACACUUUAACAUUUAUUUAUGCCUCUCUAAACAUUAAAAAUUGAAAAUAUUUAGGAACCACGAAGAAAAUGCUCCUAAUUCAGCAGCCAUUCUUUUCCUAAAUAAAUGAAAAGGAGAAAAAUAAAUUAAAUAAAUUCAUAACGGUCCACUAAAAGCUGAUGCUAUAUUAGGAUGCUCGAGGGCAUAUGUAUGAAUUGCAUCCUUAGCAGAUAAUAUAUUUAUAAUUCAAGUCAAUAAUUUUGUAGAAAUGUAAACUGAAAUAUAGGCUCUUGGUUUAAUGAUAUAGUAAUUCCGAUGAAAGUUAGGAAAUCAUUAGGAAAGUAAGGAAAAAUAGGAUGAAGAUACUAGCCCAACAAGUUCGUAAAUAUGCCAUCAAAACAUAGGGACAUUCCUAAUAUAGUAGUAUAUAGGGCUUUUUUUUGCAAAUAGCCCCCUGAUAAAAUAUUAUUUUAAAAUUAGCACUGUCAAAAAUUUAUUUGCAAAUAUAGCUCUGCCCCUACUACGCAAGCACCACGUUAGCGCCACGCGGGCGGGGCUGGGGCUAGGUGUUUAAAUUGAACACGGUAAACCAUUCACCGUGUUCAAACACGGUGAAUGAUUCACCGUGUCCAAUACAAAUAUCCCCACUUAGCCAAAAAAUGGCUAAGUGGAGUUAGUUGUAUUGGACACGGUGAAUUGAAUCAUUCACCGUGUCCAAUACAACUACUUAGGACUUAGCCAUUUUUUGGCUAAAGCUGUAUUAGUAUUGGACACCGUGAAUGGUUCACCGUGUCUAAUACAAUUAACUCGACUUAGUCAUUUUCGGCUAAGUGGGGAUAUUUGUAUUGGACACGGUGAACCAUUCACCUUGUUCAAACACGGUGAAUAGUUCACCGUGUUCAACUUAAACUCUUGCCCCGCCCUCAUGGCGCUGACGUGGCGUUUGCGUGGCAGGGGCAGGGCCCUUUUUGUAAAUAAAUUUUUGACAGGGCCAAUUUAAAAAAAAAAUUUUAUUAGGGGGCUAUUUGCAAAAAAAACCCUAGUAUAUAGGGGUGUCGCCCUAGUAUACUAGGGGUGUCAAUUAGCCGAAUGUCCCUAUGUUUUGAUGAGCCUAUUUACGAGCUUGUUGGUUUAAGUAUCGUGUCGAAAAAUUCAUCUCGUGUUUUUCUCUUUUCUUUCUUAAUGAUUUCCUAACUUUCGAUACGGCUCAUUACUAUAUCGUUAAACCAGGAGUCUAUAUUUCAGUUUACAUUUCUACAAAAUUAUUGACUUGAAUUAUAAAUAUAUUAUCUGCUAAGGAUGCAAUUCAUACAUAUGCCCUCGAGCAUCCUAAUAUAGCAUCAGCUUUUAGUGGACCGUUAUGAAUUUAUUUAAUUUAUUUUUCUCCUUUUCAUUUAUUUAGGAAAAGAAUGGCUGCUGAAUUAGGAGCAUUUUCUUCGUGGUUCCUAAAUAUUUUCAAUUUUUAAUGUUUAGAGAGGCAUAAAUAAAUGUUAAAGUGUACAUCAGAUAUUAUUACUUUUUUGUCUUUAAAUUGAUAUUACUAUUAUUUUAUUUUUAAUCUACUGUAAGUCAGAAGUUAAUUUCGCUUUUAAAUUAUUAUUAUAAGGAUAAUUUUGUUCACUUGGAUUGUAUCUUUUGUUAUUUUGGAUAUGUUAUGUUUAUAAAUAUAAACCGUGUAUUAUUAUAUUUUGGUUUAUUAUUUGUUUAUUAUUGGUAGCAACUUUUCUUAUUAUUGGUGGUGAAUUUUUGAAAUAACUUUAUAUAAUAAUGCUAUUUAAAACAUAUAUGGUUCGUGGCCAAAAAAAAAAGGGCCACAUUAUCUUCAUAUAAGUUGAGAACUAUGUUAAAUGCCUUGCAUGCCACGCGGCGCUGGGCCGGCCGCAUGGCCCCCCGCUACUGCUGCGCGGGUACCCACCGACAGCGGGCCAGGGCCCGCACUGUGCAGGCGGUACGUGAGCCUAGCUCCAGCACGUGGCUGGCCGCACAGUGGAGUGGGUCCCAGCGGGCACAGCCGCACGUGUCGGGCGGGUGCCCGCUCGCCGCAGCACGCCGGCCGGCGCGGCACAUGCGGGAGCCGUACCGCGUCCGUAGCGGCCGAGCCUGCGAUGCGCGCCGGGCGCGCGCCUGCUCUCUGCCUGUGGGCGGGUGUCCGCGCCCACAGCAUGCCGGGCCUGCACGUGCUCGGCGUGUCGCCCGCUCACGGCGGCCGGCGCCCGCGCAAGUUAGCGAGCGGGUGCGCACCUGUGACUGCAGCGGGCCGGGCCGCGCAGGUCUGCCACGGGUUCAGACCGCAGCCGGUGACACCGCUGCCCGCAGCGGGCCGGCCCGCUCGGCGUGCGCGCCUAGCCUCCCGCAGCAGGCCGACCUGCGCGGUGCCCAGGGAUGCGCGCCGAGCCUGCAGCGGCCGGCCGCGCAGUGUGCGCCACGUCCGCAGUGGGUCGCGUUGAGCUUCUCCUAAUGGUCGCAAACAGCGAUUUGAAAAAAAUUUCAAUCCACGAAGCAAAAAUAAAAAAAUACUAACUUAUGAAAAAAAAAUCGCACAUUAUGAUCAAUUUUGAAGAAAACUAAAACUUAACUUUAGUCUUAUCUUUGAUAUCUUCCUUUUUAAUCGAUUUCACCUAGAAAACAAAAAAACGUAGAACUAAUCUACAUAAAAGGAAUUGAUCCAAUGAGUGCGAUAAAAAACACAAAGCAUGCAGCAUAAGCGAAAACAAGCAUUCACUGCUCUUUGAUACCAAUUGUUGAAAAAUAAGCAGCGGAAACUUACAAACCGGAUAGGCCAACGUAUCCGGGAACCCGAAUCGGAUGGAUCUUGUUUUACAAGCCUUCUUGGAUCGUCCUCUGUCUCGAUACUUCUGGAUCUCCACGUUUCUCGCCUUCUUCCCACGCAUACGUCUUUACGCCACGUAUCGAAUGCGGAUUGAUUGCGAUGGAUGCCAAUCGAAGAGGCUACCAGAGUCUCUCAUGCCAACUCCAAAACCAGGAACGUAGGUGGAAAUUCCAGAGAGGAAGAAGAGAGAGAAUAAGAGAUAUUCGGGUUCUUAUGGAAUUUGAUCGUAUGCGAUCGUCACCUUUUCGGAGGAAAAAGGGCAUUAUAUAGAAUAAUGGAACCCUAAACAUCCUGAAUUCCAUAUAGAUUAGGAAAGAUCAGGGAUAUCUAUUAACAUAUAAUAUAUAUCCAUAAUAGAUGUGUUUCUUAAUUAAUAAGAAAUUAGUAUUUAUUCUUAUCCUAAACUUAUUAGGAUAAAUCAAUCCACAUCUUAAGUGAUCGGGUUAAAUUAGAAAUCCGUCAAUGGUCGGACACACCACAUGGCAUAAUAUAAAGUAAUAUUUAUUAUUGAUUUUUUAGCCAAACUUAAUUAUAAAAAAGCUCAUUUAUAUGUAAACAUUUUAACCAUUAGAUUCCAAAAUCUAAUGAGUUAAGAUCUCAUAAAUUUAUUUUCCAUUAUAUAUUAUAAUUUAUAUAUAUAUAUAUAUAUAUAUAUAUAUAUAUAUAAAUAUAUAGAAGGGCUAGAAUACUUGUAAAAGUAUCAUGGGGGGAGUACUUGUAGUGUUUUUAGCUCUGGAUGGAGAGCAUGUGAGGUAGAGAUGAUGUGGUUAGGAUUGGUGGUAGGUGGAAUAGUAUUUAUCCAGGCUAUUAAUAACAAAAAGUAGAUCCAAUGCUUAAAACCUACAUUAGGCACAUGAUGUGCAUACUUUGUAAAGUCAUCAUAGCUCAAUCGUCUAUAUAUAGUAUAUAUAUAGUAUAUAUAUAGUCAUAUAUAUAUAUAUUCCUUUUAAACUUUUUAUUUUGACCGUCUCGUAUUUCGUAAUAUAAUAUAUAAAAGAGCCAAACACGAGCUGAAUUUUUCGCACGAUUACUUAACGAGCUAGCUCGUGUUCGGCUCGUUUCUUACGUGUUUCGGCUGUUGACACCUAUCAUACUAGGGUUUUUUGCAAAUAGGCCCCUAAUAAAUUUUUUUUUAAAAUUGCCAUGUCAAAAAAUUUAUUUAAAAAAGGGGCCCUGCCCCUGCCACGCAAACGCCACGUCAGCGCCCAUGAGGCGGGAAGAGUUUAAGUUGAACACGGUGAAACUAUUCACCGUGUUGAACAACGGUGAAAUGGUCACCGUUGUCCAAUUACAAUUAUCCCCACUUAGGCCGAAAUGACGUAAGUCGAGUUAAAUUGUAUUAGACACGGUGAACCAUUCACGGGUGUCCAAUAACUAAUACAGCUUUAGCCAAAAAUGGCUAAGCCUAAGUAGUUGUAUGGACACGGGAAUGAUUCAAUUGGGCGAUUUUGCAGGCCCGGCCCGGCCUGCUGCGCGCAGGAAAGCGACCCUGCGUUCCCGGCCCGGCUCGCAGCGCAGAGAAUUUUUCUUUAAAAAAAAUAAUAAUAAUAAUAAUAAAAAUCCUAUGUGGAUAUUUUUUCCGGCAUGAUAAUCUUUUUUGGAAUACAUAUAUUUUUUUUAAAAAAAAACAUGCAUGAUUUGUUUGUUUUAUUUAUCCUUUGUGGGUGUAUUUAAUGCUUAUGUAGCAUGUGAUUGUAUAUUUUUUGGCAUAUAAGUACUUAUGUUAUUCGGUGUUUUUUCAACAAAAUUUAAAUUUUUUUUUUUUGGAAAAACGGGUUCGACGUGUGAAGCAUUCCUGUAGAACAUUCAUUUUUCUUAUGUACAUCUUGUAGUGAUAUAGUAGGUUUUAUUAUGCAAAAGUGAUGUAAUAAUUAAGGCCAUGUAAAGGGAUGUGUUUUGCGCAGCGUCGACGUUUUUCAAAUUAAAUUUUGGCAUAAGUACUUAUUUUUUAUCUGUGUGAUGAUAUUACGAGAUAAGUUCUCCUUAUAUAAAUAUUUUUUGAAAGAAAAGGAUGUGUUCUUUCAAAAUGGAUGAGUUCCAACUUUUGGAUAAGUUCCAAAAUUAAUAGAAAAUUAAUAAGAUUGUGAUAUUUUGAACCGACACUGGGUGAUAAUUACGAGCAUAGCGAAGUUUUCGAUCCCGUUGUGUCGAGGAUAAUAUUCCAAUCUUGUUAAUUUUUUCGGAAUAUGUGCCUAAUGUCCAAACCUUUUUUUUUUUGUGAAUGUAGUGAAAUGACUUCCAAAAACAUCAUAGCUGAUCUCACCAGGGGUGAUAAGCUAGAUGGAAAGAACUAUGUUUUGUUUUAUAUAGGAAAAUGCAAUACCUGCUUAAUGAACAAGGGGUUUUCGUAACUCUCUCUGUCAAAAGAGCAUGCCUGCCGAAGGCACAACUUCUGAGUAUGAAAAAAGGUUUAUAACAAAUGGUUCAAGAAGGAUCGAAACUGCGUGGUACACUAUGUUGUGUGCCAUACAAGACGACCUCAUUGAACAGUUUGAGACCUACGAGACUGCCAAGAACAUGUGGGACAAUCUGAAGAUUGCUUUUGGGCAAAUUUCAGUCACGAGGCUACGUGCCUUAAAUUUGAUAUUUCAGCAAUACAGUGAGGACCCGAAAUAUUUAAUGGUUAAGCACCUCCGUGUGAUGGGUACUAUAAUUUGGGACCUUAAGAAACGAGCUCAAUAAUGAGCAACAAUAAGUUCUAGCAGUGAUUCGUUCACUGCCUGAUCCUGAAUGGUCCGAGAUGAAGCUCAUGAUGACACACAACGAGAACAUUAAAACGUUUAAUGACAUCUCGCGCCAUCUCGAGCUCGAGGCAGAGCACUUGGAAGCGAAUCGUUCUGUCGCUCUUGUUGCACGCUCCGAGAAACGCAGUGGGAUCGCAAGCGUAAGAAGCGUUACAAUAAUUGAGCGCAGUUGAGCCAUAUUUGACAGAGAUCGCCUAGAUAUUUUCUUUUAUAGUAUUUUAUUUGGAUAUGGUAUAUUAGUUGAUGGUUUCUUUAAAUUAGAUUUGGAGGAUGAUUUGUUUGCAUUUGCUUCUUCUUCUUCUUCAUCUAUUCUCUGUGAUGAAUCCAUUAAAUGGCAUGCCAGAUUGGGCCACAUAGGUUAAGAAAGAAUGAAUAGAAUGGCUCGAAAAGGCCUUUUGAGGUCUCUCGCCAAAGUUGACCUAUAUGUGUGCGAGCCUUGUCUGGCUGGGAAGGGAUAUAGAAAGCCUUUUUUGUAAGGCUACUCGUGCCUCUCAUCCUUUAGAGCUAAUCCACUCAGACAUUUGUGGGCCAAUGAAUGUGAGGGCCUGGCAUGGUGCUUACUAUUUUCUCACAUUCAUUGAUGAUAAUUCUCAUUAUGAAUAUGUGUAUUUGCUUUUUCGCUGAUAUGAAGCUUUAGAUUGCUUCAAGCGCUUCGUUGCGGAGGUUGAGAAUCAAAUAGAAAAAAGUGUAAAGGUGCUUCGCACUGACCGAGGUCGUGAGUACUUGUCUGAUCAGUUCAAGACUUAUGAGCAAAAAGGAUUAGUAGACAGCUCACUAUUCCUGGUACUCCGUAACAAAAUAGUGUUGCAGAGCGAAGGAACCGUACUCUAUUAGACAUGGUUAGGUCGAUGAUAGCGCAAGCACAACUUCCCAUAAAUUUUUGGGGAGAUACUCUUUUGACUGCAGCCUACAUCCUUAAUCGAGUCCCUAGCAAAUCAGUGCCUACUACCCCAUAUGAGUUGUGGAGCGGUGGAAAGCCAAGUUUAAACUAGUUACGCCCUUGGGGUUCGGCUGGAUAUGUUCACAGACUCUCACAUAAAUUCGGAAAACUCGGCCCUAGAGCGAGCAAGCAUGUGUUCAUCAGAUACCCUGAAAAAUUCGAAGGGCUAUGUGAUGUAUGGUGAACACCCAGAUAGUGGUAUGACCGAGUUUGAGUCUCGUGAUGUGAAAUUCCUAUAAUGGGAUUUUCCAAGCAUUGGUGAAAUGCGAAGAGACGUCAGAUUGUAUGAGUUACAGGGCGACGCUACCCCAUCUGCGGUUGAGGGUGAUCGAUCACUUCCCGAAGUCGUUGAAGGAAGUGGUAGCGAUCCUCCGGCUAGUGGGAGUGCUUCUUUGAGUGAGAGCAUACCCUUGGAAGUCGGCAGAUUAGACCCUCCAUUACGCAGAAGUGAACGUGGACAUAUUCCCCGUCAACAUUUUGAGAUCGAAGGGGAUAUUUCCAUGUGCACUCCGCUCGAUGAUGAUGAACCUACUUCUUAUACAGAAGCACUACAGAUGUCAGCUUGCAGUGAGUGGAUGGCUGCUAUGAAAGAUGAGAUGGACUCCAUGAACAAGAACCAAGUAUGGGAAUUGGUUGACAUUCCGCCUAGGCGCAAGUCUAUUGGAAAUAAAUAUUUUUUUUAUAAAUUAAGCGCAAGGCGGAUCGAUCAAUCGAUAAAUAUAAGGCUCGGCUCGUGGCCAAGGGCUACACUCAGAGGCAAGGGGUGGAUUACAACGAGACGUUUUCUCCCGUUGUGCGAUUUGCCUCUAUUCGUUUGAUUCUAGCCUUAGUGACACACCUAGAUUUGGAAUUGUUCCAAAUGGAUGUCAAGACAGCUUUUCUCAAUGGAGAAUUAGUGGAGGAGAUCUAUAUGGAUUAACCUGAGGGUUUUGUACUCAAAGGUCAAGAAGACAAAGUUUGUCGUCUUAAAAGAUCCAUUUACGGUCUUAAACAAUCGUCGAGACAGUGGUAUUUCAGGUUUCAUAAAGCCAUCACCUCUAUCGAUAUAUCCAUGAUAGAGGAGGACCACUGUGUAUAUGUCAAGAAGACAGAGAAUGGAAUUUUGUAUCUCUCUCUAUACGUCGACGAUAUACUAUUGGCUGGAAAUGACAUGGAAUUAAUCAAUACCACUUAGGAGUGGUUGUCUCUCAAUUUUAAAAUGAAAGACAUGGGUGAGACAAGUUAUGUGCUCGGAGUGAAGGUCAUCCGGAUCGCUCUAGAAGUUUUUUUUGGUUUGUCUCAAAAAUCUUAUAUUUAAAAGAUUCUAGAGCGUUUUAGGAUGCAUAACUGUAAACCCGCUGACACUCCAGUGGAGAAAAAUCAGACUUUGAGUCUUGAUCAGUGCCCUAAAACGGAUAAAGAAAAGGAGCAAAUGAGUAGGGUUCCUUAUGCGAGUGCAAUUGGAAGUUUGAUGUACGCUAUGAUGUGUACUCGACCUGACAUUUGCUUUGCUGUUAGCUUGGUAAGUCGUUACCAGAGCAACCCAGGACCUAUUCAUUGGCAAGCGGUCAAGAGAAUCAUUCGAUGUUUAAAAGGAACUAGUGAUCUCGUUCUCUAUUUUCGAGAUGGCGACUUGAUUGAAAGGAUAUAGCGAUACUAGUUAUGGCGAUGAGUGCAGGUCCACCUCAGGCUAUGUGUUUGGAGGCGGCGCAAUUCCUAGUAUAGUAAGAAGCAAGGCUGCGUUGCCUUAUCUACUAUGGAAGCGAAGUAUAUUGCUUGAUCAGCAGCCGUUUUAGGAGGCUGUUUGGCUGAGGAGAUUUCUCCAGCGACUCGACUUUGUGAUUCGAGUCGAUGAACCUGUUGAGAUAUUCUCUGACAGCAUAGUUGCCAUGGAGUAUGUGAACGACUCCGAGUAUCAUGGCAGGACCAAGCAUAUUGAUAUCCGUUUUCACUACAUUCGAGAGAUGAUCAGGCUAGGCGAGGUCAUUCUUAGACACAUCUCCACCACUAGGAUGGUGGCUGAUCCGUUGACCAAGCCGAUAGCUAGGGAUAUGUUCCAGACCCACGUUAAGAGUUUGGGUCUUCGUAGGUUUUGAUAUGGACAUUAUUUUGUAUCUUACGCUUUAUUAAUGAAAAUAUAUUUUUCUCCUUUUAAUGAGAUAGCGUAAUUGAUAUUAGUAGGCACAUAUUCGUUAAGUCACCAGGCUCAGAUCAGCCCACUCACACGGGUGAUCGCCCUGGCACCUAAAUGGUGAGCAGGAUGAGACUAGAUAAUCAUAUUAAACUUGAGUAGUUGUAAUAUGAUUACUUUGUUCAUAUAUGUUAUGAAUGAAGUGUUGAUAUAAUUUAAAGUCGCCUUAAUUAGUUUAAGAUGAGACUCUAAAGAGUUGGAUAUGAAAGUUUUUUUGAGAAAUUUCAUAUCGAGCCUGUAUAGUAGCCGAACCUAUGUGCUCAGGUUAGAGAGAUGACUUGAGUUGUGGUGGUUAGAUACCUUAGUGGUACCUAGACCAAGGUUCGUAUGGCGUUUUUUAGAGCGUGACAUGACCCAUUGAGUGGGAUAGCAUACAUAUCAUACUGUAUGUGCUUGUCGACUAGUUAGUAGAGUGACAUAAGUUCUUCCCUCCAUAUCACUGUGUGAGCACUAACCCUUUUGUGCCCUCAACUUAGAACUACGUUAUGAAGUGGAGGUCCAAAGUAACUAACUUAGCAUGUAUCUCAGGGUCAUGAGAAAAUACGAUCUCGCGGAACAUGUCUAGUAAAGUGCUUGGACCAAUAUGGAUUAACGUGAGGAGCUGAGGAAGAUGUUUCGAUAAGACACUACGUAAAUCUUGUGACUCAUUGUCCGAGCGGUUAUCUCGGUUGUGUUACUUGAGAUAAUCAUGAGUACGAGAAAUAACGGUGGGGUCGAGCCCUGUUAUUACAGGAGAGGGACUUUGUGAUGCUUGAUCCGGUGUGUGUUGGAACGUCUAGGGCAUAGACGAAUUAAGUCAGUGAUGUGCUAUGUUAGUUGGGCGGUGACUUAAUAUAGCACUCCUGCAUGUGUUUCUUUCGUCAGGUCGCACGCUCCAUUACACGUAUGAAGAGAUGAAUGAAUAAGAGAGAAUUGGCCAAUAUGGCCAAGUGGGAGAUUGUAGCCAUGUGGUGUGUCCACAUUGGCAGGUUUUAAUUUAACCCGAUCCACUUAAGAUGUGGAUUGGAAUUUAUCCUAAUAAGUUUAGGAUAAGAAUAAAUCAUAUGUUUCUCAUUAGUUAAGAAACGUAUCUAUUAGUGGAUAUCUAUUAUAUGUUAAUAGAUAUCCUGAUCCUUAUCCUAAUCUAUAUGGGAUUCAAGAUAUUUAGGGGUUCCGUUAUUCUAUAUAUACGCCCCUUUUUUUCCGGAAAAGGCGACGAUCGCAUACGAUCAAAUUCAUAAGAACCCACGAAAUAUCUCCCUUAUUCUCUCUCUUCUUCCUCUCUGGAAUUUCCACCUACGUUUCUGGGGUUUUGGAGUGUGGAUAUAGAAGAGGACUCUGGUAGCCCUCUUCGAUUGGCAUCCGUCGCAUCCGAUCCACAUCCGAUCUGUGGCGUAAGGCGUACACGUGGGAGAAGGCGAGAAACGUGGGAGAUCCAGAAGUAUCGAGACAAGGACGAUCCAAGAAGGCUUGUAAAACAAGCAAUCCGAUCCGAUUCGGGUUCUCGGAUACGUUGGCUAUCCGGUUUGUAAGUUUCCGCUGCCUUAUUAUUUCUAACAUAUAUAAUAUAUAAAUUAUUUAUUUAUAUAUAUAAAUAUAAAAUAUAUGUAUUCGAGCUGUUAUUGAGCUGAACGCGAGCGAGCUAACCCUACCUCGUGUUCGGCUCACUUGUUAAACGAGCUGAAAAAUUAAACUCGUAAUCGUCUCAUUUACUAAACGAGUAAUUCGAUCUUGAGCUUAUUUCAAGCCGAACAUGAGCUAGCUCACAACAACGAGCUGGAUUGCCACCCCUAGUAAUGUGUAGAGCACAACUAAGAAUAUAAAUCAAUUAUUCUAGUGUCCUCGACAACAUAUUCAAAGAAAGUUCAAAUCAUAAUUCAAUGGUAUUGAAUAUGACCAGGAAAUGCACAAACAAGAGCAUGAAUUUCCUAACAAAAUAAAGAUAAAGAACUUUUAUAGCAUAUAUAUACCCCUCAAAAUAGACUAUUGCACCAGUGCAUUUAAUUGGUAUAAAGCCUUACAAAUAGCCUAUAUAUAUUUGCAUUUUAGAGCUCAAGGGUUACAUUUAGCAAGUUUGGUUUGAGUUAUAUAUGCAAUAUUACAGAGUAUUUCGAUAUAUCUAGAUAUUUUGGAUUUCUAAAUUAGAUUACUACUGAUGCUGCAUUAGCGUGUUUAGUUUAAUGCAAUAAUAUAAUGCUGGAUUGCACUGUUUAUAACAUUACUAUGUUUGAUUUAGUAUAUAAAACUCAGUAAUCUUAACAAUAAAAUAUAGUCUAUUCUAAAAUUGGCCUUAGCCAUAUUUGGUAAACUUUUUUUUUUACUGUUUAUAAAUAAUAUUUUUUUACUAAAUUUUAUUUUAAAUAAUUUAAAUUUUUAAACUUUAAAAUUUAAAAUGUUAAAUUUGAACAAAAAUAUAAAAUUUAAUGCAGCAUCAGUAGUAAUCUNAUUUGAAAUUUGAAGUUUAAAAAUUUAAAAUUUAAAAUUUAAAAAUUAAAAUUUGAAAAUUAAAAAUUAAAAUUCAAAAUUUAGAAUUUAAAUAUUGACAAUUCAAAAUUUUAAAUUAAAAUUUUUAAAAUGACAUAUUGAAAGGGUUUCGGGAGUAGGAGGAGUAAAUUUGUAUAUAAUAUGCAAGAUUAGUCGCCUUCAGUAAUGCAAGAUACACAUCCCCCUCCUUAGUAAUAUUUUCGAUGUAAUCUUACACCUUUUGUAAUGCUGCAAUACCGAACAGAUUACAUAUUGGAUGAACUAAACGCAGUAAUCCUGGUAGGAUUGUCUCUAAUACUGUUAGGAUAACCCAAACCGAACGCACCCUUACAUCUAUCUUAUUAGAAAUAGUGGGUGCUUGGUGUAGCAUUUGAAAAUUGAUUUUGAGCCCAAAUGUGAUCUUUGGCUCAUUAGAGUGUUUGGCAACUUUGUUUUCAAAAUCUGACUAUAAUUUUUAGAAUCAGUUUUUUGAUUUUCGAAACCCAAAAUCAGAAGCUGCUCAAACCUUCCUUGAAAUCUGAUUAUGAUAUUAGACUCAAAUUUUUUUCAUUUUAGAUUAAAAUUUUAUAUUUAAAUUCAAAUUUUAAAUUCUAAAUAUUUAAAUUUCAAAUUUCAAAAUUUAAAAUUUAGAUAUUAAAUUUCCAACUUUCAAAUUUUAAAAUUUUAAUUUUCAAAUAUCAUAUUUAAAACAAAAUUAUAAAUUUCAAAUCUCAAAUUUAAAUUUCACAAUUCAAAAUUUUAAAUUUUAAAUUAAAUUUUAGAUGAAAUUUAAAUUUUUAAAUUUUUAAAUUUUAAAUUUUAAAAUUAUAGGUUUUAAUUUUUAAAUUACAAUUUUUUUACUUUUAAAGUUUAGAAUCUAAAUUUUAAGUUUUAAAUUUUAAAUAUUCAAAUUUAAAUUUUAAUUUAAUAUUUAGGUUUUAAAUUUGAAAUUAAAAAUUUAAAUUAGAUUUAAAAAUUCAAAAUUUAAAUUUUAAAUUUUCAAAUUUCAAGUUUAUAUCAAAUUUUAAAUUUUGUGUAAAUUUAAAAUUUAAAAUUUAAAUCUUCAAUUUAAAUUUAAAUUAUUUAAAAUAAUAGUAAUAAAAUUAUUAUUUACAAACGGUAAAUUUUUUUUGCCAAACAGCUUUAUAAAUCGCUUUAAAAAAAUCAUUUUCAUUUAAACUUAUAUAGCUAAACGCUCUAUGACUUGCACAAAUUGGACAUAUUGCUAGUUAUAUUGGUGAUUGUGGAUAGAUUAACCAAAUCAGCGUAUUUUAUCUCUAUCCACACAUUUGGUCGAGAGAGAGACUUGCACAAGUAUAGCUUGAUGAAGUUGUGCGACUUCACGGAGUGCCUAUCUCUAUUGCAUCGGAUAGAGAUCCUAAAUUUGUAUCGCAUUUUUGAAAGAGCCUUCAUGAAGCACUGGGCACCCAAUUUGGAUUUCAGCAUCGCAUUCCACCCUCAAAGUGAUGGACAAUUUGAACGCACCAAAUGAAAUAAACGAAGUGGGUAGCGUACUACCUAUCUCUCAAAAAAAAAAAUCUAAACACACCAUUCAGACUUUAGAGGACAUGCUUCGUAUCUGUGUUUUGGAUUUUCAAGGCGGAUGGCACCUUUCAAAGCACUCUGUAGAAAGAAGUACCGAUCACUUUUCUAUUGGAGUAAAAUAGGUGAAAAGCUAGUUUUGGGUCCCGACGUGCUACAUGAAGCGGAAAACAAGGUUCGCGUUGCUCGAGAAUGAUUGAUUUCAGCCCAAAUUAGACAAAAAAGUUGUGCUGGUAAGCAUCAGAAAGAAUUGGAAUUCUAGUUGGGAGAUCAUGUCUUCCUGAAGGUAUCACCGACGAAGUGGACUAAGAGAUUCGAUUUUCAAGGAAAGUUAAGUUCUCGAUUCAUUGGACCCUUUAAAAUCUUGGAGCGUGUAGGCCCGGUAGCAUAUCGGAUUGCUUUGCCACCGAACUUAUCGGGAGUACACAAUGUGUUUCAUAUUUCAGCGCUCUGGAAGUAUGUUUUUCACCAAACUCAUGUUUUGGAUUUCACUCCGUUGGAGUUGGGUGAAGAUUUGAGUUUUGAAGAGCACCUAGUGAGGAUCUUAGCUCACGAGGUGAAAAAACUUUGAAAUCAUGAGAUUCCUUAUGUAAAAGUGCUUUGGAGCAACCACGAGGAACAUGAGGCUACUUGGGAGUUAGAGAGUACGCUGCGGGAGCAUUAUCCCUAUUUUUUUCAAAUGGAUACUUAGGAUAUUUGACUUCUAGUUUCGCAGACAAAACUCCUUUUUAGAAUGAGGGGGGAUAUAGUGCAUUAAACUUUAGCAAUUUCGGAGUACUAGUGAGAGAAUAGUAUUUUGUACUAUUUUGAAAGUUUUGACUGAGCUUGGAGAGCUUGGGGAUGUUUUCGGAGCUUAGUUAGUGUAAAAACAGACUCCGGAAGCCAAAAUCUACAAAACUGCACUUUUGGCCAUUGUGUACAGGUACCAAGUCUGGGUAUCGGAACCCUAUUGCGUACGAGUUGGCUCAGCUCUUGGGUUUUGCGGAACUAGGUUGAGUACGGGUACUAGACCAUGUUAUACUGGUACUGAUUUGAGCGGGUACCGGAAUGCUAUAGAAAUCAAAAUUUCUAACGUUCGGGUUUUGCGGGAUUAGAGCCGAGUACCGAAACGAAAGGGAUUGUGUACCGGUACUCCAGUUCGGGUACCAGUACUCAAUGGUACAGAACUGUUUUUUGUAUAGUUUGUAAUUCUUGAAAUUAGAGGGGCUUUUUGAGAUAUUGUGCAGAUGGGUAUAAACCCACUUUACCUCACCUUUCUCCUCUCAUUUGGAGAAGUGAAAGAGAAUGAGAGAGGUUGGUUUCUCUCUCUUAGAUUUUUCACUCCCAAACUCCUCGAAUACUUGUAUUUUCUUCUUCGUCUCUUCAUCUUCUCCAUGGGUGCUUGGAUCUAAGGCUUGGAGGGGAGCUUAAGCUUGAAGAAGAUACUUGUUUGUGACCUAAGCUUCAACCUAGCAACUCCAAUUUGAGAUUAGAGCUCUAUUUGAUGUUAGUAAUCUCCCUUCACUCUCUAUUUCAGAGAUUUGCAGAUGUUUUAGUAGAAAAACUAUAGAAAUUAUGAUUUAUUUUGAGAUUUUUCAAAUGUGAACUUUUAGGAUGAAAUUGAUGAAUAUUGACUUUUAGGUUGGAUUUGAAGCCCCAUUAUCUUGGUUUGGAGUUUGGACAAAUCUUGUUUGAUCCAAAAGUAAUUUUCACCUAUUUUCUCUAUGAAUUUUGGUGAAUUUCGUGGUGAGAUUUUUGAAAACUUGUAAACUCUUUGGAAAUUUUUCUUAAGGUGUAAGAAGUUUAGAGGGCAACCUUGUUUUUGAAACGAUCGAGUUUUCGACGGUUAUCGGGUAGGUUUGACCUUACCGAAAAGGAUGAAUUCUUCCUAUAUCUCUUAUCUCAUUUUUUAGCUUAUUAGAUGGUUUAGCAUGCAAUUCAAAACAAUAUUGAAUUUUUGGACAUAUAGUUCGGAAUCAUUUUAUAUGAAGAAUUCUACCCUCUAUGUAGUAAAGGUAUUUAUAGGAAAUGACAUGCAUGUAAGACAUAUAAUGUAGUCAAUAGCAUGGUUUAAUUAACCCUUGUGUAUAUUAUUGUUGAGGUACUUAUUGGGAUUGUACAUGACUCAUGAAGUAAGUUACUUGUUAGAACUUGAAUGAUAAAUCAUACAUACUAGUAUAGUUAUGAUGAAAGAGGUUCUAAUUUCAUAUUUUAGACUUGAUGAAAAUGUUAUAAUUCUAUGUUUUAGACAUGAAGAAAGAGGUUCUAAUUCUAUAUUUUAGACAUGAUGAAAGGGGUUCGAAUUUCAUAUUUUAGACAUGAUGAAAGGGGUUCUAAUUCUAUAUUUUAGAGAUAAUGAAAGACUUUCUAAUUCCAUAUUUUAGCAAUUUGUUGAAAAUUUAGAAUUGUUUAUUGAAAGAGUGGAAUACUUCUUUUAUUUUUUUCCCUCUAAUGCAGGUUAAGCCAGUGAGGUGAAGCAAUCUUUUGAUCAAUCGAAACAUGCGCCUUCAACUCAUUCAUUCUGUCUAACAAAAAAUAUGUGAUUGGAGUCAUGAGACUAAACUACUUUCUUUUUUACUGUGGAUGUGGAUUGAAAUUUAUUUUUUGUGAAACUUUAAAGAAGUUAUUAUUUUGUACUUGGGUUUGGCUACUAAAAUUUGUAGAAUGAUACCAUUUGCUUGUGUUAGAUACUUUUUUGUAAGAAACUGUGUUUGAGAUUGUUAUUUUUGAUUGAAAUGCGUGCGAGUACCGUUCAUACUCUUUUGUGUUAACAUGACAUACCUAUUUUGGCUUAUUAAAUUAUUAUUUCAUUGUUAAUGUAUAAAUCCCUGUUCAUCUAAUUACAUGAUACAAUAAUGUACCAUAAAUUCAACCUUUUGCGCCGGUAUUCCUUUCUAUCAAAGGAACCAUAAUUUUAUAUUUAUUGAUGACAUUCAUAAGUACUCUUGAAACUUUGCUGGCAGAAUAAACUGCUACUAUUGCCGGCAUUUAUAAGUAUCUAAAACUUUGUUGGCAGCAUAACCGCCACUAAAAAGGGAAUGCCGACACUUGCUAGUGCCGAAAGAAGGAAUAAUGCUGGCACUUAUGAGUGCUAUCAUAGAUUCUUAUAGCUGGUGUUGAUACCAAAAUUGAACCGACCUAAUCCACGUAUGAGCCAAUAAGGACACGUGGUACACCAGGAGUCGGCAAUAAGGUGUCUGAAGGACAAGAAGGCGGGAACGGUUGAAGAUUGGGGCGUAACUUCCAUGAGGAGUUAGCGUAACUUUCAUGAGGAGUUAGUAUAACUUCCACGAUCAUGGUUACAACCACUUCCCCCAACUACUUUCAACCAACUAAUAAUGUGGGCUAUAAAUAGUAACUUUGAAGCCUGCAAUAAGGAUCUUUGCCCAUGCGCACAAAAGACCACCCUUAUUUUUCCUGCAUCUUUCUUUCUCGCAUUUACUACAUUCCCUAGGAGUAGUUCCUGUAACUUAGAUCUUUGGAGUCUGUCUGUCCCAUGGGCAUCACUCCCUUAUAGAAUAUACUUGGAGUCUGUCUGGCCCAUGGGCAUCACUCCCUUGUAGAAUAUACUUGGAGUCUGUCUGCCCCACGGGCAUCACUCCCCGGUUCUUGUACUUUUCCAUUUUCUAUUCAAUAGAAAGUCACGUUUGGCUAUUCAGGUCGACCAGAUUUUUGUUGUGCUAGCCAUUCGGCUCAUCUCCCGGCUUAAUUUCCGACUUUCCCCGCAUAUUCGGCUCAUCCAGCCGAACCGAAGAGUGAAAAGAGCUUUCGGACCCGGCUGGCUCGAUCCUUCAUCAGCCGAAUCGCUUGAUCUGUCGAAGGGCGCAAACUUCGAGGGUCACUAUCCGCAGCCGUUUCUUACCCCAACGCGCUUCCCGAGAAAGAUCUUUGACCGGAUCAAAGGUCGGGACGAUCGGCAGGCAACAAUUUUUGGCACGCCCGGUGGGACACAUUUUUAGGUAAAUUUAUAUUUUAUAUAAAUUAUGGCUGAUAAUAACGCCAUGAAUUUAUGUAAUAGGGUUGUUCCUAGAAAUUCUGGGAGUGAUCAACCUAGUGAUUCAGACAAUGCUGGCGAAUAUCAAGCAGUUUUGCCAGUUGAAGGAGAAACUAGUAGACAGUCGGCUCAUCAAGAGCCGAGUCUAACUUAGGCACUCGGCCAGAUGAGCCGAGUCCUGCAAACUUUAGAUCAAAAUAUCCAUCAAAGUACCGCUCGACUAGACGCGGUGCUGGCCGCUAUCACGGCCUAUAAUGAAAAUAUUGGUCGAAUCAAAUAAUUAUUUAUCCGUAACGAGCAACCUUAUGGGGGGCAACAAGGGCCCCUAAAUGUGCCGGUGCAACAAAAUUCCGUCACGCCGGCGGUCUCACAGGCGCAACCGCAAAUGGCACCUUUCCAGGUUGUUUACAGGCCGGCGAAUAUAAACGCCGGCCCUCAGUCGGAGAUUGCAUCGGGUUUACCUCCUUUACCAGCUUAUCAGCCCCAAAAUGUAGGGAUUAGGGCUGGGGGGCAGGCCCCUAAUGAUAUGCAAGGAGCGAACCCUGCAAUACAGAAUUCUGGAGUUCCUCAAGGGCCAAAUUCGGCUCAAGCACAAGCUCCGCUGUAUGCUCAGAUUGAGGAAGUCAUUCGGAAUACCUUCGGAGUAGGGGCCAGGCCGGCUAUGCGGCCUAUUUUUCGAUCCCCGUAUCCAGCAAACAUAGAUACAGAGCAUCCGUAUCCGGCAAACUGGAAAAUGCCGAAGUUCGACAAGUUCUCGGGCGAUGAGACCGAGAAUACGGUCGAGCAUAUAGCCCGGUUCACGGCCCAAUGUAGAGAAGCGGCCGCUGACUCAUUUUUGAAACUUCGAUUAUUUAACACGUCGUUAACUAAAACGGCGUUUACUUGGUAUACAAGUUUAUCAGCCAAUUCCGUCCAAGAUUGGGACGAAUUGGAAAGAAAAUUUCAUGAGCGAUUCUAUAGAUCGGAGCCACAAUUAUCGGUCGCCGACUUGGCUUUAUACCGACAAAUGUCAGGUGAAACGGUCGAAGAGUAUUUGGACCGUUUCAAAAUAGCCAAAACCCGGUGCUUUAUGAGAAUGCCGGAAUCAGAGUUCGCCAAAAUGGCGUUAAAUGGUCUGCAUUUUAAGAUAAAAGACCAUUUUGAAGAUAAGUAUUUUUCUAACCUAUUUGAUCUAGGUGUUCGAGUUGCCCAAUACGAGCAAUUUCAGAAGAAAAGUGAGGACGAUCGGCUGCAAUGGAGCCGAUAUAAAAAUCAAAGCAAAGGCAAGGAGAAAUCCUUGCUAGAAGAACAGUCGGUUCAAGAAGAGCCGAGCCAAUCGAGUGAAAGUGAAGAAUCGGCUGAUGAAGCCGAGAUAUAGCCACUUUCUUUAAGAAGAAUUUCUUGAUAGAAAAAUAUUCGGUUCAAGAAGAGCCGAACUAAUCGAAUAAAAGUAAAGAAUCAGCUGAUGAAGUCGAGAUAUAUGUGGCUGGGAUGAUAAAGCGCCGUUUUCCUAAAGCCGACCAAGACCAGCGAAACUAAAGCUUUGGUCUCGGCUGUGCUUUUGAACAGUCGAUUUGGCACCAAUAGUCAUCCGAAUGUUCAUUCAAAAGACUAUUGGGAGGGGGGGGCAUUGUUGAUACCAAAAUUGAGCCGACCUAACCCACGUAUGAGUCAAUAAGGACACGUGGUACACCAGGAGUCGGCAAUAAGGCGCCUGAAGGACAAGAAGGCGGGAACGGUUGAAGAUUGGGGCGUAACUUCCAUAAGGAGUUAGCGUAACUUUUAUGAGGAGUUAGUAUAACUUCCACGAUCAUGAUUACAACCACUUCCCCCAACUACUUUCAACCAACUAAUAAUGUGGGCUAUAAAUAGUAACUUUGAAGCCUGCAAUAAGGGUCUUUGCCCCUGCGCACAAAAGACCACCCUUAUUUUUCCUGUAUCUUUCUUUUUCGCAUUUACUGCUUUUCCUAGGAGUAGUUCCUGUAACUUAGAUCUUUGGAGUCUGUCUGCCCCAUGGGCAUCACUCCCUUAUAGAAUAUACUUGGAGUCUGUCUGCCCCAUGGGCAUUAUUCCCUUAUAGAAUAUACUUGGAGUCUGUCUGCGCCACGGGCAUCACUCCCCGGUUCUUAUACUUUUCCAUUUUCUAUUCAAUAGAAAAUCAUAUUCGGCUAUUCAGGCCGACCAGAUUUUGUGUUGUGCUAGCCAUUCGGCUCAUCUCCCGGCUUAAUUUCCGACUUUCCCCGCAUAUUCGGAUCAUCCAGCCGAACCGAAGAGUGAAAAGAGCUUUCAGACCCGGCUAGCUCGAUCCCUCGUCAGCCGAAUCGCUUGAUCUGUCGAAGGGCGCAAACUUCGAUGGUCACUAUCCGCAGCCGUUACUCACCCCGACGCGCUUUCCGAGGAAGAUCUUUGACCGGGUCAAAGGUCGGGACGAUCGGCAGGCAACAGUUGGCAUACACAAGUGCCAGUGUUAUAAAAUUUACUGGCGGUUAGUAAGAAGUGCCAGCAAAUUAAUUAUCGUCGGACUUUUAGCCGGCACUUGUGAGUGGCACAAGUAAAUGCCAGUAAAAAUUUUUCCUCGCACUUAUUACACCUUUUCUGGCUAUUUAAAUUGCCACGAAUAGUCCCUUUUGGUGUAGUGCCGGCGGCCCUCGGCGACAGUAACGAAGGAGGCGCCGCCUCGUCCGUCUCCACCUCCAUCUCCGUCGGUGACGGAGAAAGAGAAGGAGAACUCGAAGCAAAGCCGGAUGAGAAGGAUCAUUAUAUAUCAUUGCUGCUACUGAAAAAUGAUAUAUAAUGGUCUUUUAAAGAGAAAAAAAAAUUUCUUUAUUUUUUUACUCUCAUUCUUUAUUUUUUUUUUUCUACUAUCUACAUUUCUGUUCGCUUUUUGGAGAUGGGUGCAUCUUUUUCUCCUCACCUUUACGGGCGGCGAGCACUUCCUUAACAACGACCUCAUCGCUUUCGUCCCUUUUACAAGAAAAAUAAAGAAUCAUAGAGAAAAAAAAAAAGAUAAUAAAAUUACACUAUUUUAGAGGAACAUUGCACUAUUUUAAAGAAAAGUUAAACUAUUUGAGGAAAAAAAACAAACUUUUAUGAAUAAAAGUUAUACUUUUUGAACGAAAGUUGCACUUUUUGGAUGAAAAUUAUAUUAUUUCCCCUCUUCCUCCUCCUUUCUCUUAGUUUUCGUGCAGAUGAGUUGAAGCAGUGUAAUUAUCGCCCGAAGAGUUCAAGUUUCGUUCAAAGUGUGCAACUUUUAUUUAGAAAAGUGUAAUUUUUCUUUAAAACAUUGCAAUGUUCCUUUGAAAUAGUGUAUCUUCAUCAUAUUCUUCUUUUCUCUUAAAUUCUUUAUUUUUCUUAUAGAAAAAAAUAUUUUUUUAUAUUUUAUUAUUAUUAUUAUUAUUUUAUUUAUUUUUUAUAUUUUUUUUCUUGGCUCCGCUCUUAUCCGCGCUCGCUCCAAGUCCUUCUUCUCCGGUGCUGGUGUUGGUGUCUGCGUCGGCGAAGGUGGAGUAAGAGGACGCGACGCUAUUUUCGUUACCGUCGUGAAGGAUCGCGAAGGCGGUGGAAGGGGAGUUGAAGAGAAAAGAAAAAGAACGAGAGAAAAAAAAGGAGAGAAAGAGGAUGUGACGUUACCCUCUUUACUAUCGUAAAAAGUCGGGAAGACGAUGAAGGAGGGUUGGAGAGAAAAAAAAAGAAGAGAGUGGCAGCACGGCCUCUGCCUAGUUGGAGGUAAGGAAGGCGGGGGUGCACGGGCAAGGGUCUAACGGGAAAAGGCGAGGCGAGCUGCCUCCGCCUUCGCCUUUGGCUCCGCCUUCGUCGCCUUCUUGGGAAAGAGAGAAAAAAAGAAUGGGAGAAAAAAAAAAAGAGAAAAAAAAAGAAUAAGAGUAUUUCUGUCAAUUUACUGAAAAUCUGACUUGAAUAUGUAAAAUCUAAAAUGAUGGCCUAAUUUUGCAAAAACUUAAAAUUAAUAAUUUUUUUUAUACAAAUUGGCCAUUUAUUUAAUUAUAAUAAGGUAAAAUAAUAAAAAUAAAUAUCACAACCCAAUAGACGGUUCACUCUUCCCAGCGAAACAAACUUGCCCGGAGCGGCGAGAGAACAAACCUUCUGUUUCACCUAGGGGUGUCAAACGGGCCGGGCGGCCCGCGGCCCGCCCGGCCCGGCACGAGAGUGGGCCGGGCCAGGCACGGCACGAGUACUGUAGCGUGCCGUGCCGGCCCGGCCCGACCAAUUGAAUCGGGUCGUGCUGGGCCUUGGUCCCGCGGCCCGAUGGCCCGGCACGGCCCGGCACGACACGGGCCUGGGCCGUGCCGGGCCAGAGAGGGUACCCCGGCCCGGCACGGCACGGCACGGCCCGGCCCGUGUGGCCCUGCCGGGCCAUACACUGUAGCAUGCCUUAUGGGCUGUUGCUUGGGGCUCUCCCAAGGAUCUUUGGGCUUGGACUAAAAUGUCCUUCCCAACAGUCAAAAUUUUGACUGUUGGGAGGGUAUUUUGGUCCAAAAGAUUUAAAUUUUAAUAUUUUUAUAAAUAUCUUACUUUAUGAAUUUGAAAUUUUAAGGUUAUAAUUAUUUUUUUUAAAUAUCAAUUUCUCUUAAAUAAUAAAAAAGUAUUAAAAUAAUUUUUUCUGAAAAAAAAUUCUAUGAAAAAAAAAACUGUGGAAGGAGAAAAAAAGAAAGGGCCUGGUAGCCUGGCAGGCUGGCACGAAGCCGGCCGGCCCGGCACGGCCCGUGUGGCGGGCGGCGAGCCGGGCCGUUUCUACUUCAUGGAAACGGGCCGGCACGGCACGGCCCGGAUUAAGAACCGGGUCGGGCGGCCGACAUUGCCCGAUUUGGCCCGGAAAAUGUGGGCCGUGCAGCCGGCACGGCCCACAUUACAUCCUCUAGUUUCACCCGGUCAAUUCCUCCACCUUCGAGUCCGUCGUUCUACACUUCUCCACCGUACACCUGCACAGCAGUCAAAGCCGGUUCGCACGAGGACAGCGCCUCGACGUCAUCGCGGGGCCCCACUGUACGCGCGGUCCGUUUAGCGUGCUCGCCCACGCCGUUCACGCUGGGGGGCGGAGGGCGGGGGGGGGGGUGACACCCGACGAUAAAGCGGAGAGCGGCGUCUCUGGCCCGAAACAUCGACGGUGUAGUCGCCCCAACGCACUACGCGCGAACACACUCUCCUAUCUUCUCUCUCUCUCUCUAUAUAUAUAUAUAUAUAUUCUAUAUAUAUAUAUAUACAUAUAUAAAGCCACCCUCCCUCUCUCUUUCUCACUCGAAACGCUCACUCGAAUACCCCAUGCACUUUUUCGAAUUUCUCCACUUCCCGAUAAUGGCGAAUUAGGGUUCUUCCCCGAUAACCCUAACCCCUAAUCUCAUCUCCUCCAUCCGACCUCUUCUUCCCCCCAUAAUUUAGAUCGUUCGGCUCCUCGAUCUCGUCCAUGGAACUCGCCGCGGCGGCGGCGGCGGCGUCGCGCGGCCUCUACGUGGCGCCCGGUGCUAUCGCUUUACGGGGCAAAUGGGGGCGGCUGGGAGCGUAUCCGAGGAAGGAUUGUGAUCGGACUGAGAAAUCGGGGACUGCGGUGGCGAUUUCGGGGGAUUCGAGUAGGAGGAUGGAGUCUCUUGUGAGCAAUGUGAGCAGGGGAGGAGUGGAGAUGGCAUUGGUGGAGCGGCGGGGAUCAGUGGUAGUGAAGGUGCUCCCGGGGAGGCCAGCGCCGCUCGGCGCUACCGCCUGCGAGGGCGGUGUCAAUUUCGCUAUUUAUUCCGGCAGCGCUACUGCUGCCGCGCUCUGCCUCUUCACCCUCGCCGAUCUAAAAGCAGUAAUCUUUCUAUGUUUACUUCUGCGUUUAGUUGCUUGUUCGGGGCUUAUUUAGCUUAUUUGGGCGUUUAAUGUGCGAGCAAUAUUACCAGUACACUCUAGUGGAGUGUACAUUUUACUGCCACUCCAUUUAAGGACUAUUAUUAAUUCUUUACAUGUCACAUAAUCUUUUUUCUUUACUUUUACUAAAACUCAUUUGAAUUUUUUUUGAAUCCUAGGAUACACCCCCUCUUGCAGUGUACAAGUAGAAUUUCUCCGUGUGAGCUUUUGUGUUAAAGUUUGAUGAAGCCCCUUAUCUCUAGGGCGUUUUGAAAUAGACUCCUCAACUGCUUUUCUUUUGGUUGACAACCUUCUUAACUAUUGAUUCUUUUGAUUUAAGUUAUUUUAUCAAUUAAAUUGGUAAUUUUGUUGAAUCUGAUGAUAAUUGCAUUUUGGGAUGUCAAAUAAACUUUAAAAAUAAAAAAGAAUGAGGGAAAAUCAUGAAGCGUACUUGAAAUCUAUUUGAUUAUGAUUUAUGUCAUUGUGUCUUAUUUUAAACAUCUCAAUAAGCUUAUACAAGAAACUAUCUUUGAUGCAUAAUCAAAAUAAAGUGCAUUUUAGUAUGCACUUGCAACAUGCAACCAAUGGCUAUGCUUCUUUUGGACCAAAUAAUACUUCCAGCUUUGUCUUAGCCAGUGUGCUUAGUGGAAGAUUUAUAUUUCCUCUCGAACUUAUUUAGUAUUUUCUGUUCCAAUUUUUUGGUGCAGAAUAAUGUGACAGAGCUGAUUCCUCUUGAUCCUGUAGUCAACAAAACUGGGAAUACUUGGCAUGUUUUCCUUCAAGGCGAAUUUCAGGACAUGCUAUAUGGCUACAAGUUUGAUGGAAAGUUUUCACCUGAAGAAGGACACUACUUCGACUAUUCUCGGGUUGUGCUAGAUCCUUAUGCUAAGGUUGUUUUUUGCCUGCAAUUUCUCAAGUACAUUUACCUUAGAAUUUAUUUUCAUUCAUUAUAGCAAGAAGUUUCAAUUUUAUGGUUGGAGAAUUAUAGAUAUACACAUAUAUACAUAUAUUGAUAUAUGGAAGUAAACAAGAGAGUUUAACUUCCGCAUCCUUUUCGGCAAUGGGGAAUUUGAAUUGAUGAUCCAGACUGUUAAGCUUGCUCUAGGCCAUUUGAACUUCUUAAGUUUUACAUUUCGUGAUUCUAUGACAUCAUUUGCCUAGUAUUUGAAUGGUCUCAAAAUUAAUAAUUUCUAAAUUCAAUUGCAUUCUCCGCUCCAAUCACUGUUUUGUUUCCGUUAAUUUCUAAAUUCAAUCGCAUUCUCAGCUCCAAUCACUGUUUUGUUUCUGUAUGUUCCCAAUUUAUCCACUGGGUCAAUCUAGUUGGUUCUUUGUGUCCAGCUUGGGCAUAAUAUAUAUAUAUAUAUAUAUAGAAGGAGGUCUUGUGUGCUAUUAGGAGCACGGAGGUCUCCGUGCUCUUAAGCCGUUUUCGAUCAUGGAGCUUCCGAAUCGACGAUCGGCUUCGUUAGACUUGAAUACUUGAUCUAGCGUAUUUGAAGUAUCUAGAAAAUAAAUUUUGCGAUUUUUCGAUAUCAUUUACCUAGCGAUCGAAACUUUUCAAAAUCAACGACCGAAAAUAAGUCUCAAAAAAAGUGGUGAUAUAGCACUAAAAUUUUCGAUCAGAGAUAUUGAUCUUACUGUAAAUAGUAUAAAAAAUUUUCUAUUAAAAUUUUAUUUGAUUUGAAUACUUCUACACUGUUAAACUUGCAAAUGAUAUACUCUCUCUCUCUCUCUCUCUCUCUCUCUCUCUCCAGAACACACGAUAAUCCUCGUGCCUCCAGAGGCAUGAGGAUUUGGCAAAAGCUACUACCUCGAAAGGUUAGUUGCUAGCCGAGGCAAUUUUAACUAGAUCGUAUAAACUUAAUAGAUUUUUUAUUUAAAAUAUUAAAAAGCUAUAGUAAUUAAAUAGAUAAUUUAUAUUUUAAUAUAUUUGUAGUAAGAGAUUUCGAAUUCGAAAUCUUCAUGUUACCAACAAAAUAUAUCAUAGUAUCAUCCAGAACACACGAUAAUCAACGUCACUACGGAGGUACGAGGAUUCGGUAAAAACUAAAUCAAGGAAGAUUAACUGUUAGCCGAAACAAUCGGAACGUAGAUCUGCACUAAACCUUACAGAUCUUGAAUUCGAAAAUCGCAUAAAACCAACAAUAGUAUAAUGAAUCGCUAGCUUUCCUAAGUUUUAGUUAUUAAAAAUUACCAACUANCUCUCUCUCUCUCUAUAUAUAUAUAUAUAUAUAUAUAUAUAUAUAUAUAUAUAGAAUUAGGCUGGAAUACUAUCAAUAGCACCAAGCUAUUUGUGCUAUUAGUUUUUUAGCCCUUGGAUUGAGAAAUGUGUGGUUAGGAUGAUGUAGGCCCCCUAGGGUUGAGUGAGUGGCUGGUUGAAUAGUAUAAUCUAACGGAUAAAAAUAAUUAAAGGGUUAAAUCUAACGGUGGAAAACACGAUAGCACCAAAUCCUUGGUGCUAUCGAUAGCAUCCCAGUCGAACUCUAUAUAUAUAGUAUUUUUAUGAGUAUAGAGCCCUUCGUACUCAUAAGUUGUUUUUGAUGAUGGAGCUUCCGAAUUGACGAUCCACUCCGUUAAAUAUAAUCCAUAGUAUUUGAAUCUUCUAAAAAUAAAUUUCGUAAUUUUCUUGAAAUCAUAAUAAAGUCCAUCAAUUUAAGAUCAGAGUUUUUUAUCAUUAUCUAGAUAGUAAAUAGAAUUUUCUGUCAAAGAUUCAACUGAUUUCGAUUCUUUUACACCAUUAAACUAGCAAGUAUCCCUUACCGGCUGUUAAAAAUUGUCACUUUGAGAUUUUUUGAUCGCAAGGUAAAUGAUGUUAGAAAAUUAUAAAAUUUGAUUUCUAGAAGUUUUAAAUGCUCUAGAUAACAUUUAACGGUAUGGAUCGUUGAUUCGGAAGUUCUAUCAUUGAAAACGACUUAUGAGUACGAAGAUGAUCGUACUUAUAAGAGUAUAUUAGCCGGACUCUCUCUCUCUCUCUUUAUAUAUAUAUAUAUAUAUAGGCUGGGGCUACUAUACUCAUAUGAGUAUAGAGCCCUUUGUACUCAUAACUUUUUGGCCGUUCAGAUGAAAAAAUGUGCGGUUGGGAUGAAAGUGGUUACGGUUAGGUUGAUAGUGGGCCCCCUAGGGUUGAGUGGGUGUUUGGUUGAAUAGUAUAAUCUAACGGAUGAAAAUGAUUAAAGGGNAAAAGCAAUUGGUGCCAAUUUCAUGAAUUGGUACCAAUUAUUAUUCUAUUUAAAUGCUAGGAUGGGAAGAAGAAGAAGGAGUAGAAGAAGAAGGGAGAAGAAGCAGCGGCCGCUCCCGCCGCCGCCGUCGCUGCCGCCGCUGCCGCUUGGGAGAGAGAAAGAAAAGGAGGAAGAAGGAGAGGGAGAAGGGAAAAGAGGGAAGAAGGAGAGGGAGAAGGAGAAGGGAGAAAAAGUAGCGGCCGCUCCCUCUUCUACGCUGCCGCCGCCGCUUGGGAGAGGGAGAGGGAGAAGAAGAAGGAGAGGGAGAAAGAAAAGGAGAAGGAGAAGGAGAAGGGAGAAGAAGCAGCGGCCGCUUCCUUCUCUACGCCGCCGCCGCGCGCCGCCGCGUGCCGCUGCUUGGGAAAGGGGGAAGUAGAAAGAGAAGGGAGAAGGAGAGGGAGAAGGAGAGGAAGAAGGAGAAGGGAAAAAAAGAAGGAGAGUAAGAAAGAGAAGGGAGAAGAAACAGCGGCCGCUCGAGCUGGGCGCGGCAACGGCGGUAGGCGAGGCCGCCGGGCUUCUCCUUCUCUUUCUCUUUCUCUCCCCCUUCUACGAAAACCUCCCUAUAUAAACACUCCCGUUUUACCAGUAAAGUGUACUUUUGACAAUUUUUUAUUUGUCAAGAGAUUGUCUACAAUUAGUCUACCUGUAUAGACGUAUUGAAAUCUGAAAACGUCCUUAUUGAAUACCUCAAAAGCAAAAGGUCCCUAUAAAGGCGUUAACUGAUACAAACGUCCCUGGACAUACGUAAAUUGGGAUAUAUAUAUAUAUAUCUAUAUAUAUAUAUAUAUAUAUAUAUAUAUAUAUAUAUAUAUAUAUAUAUAUGACCAUAUGAUAGCCAUCGUAACUCCGGAGGCACGAUGGUUCAACAUAAAUUACUACGCCGAAGUUUUAGCUGCUAGCCGAGAUAAUCUGAACUAGAUGUGAUAACUUUCAUAUACCUUUGAUUUAAAGUAUUAAAAAGCCAUAGUAAAUGGACAGUUUGCUCAUCAGAUUUUCAUUUGCACAGUGCGGGGCCCCAGAUAAAUACUAAUAUUUAGUGACACCUUCACGGGUUAAAAAAAAAAUUAUUUUUUUUGGACUGGGGGUCUCAUACGGUCUAGGCGGUGUUUAUAUCCCUCAGGUGAUAAGUGUGCCUGUCUCAGAGGGGAUAUAAACGUGCCGUAGCGUGUUCAUGUUAUAUGUGUUUUGUCCUAUGUUGGUGGUAGAUACUUGUAUGUGUAUAAGUAGGUGAUAAGUGUAAGUAUAAGUCUUAAAUAGGUAUUUAGGUGUUGUUAAUCAAAUUUUACAAAGGAUGGGCCUUUGAGCAAAACUUUAUGAUUCAGUACUUUUGGUUUUUUUGGAAAAUUUUUAACAAAAGGUGUGCUUUUAUAAAAAGAAAAAUUUUGAGCGAUGGUGCUCCCCAUCUUUUGGUAAAAGUCAAACGUUCUUAGUGUUUAGGAAUAAUGUAAGUAUUUUAGGGUUAAUAAGUUAAUUGUCCUUUAUGACUUAGUAUUUACGACAGAUUCAAUAAAUAACUUCCUUUGACUCAAAUUCUCAAAUUUGGUUUAUUGCCCUACCACCGAGAUGACUAGCGAUUCAUGCGAGGAGUGCUAGGCAGGGUGAUCCUGGGCGUUGAGUGGACAUUACCCUCACCCCCCACUCUUGUACAUGUGUACAGAGGCGAGAGUCACCCAUGGCGUUCGGCUGCUCCCGUUCCCAUGAGUGGUUAGUGCCUCCUAUUGUUGUUCAUCUCUAUCUAUUAUCAUUAUGUCAUCGUUACUAUUUGUUUCUUGCUCUAUAUAUAUGUAUACUUAGUGAUGGCGAUGACAUACGUACGUAGUUAACCUGCUCUUCAGGUUUUAUGGAUUAGUCUUUGGAUCGGGACAACCAGGCGUGCCGUCUGGAUUUCGGACACGGUGAUGAUGAGAUGGACGUAUAUUGGGUUCCAUCGGAUACCCGAGUGCUCAACCGUGUGGGUUGGUGCAAAGGCCUUUUCUUGUGGGAGAACGCUACCUAGUCUGGCGACCACAAGCACUUUACGUGUGUUCAUAGCCCGCUAGUUACCACUAUACGAGUUAUUAGUUGGCAGCCGUUAGUCGGCUGUUAGGAUGGGGAGUCCCAUAUGGCUGGCAUAUCCAGUAGUUUAUCAGGUUGGCUGGUUCAUCCAGAGCUAUUGUUACGUCAUUCGGCUGGCUUAUCUAGUGUCUAUGCUCUAUAUUCUUGGUUGGUUGAUCCAGUGUUAUGGUUUACGUUGAGUGACUGGCUGAUCCAGUAGUUAGAGUAUUUAUUAGUGUUUUGGCGAGAUGAAGAUUUGUACUAUGUUAUAUACGUUUUGUCGAUUCAUCUCAUUAUUUCUUUGUACCAUAUCCAGGAUCCGAGUUAUAUAUUAUACGGUCUAUUAGUUGUUCUUUCUCACUUCCCUUACAGUGUCUCGCACGUGGUGACAUGGCUGAAACCCAGCUUCAUGGGUGGACAUGCAUAUGUAUCUACAUUAACAAUAGGUUGAGACAAUAUAUCAACAUGAGAAAGUUUAAUAAAACCAACAUAUACAUUAAAAAAAAAUAAGUUACACAACAAUAGAAACAUUGACAAGCAAUUACACGUCUAACCGAACUCCAUAAAUUUAUAAACAUAUAAUAUAGCUUAUAGGCUUAGUAUUACGAUUAAAAAUAGUUUGACUAGUUGCACAGCAUACUCUCACUAUUCACUUCACGUUUUCAACGAAACAUGCGCAACCCUACCAAUCUUCACUCAAAGCCUUCAUUUUCACAGUAGCCGUGUUUGGCCCAAACUUUAGCGUAUGGCCAUGAGUGGAGACGAUCCCCGACUUUAACUUUACAACUUUUAAUCACAAAAAUCUCCCAAUUUUACGUUAAUAAACAUUUUAUAUUUUCUAACAGUCCUUAACGGCAGGGACAUAUCUGCAUAACUUUAGACUUUUGCAGGGAUAACUUAUGGAGUUUCCAUUUUGCAGGGAUAUUUUCGCAAUUGACUAUGUUUGCAGGGACCUGUAUGCAUUUAACCCUAUAUAUAUAUAUAGGCUCCUAUAAUAUCUAUAGUACCGAAGCUCUGGUACUAUGGUCUCGUUUUCGAUCAUAGGAUGUUCAAAUCAACGAUCCGCACUGUUAAAACUGAUAUAGGGUAUUUGAAGUUUUUAGGAAUAAAAUUUUAUAUUUUUUUGAUAUAGUUUACCUACUAUAUCAAAAGAUUGUUCUAGUAGCGUCGUUCUAUAUAUAUAGUUCACCUACUAUACUAUUGAUAGUAAAGAAAUAGUGCUUACUACCUACUUUCUAGUCCUUUGAUUAUAAAGGAAUAGUGUUUACUACCUACUGUUUAGCCCUAGGAUUAAUACUAUUCCACCUACCACUACUAAACCCAAGGCAUCCAAGGGCUAUAAAAUAGGUAGUAAAUACUAUUCCUUUACUAUCAAUAGCAUUUUAGCUCCACUCAUAUAUAUAUAUAGAAUUGAGCUCCUAUGCUUUUAAAAGUAUCAAGUUAUUGGUGCUUUUAGAUUUUCGGUCCUUGGAUUAAGGGAUGUGUGGUUAGGAUGAUAGUGGUCCCCUAGGAUUGAGUCGGUGGUUGGUUGAAUAGUAUGAUUUGACGGAUGGAAAUAGUCAAAGGUGUAGAUCUAAUGGCGAAAAUGUCACGCCCCGAGCCCCGCCUAUUUGGUCGGAUUCGGGGACGCCAACAGAUUGCUGAACGGACAGGGUCCAAGGCGUCACAAUCCAUACAAUGCGCGAGGUUCCAACCAUGCACAACAUUCAAACAAGGAUUGCAUAAGAAAGGUACCAAAAACAUAAACACUAUGCUAUUACAAGCAUUCAACUCACAUUCACAUUACAUAUUACAUUCUCAAUUCUUUUUUUAGCUUCCAAAUACAAUCUAGCUUUAACAAGAUUAUUACAACUUGGUUCUUUUCUUUUCACAUCCCUACGUUAAGCUGACUCAGGGUACUGCUAUCUCUGAUCUCAGUGGUAGGGCGCUAUCUACAGAGCUACGCCCUUUCUUCGCGCCGCCGCGCUGCUCGCAUGUGAACCUGAAACCCCCAAAACCACGUGGGGUGAGAACUGUAUAAAUAUAGUUCUCAGUGGGUACGACCACCCAAGAAAAGAGCUCGACCCACCAGGUCCAAAGGAGGCACUGCAAACAUGUUAGUCCAACAUAUAUAUAUACAACAUAUAAUUCAUGUUCAUGCCUCACAACAUGUAACUAUGUGUUACGAUAUAUUUUAUCUAUAUUAGGAUGUUACGAUAUAUUAGGAUAUUGUGUUUUAUUGCCUUAUAUAGAGUAGUAUCAUUGCCUUCUAUAGAGUAGGAUUAUGUAGUAUGUAAUCCUAGUUAUACUCUUACUAUAGUAGUCAUUGUUACUAUAGUAAGACAAUCUCUUGUACUAUAUAUAUUCAUUAAUACAACUCAAGAGGGUAUGCACUUUAGCCCUUCUUUCAUGGUAUCAGAGCGGGAACCCUAAUGUGGGGAUAUCGAUCCAUAGCCACCAUCCACCAUUAAUCUCACAUUUUUCUAUAGGUGUCUUUUCUUUUGUUUUUCUAUCUUCCCAGUGCUGCUACAGUACUGCUACAGUAUCAUCGCUACAGUACUAGCGCUACAGUACCGGCGCUACAGUAACAGCGCUACAGUUCUGCUACAGUAUUUUCAGCCUUUCUGUGAUUUCUUUUUGCUCCUAUUCAUUAAUACAACUCAAGAGGGUAUGCACUUUAGCCCUUCUUUCACUAUGCAACUUAUGCAAGUAAUUUACUUGAUUCUACUCUUUAUCAUUUGUCAUUCUUUAUCAUUUACAAUUCUUUAAUACUAGCCAUUCUUUACUACUUGCAAUUCUUAUUAAUUAGGCACUCUGUGUUAUUACUUGUAAUUCUUUAUUCUUUGCUAUUCUUUAACAUUAGCCGUUCUUUAUUCUUUAUCCUUAGUCACACUAUGCUCAUUUGUCAUUCUUUCCUAAGGUUAUUUUUACCUUAGCCAACUAUGCUACUCGACUAGGUCUUGAGUCAAUCAACUGCGGAUAAUCCGUGCUCUGUGCGGCUCGAGGUGAAGGAACUCUCACAUAUACCUUAGCCUUCAAUCCACAAACCACAUCGCCCAACGGGUCAUCUAGAGCUGCGUACACCUGUGGCUAGGGAUCCCCCGGUGGCAGAGGAACAUGCCGUAUACACCCGCAACCGAAAUCCCCGAUAGGGAGAGGAACAUGCCACAUACACCCUAGCGCUCAUGGUUCUUGCUCAAUCACAAUUCUCGAAGUUCUUCCGGUGGGAGAGGAACAUGCCACAUACACCCGCGGCCAAGAAUGUUGCAUAGUCACAAUCCUCGAAAUUCUUCCGGUGGGAGAGGAACAUGCCACAUACACCCGCGGCCAAGAACUAUCGAGCUCACAAGUCCUGGGAUUCCGGAAUCCACUUUCAUAUCUCUAGGGUUAGUCUCACCUUAUAAUGUCGACCUAUCUAGGUCCAAGCCAUUACUCAACCUAAGUUUAAUACAUUAGGUCCAAUGUCACUAUAUUCAUAGCCUAGGUUCUAUAGCACUAGGUUCAAUGUUCUUUACUACCUAGGUUCAUUUGAUUUUAGGUUCAAUGCCUAUGCUCAUAACUUAGGUUUACUUGACUCUAGGUUCAUUUCUCAACCCAUGUUCAAUGACACUAGGUUUCAUUGCCACUCAUGUUCUUAUUUUCCUAGUUGUCCAUACCUAGGAAUCAUAUUUGACAUGCCACACUUGUUGAAUUCUCUAACAACCUAGAGUUAUCGACCCAAGUUCACACUUGUAUGAAUCUAGCAUACUCUCACAUUAUGUCAACAUACAUGUGUUCUUUAGCAUUUCAUGCACAUGCAUACGUUUUUAUCAAAAUGGUAGUCAACAUACAUUUUAGCCCAUAACUCAUGCAUUCUUACUUGGCACAUAUCUCAUGCAUUCUUUAGCAUCUAUCACAUGCAUUCUUUAGUAUCUAGCUCUUAAAUUCACUUAGCAUAGAUCUUAUGCAUUUACAAUUAGCAUCUACCUCAUGCAUUCAUUUAGCAUUUAACUCAUGCAUUCAUUAAGCAUACAUCUUAUGCAUUUACAAUUAGAAUCUAACUCAUGCAUUCAUUUUAGCAUUUAACUCAUGCAUCUAGUUCAUGUUAUUUAGCAUAUGUCUCAUACAUUCAUUCACUUGGCAAUUAACUAUCACUUCAUGCAUCAAUAAUGAAACACACUUUACUUUAGCAUGGAAGCGACCUAAUCGCUUCGGUAGAGCACAACCCACCUCGCAACGCUCUCCGAUUGUUUGUCGACACUUGCAAUCGGGCUCCCGUGGCUCUCGUUGUCCGGUUCGGCUCGAAUCCUCAAUCGAUCACCGAACGCCCGUCAAUCCACGACCUAGGGUCUUCAAGGGUUCCUCUCUAACCUCCAAUUAGAGAAACCAAGGGUUAAUUUAGAUUAAAAAAACCCUUAAACCCCAAAACACUCAUCUUUAACCCUAGCAUGGCAUAAUCUCCAAUUAACCCAAAAAUCUCAUGGAGAAAACAUACUAACAAUACAUUAGAGGCUACUAGAACACCAAGUAUUAAGGAUUUAACCAAAAUCCUAACAUUUACCAAAUUACGAACCCUGAGUCGAAAGCACGCCGCUCAACCGGACGCAUGAAGACUCGAUCUGUCGCUCCACACGCGUUCCCAAGCCCGCUCUCCGCCAAGCCUCCGAAUUUGGGAGAGAGAGAUAAAGAGAGUAGGGAGAUAUCUAGAGAGAGAAAGGGAAGGUUUCUCUCUCCCUCACCAUGUGCGUGUGUGGUGUGUGUGUUCGGCUGAGGAGGAAGAAGGAAAGGGGAAGAAGCCUCUUUUUAUAGUCAACACCCCUCAACAUUAACACAAUUUCAAUUUAGCAGUUCAGAAACUGAAGUUUUUUGUCGGAGCCCUUCUGAAUGUCCGUUUGGGCUCAAAUUUGACAGUCCGGCUCGGUUUAAACUAAUAAGAAGAAAAAUAUCUUAACUUUUCAGUUUGGACCAUGUUUGGUCACCGAAAGUUCUACCGACUAGAAUCUCUAGUAGAUAGCAGUUAGAUUUUAUUCUCCACUUUUUGGGUGUCGGAAUGACAUGAAACUUUAAAUCUAGCUUUAUAAAAAUAAUUCCGGCAUAUUCUCAACUUUUUAUAAUUUUCUGACACUGUGAAUUUUCUGCUAAAAGAUUAGCCCCAUUUUUUAUAAAAAAUUCUAAAUCUUCUGUUUCCACUCCAAUUUCAGCACAAGUCGUUUCUGACUUAUAUUUACUUCUUUAAGUCCAAUAAAAGUAGUAUCUUAUACUAUUUUUAUUUACACUUACAUUUAUAUCAAGAAACCGGUGCAUUACAGAAAACCUUACAAGCACUAAGUGCUUGGUGCUUUUAAAAGCACCAUAGCCGGACUUUCUCUCUCUCUCUCUCUCUCUCUCUCUAUAUAUAUAUAUAUAUAUAUAUACACCAUAUCGUUAAAACUCAUAUAGGGUAUUUGAAGUUUUUAGCAAUAAAAUUUUAUUAUUUUUUCAACAUAGUUUACUUUACGAUCAAACCAUUUCAAAAUUGUCAAUUUUUAGUGGCUACUAUUGUGAGUUUGUAGCUUAACGGUGUAGAAGAAUCUAAAUUUAUUCAAAUUUUGGUAGAAAAUAUUUUAAACUAUCUAGAUUAAGGCCAGUAUCCUUGAUCUUGAAUUUAAAAGUCCUAUCCUCAAAUUUUAAAGAUUGUUCAAUUUUCACCAUUCAUUUGACAUGAUUUAUUAAGUAAACGCUAUCGAAAAAAAUUAAAACUUUAUUCCUAAGAAUUUCAUAUAUCCUAGAUCAUAUUUUACGGUGUGGAUCGUUGAUUUGAACACCCUAAGAUCGAAAACGAGACUAUAGUACUGGAGUUUCGGUACUAUAGAUAGUAUAGUAGCCUCAUUCUAUAUAUAUAUAUAUAUAUAUAUAUAUAUAUAUAUAUCAAGGAUUUACACUUUCCAUGGUUCAUGGUUCAUGGUUCAUGGUUCUUCGAGAGUCAUUAUAUGGAAAGGGAUAUAUUGGACCUUUUGAUUUANGCUAUGGCACGGGUUCGUGCCGGAAACUUGCCGGCACGGUGCGUGCCGGUCACAAAACAUAUAUGUGUGUCGACACAUAAUGGCAUGAAAUAUUUAUUUUCUUUAGCAACAAAAUAUGCCAAUUAUUUAUUAUAUAUUUUUAUCAAAUCUUUUGAACUUUAUUGAGAAAAUUACUUACUAAUUUAAAGAAUAUAGGGUUUUGAGUUGUGCCAUCGACAUUGGGGCUGUAUCGUGCUGAUAUCUUGCUAGCACGAUACGGCAUGGUGGAUACGGCCUGUGCCGAUAGGCACUUAUAUAUAUAUAUAUAUAUAUAUAAACACACACACACACACACACACAUAUGUAUGUAUGUUUAUAUAUCGCGGCUUUUGUUUAGAUAUCCCUGAUUACUAUUCAAAAAUUUCAAAUUUACCAUUAUGUACCCAAAAUACCCCUCUAAAUCCAAAUUCUAUUAGUAAACUCUAGGGUUUUGGGGAUAUUUGAAGGAAACUUUGGGAAGUUAGUAAGGGCAGUUUGGUCAAGCAGGGAUAUAUAUAUAUGUAUGUAUAUAUGUGUGUGUGAGCAUAUGUAUAUAUAUGUAUGCGUAUGUAUAUGUGUGUGUAUUGACGAUCCACACUGUUAACCUGAAAUGCUUUUGGAAGUAAACGGGGCAGUUUACUUUUGCGUCGUUCCUGACAAUGGAAAAUCUGAAUUGAUGAUCCACUUCGUUAUUCUUGAUCUAGGUUAUUUGAACUUCUUAAGUUUCAAAUUUGGCAAUUUUACUACACAUUUGCCUAGUAUUCGAGCGGUCUCCAAUUUAAUAAUUUUUAAUGGCUAAUGUAAAAUGAAUUUUGAGACCACUUGAUCACAAGGCAUAUAAUAUCCUAAAAUCGCAAUAUACAUACAUACAUACAUACAUAUAUACAUAUAUAUAUACAUACGUAUAUAUAUGUGUGUGUAUAUAUAUGUAUGUGUAUGUAUGUAUGUAUGUAUAGAGUCCACAUGGUAUACUAUUGAUAGUAGAUGAAUAGUGUUUACUACCUGCUUUCUAGCCCUUGGAUCAAAUAUUAUUCCAUCUACCACCACUGAACCCAAGGCAUCCAAGGGCUAAAAGCUAGAUAGCAAACACUAUUGCUCUAUUAUGUAUAGUAUUCUGGCUUUACUCUCUCUCUCUCUCUCUCUAUACAUAUACAUAGAUAGAGAGAGAGGAUAAAACACAUCUAGGAUCACCAUCUGUUUUUUGACUAAUACUAACUAUUUACCAUUGCGUUUUCUUUAGGCAAUUAUUGGAAGAGAGGCGUAUGGCGUGUUAGGUCUUAGUGGCAGUUGCUGGCCCCAGAUGGCUGGCAUGAUACCACUUUUAGGCAACAAGGUAUGUUUGUCUCUCAAUAACCUUGUAACAAUUCAUAUAUCGAGUAUUUGAGGCCAUUUCAUCUUGUUUACCAUUUUAUGUUGUUAUAAUUAAAUGCUAUGUUUAGGAUAUGAUGAUAUCAUAAAUGCGAUAGUAUUUGGUUGUUUUGAUAUUCAACUUUCUUUGUCUUUUAUGUCUCUACAGAUUACCUGAGAUGAGAAAAUUCUUAUAAUCCUCAUCUAGUUAGAAGAGUGGUCCCAUUGGGAACUGUGGAAACAUUGGAUUAGUAAUAAUAAAUCAUGGGUGCCUUUCGUUAUUAUCCAUUUAAGCUGCUGAAUUUUUACCUAUGUGGCUAGUUUAGUAUUUUUGCAUAACCCCUGGCAUCUGGAGUUAUGAUUAACUAAAUGCUGAUAUUGUAAAAUUGUGCAACUAAACUAUAAAGAGAAAGAAGCAUGUAUCCUUAACCCAUUGUUGAAGUGCCAUGUGAAAGGAAGAGUCCAAACCAAUCAGGAUUCUUGCAAAGUGAACCUGCUAAGGUUGCUGUGAACACCAUAAUCACUGUUUUGCUGCUUUGAAUUACCUGCCACGGUGCUCACCUCACUGAUAUUUCACCUGCAUACCAAGGUGCCAUACGAUGGCCACCUUGUUAGUUGGUACUCGCUCUUUGUUGUCAACAUGUUCCACUUGUUAGUUACGUUUAUUUGGAAGUGCAGCUGAAAGUAUAUUCAGGUACCUUUGCUAACUGGUCCUCUCUUUUGAUUUUAUCUUUUGUCAUCUAUUCAAUGUUUUCAGUUUGACUGGGAGGGAGAUUUACCUUUGCGUUAUCCUCAAAAGGACCUUGUGAUUUAUGAAAUGCAUGUACGUGGAUUCACAAAUCAUGACUCGAGCAAGACUGACUGUCCAGGAACAUAUGCGGGUGCAAUAGAGAAACUUGAUCAUUUGACGGUACGUAUUGCUGCUGUAAUUUUUGAUUGACUCUUUAGGUGAUUACUCUCUCCUAUUAUUUAUCUACAAUAUGAGCAUAAUUUUAUCUGGAUGUAAAUCAACAGUUUAUGAGUGAUAGUAACGGACAAGGAUGCUACUCUCUACUAGUUCCUAAGAAUCACACAACAUGAUACAUAAAAAUUAGUGCACAAGAGUAGUACUUUGGAUAUGUGCUAUUUAAUUUCAAAUGUUCCCAAACUAUUUACUAUGGUCAUUAUGUCAGCAGAACACCUUCGAUUGCUUGCAAUUCUUAGCAUUUGGAGGUGUGUUUUUUUUUUUUAAAAAAAAUCUUAUUUUUAUGUUUGGACAUUUCUGUAAUUUGACUCUAUUCUUUACAUAUUAUACUGCAAAUGUGUUCGCCACAAUUGUGUCUGCAUAUCAGCAUUUCUUUUGGAUAUUACUGGCAUUAGUAUCUGCUGUGAAACAUUGUGAUACUUUUAUUGGAAAUUCAUCUGACACCGUAUCAACAAAAGUGAGUCAUUUACUAACUUGCUUUAAUCAAUUACCUCCCAAAAGAUGAGCAAAAAUAGGACUAAGAGUCAAAAUGCUAAAGCCAUAAAAAUUUCAGGAAAUACUGAAAGAGCUACCAUGUUCAGUUUUUUGAUGUCCUUUUGUUGUUCCUUGGGUAUUAGGUGAGUCAAGAGUAUGUGAUUUGAAUCUUUUAAAAGGUAAUUUAUAAUGAGUUUUUCUAAAAUUCCUAGGAUUUGAAUGUCUAUGUCUAAUUUUUGGUACAAAGUGGACCAGGAAACUUUUGAAGUCCUUAAAAGUUGUCUACAAGAAACUUGAAUCGCAUGCUAUGCGAUAACUUGGCACUUUAUAAACCAGUGUCUUUAAUUGCAGGUUGCAUGCCCUCGCAUGCUUCCAUUCAUGUAGGCAUUGAAACAUUUGAGCGCUGGAACAUGUGUGUUAGUGGCACAUGAAGGUGUGGUGCAACAUGCUGUGAGACGUGCCAUACCAACCAGUGAGCAGAAUGCUCUUUUUGCUUCAACAAGAAAAAACCUUGCCACCUAUGAGAACAAACAUCAUAAAUCAGGAAUUAUAACUUCUGUUGGUGAUACACUAUCAUAUAUAGUAUUGUUGCUUUUCUUUAAUUUUGGUCUCAAAUAUAAUACUGCAAUUAAGUAAUGAAGGCCUUUUGAGAUUUACAGUUCUUUGCCGUAUUUGCACUAGAUUCUGGACUAUGCACUGUAUCAUGCUUAUUGUCCCUCAGUGGAAAAGUCUACAAUGUUAUAUGCUACCCAAAUGAUACCUGCAUAGUAUAUAAUUUAAUUAAUAUUCACUCUUGCUUUUUUGACUUGGGCAUUCUUCCAUUAAAAAUUGCAUGCUACUCUGACAUAUGUAAUCAUUUAUACAAAUAUCGCUUUUCAGUACUUCAGUAGCUGUGGACUUAAACUGUAGAUUCUUAUUUGGAUAACUAGAUAUUGUCGGUUAUAGUUGUUAUGAUUUUUUAUUAGUUUCAAUGCUUAUUCUCAGUUGACCAUUUAAAAAAUUGACAGGAGCUUGGAGUAAAUUGUAUAGAGUUAAUGCCUUGUCAAGAAUUCAACGAGCUGGAGUACUUCAGUGACAACUCAGUAUUGGGUGAAAAUAAGUAUGUGACUUGAUCUCUGCUGCAAUUUACUUUAUGCAUGAACUUAACAAUGAAGGAUCAUUCAUAUUGGUCUUGAUAGUAAAUUCCUCUCACGAAUUAAAGAUGCUACUUAAACCAGAAUGUGUAGUACUACAUUUUCUCCAUAUAUUCAUUCUGUGUAAUGACAUCUAUCUGUUCCUAUUGGGCAUUCGUAGUAAAGUUUUGCAUAUGAACCAGAACCUUCUAUAUACAACAAAAAGCCCAUUAAUUGUAUCUCAAUUUUCUCUAACAUCUUGCAAUACUUUUAAGGGUAUUUUUGCUCUCUUCUCAGGUUAAAUUUCUGGGGAUACUCAACAAUAAACUAUUUUUCACCAAUGAUAAGAUAUUCAUCAACCGGUAUAAGCAAUUGUGGACGUGACGCAAUAAAUGAAUUCAAAAUGUUUGUUAGAGAAGCUCAUAAACGAGGCAUUGAGGUAAUUAAACAAGGCAUUAAGCUAAUGCAUCUUUUCGUGCAUAGUAGAAUAUAUCUUGUUAUUAGUUAAUGAUUCUUCUUAAUCUCUUAUAGGUGCUCUUGGAUGUUGUUUUCAACCACACAGCUGAAGGGAAUGAAAAUGGCCCUAUACUAUCGUUUAGAGGGAUAGACAGCAACACUUAUUAUAUGCUUGCACCUAAGGUAUGGCUGUUGCUCAAUUUGCUAUAGUUUUAGGAUAUCAGACAUGUCAAGGACUAUUGUUCUUAUGUUCUUUUACUUAAUUUGAUCAACAGAGGGUCAGAUUUUCCCUCAUUUCAUUCUCUUGUUUAUGCAAUUUUAACAACAUUUUUCUUGGAUAGUAUUGCAUUUUCUUCAAUAUUGAACGAACUUAUUUGUUAAGCUUUAGACAUUCUUUUUUCCUGCAGGGUGAGUUCUAUAAUUAUUCCGGUUGUGGAAACACCUUCAACUGUAAUCAUCCUGUUGUCCGUCAAUUUAUAGUUGAUUGCUUAAGGUAGAGACUUGUGAAUUUAUGCGAAAAUUUAAAUCUCUUCUUUCAAUUAUCUGUUUAACUUUAAAAAACCUUUUGUCUUGAAAUGUUUAAGUUCAUAGCAUUUGAAGGCUUAUAUCUUCCUGAAAAAGUUUCAUUUAUUGCCCAGUGCAAACUAAGAUGAUGAUAAACCUUCAAUAUAUAAGAUAAUAACAACAAACUAAAAACACAUAUAAUAGUUUCGAAAGGUAAAUUCGGCUUUAUCGGAUUUUAAACUUUUAGAUUUGGUUGUUUGGCAAAUAUGGUUGGUAAUGGAGGUGAGCUAGAUUGAAAGGGAUAAUAUGAUAUCGCGAGAUGAGAGAUACAAAAAGUACACCGUUCAUACAAUUGCGGGGGAUCCACGAUCGAUGAGAAGGGCGGUACAUCACGAGUAGAACUUCGGCAACGGGAAAGAAAAAGAUGAGGGGUAGAAGUAGAAGCCGAUCUUAUCACGUGGAAGAAGCGACAACGAUCAAGUUGAGGAAGAAGCGAUCUCGGCGUGAGGAAGAAGCGUCGAUGAUCUCACUGGGAAGUAGAACAUCAUGGAUAAAGAACAAGAUUAGAAAUUUCUAUUUAUCAAAAAAUAUCCCCUCAAGGCUUCAAGAACUAUGCAUUUAUAGUGUUGAGAGCCUUUCUAUAAUAAAUUGUUGUCCUUUUGUUUUCAACACAACACAGUUACCCAAGGUCAUGCAUAGAAGACGAAGCAAUUGUGGGGAAUUCCAAAGGCCUUUUUGGGGUUGUUUCUUUGUUUAUUGGAGAAAAGGGUUUGGGUUAGCGAAAUCAACUAAAACUAAUGGAUUAAGUCCAAAUCAAAUACGAACCUACAAAAUAAAAGAAAGUUGCAUUCAAAAAUAAUAUAGAGGUUUAUUUGCUACAUCCGUUCUCCUUAAGUUGGAGAAAUCUCGAUUUUGUCGAGAUGGCAUUCUCAUAGCUCUCGUAUAAGUUCUCUCGAAGUUGGCACUAGUUCACCUAAAAAAUCCAACUGCUAUCAGACAAUGGUCGUCUACGCCAAUGCACCAAGUAUUGGCGAUGGGUACCACGUUGCGUCGUAGACUCGCGCACAUCCAGAAUAUCCUCCACACCAUCUGAUGGUGUUUCAAUGUCGGAGCGAGAUGUCAAGUCAUCAAUAUCGACAGUAGAGAGGGCCUCUCCAUGGUACUCAUUUAGCUCGCUGACAUUGAAGAUCGGAGACGUCGGUACUUUCGGGGGUAGAUCAAUUAGAUAAGCAUUUUUCCCUAAUUUCUUCAGAAUUUUGAAUGGCCUGUACUUUCUCCUGCUUAGCUUGCUAUAGCCUACAACUGGGAAACUUUCUUUUAAAAAAUAGAUUAAGACAUUAUUUCCUUCAUUAAAAGUCAUACCUUAGCGAUCUUUAUCCGCUGACUCCGUGUACUUGACAACGAAAUACCGCAACCUCUGGUGAACAUGUUGUUGCACCUCUUGAAUCUGUUUUAAGUACUAGUCGGCAUCUCCAGCUGGGAACCUUUCUUUCCUAAAAUAGAUUAAGACAUUGUCUCCUUCAUUAAAAGUCAUACCUCAGUGAUGUUUAUUCGCUGACUCCUUGUACUUGACAGCGGAAUACCGUAACCUCUGGUGAACCUGUUGUUGCACCUCUUGAAUCUGUUUUAGGUAAUAGUCGGCAUUUGCACUAACUCUACCAGCGUAAGGUAUUGGUGCUCGGUCAAGAAAGUGGGCUAUAGGAUGACCAUAUAAAGCUUCAAAAGAAGAUUUUCCAAUGGUUCGGUUUAUGGAACUGUUAUAAUCAAAUUCAGCUUGAGGUAAGAUUAAAUCUCAUUGUGUUGGUUUUUCUCCAGCUUAACAUCUUAAGAGAUUACCUAAAGAUCGAUUUACUAUUUCUGUCUUCCCGUCAAUUUGUGGAUGAUAAUGGGCUACUAAAAUUCAAUUUUCUUCCCGCUUUUUUCAUUUAAGUUCUCCAAAAAUGACUAACAAAUUUUGUAUCUCGAUUAGAGGUAAUUGAUUUAGGAAUGCCAUGUAAAUAUACAAUUUCAUUGAAAAAUAAUUUUGCAAUUUGUGAUGCAUCAGAAGUUUUCUUACAAAGAAUAAAAUGAGGCAUUUUCGUAAAACGAUCAACAGUCACAAAAAUUGAAUUAGCUUGGCGUGCAGUCUUGGGUAGGCCUAGGACAGUCUAUGGUAAUAUCCUCCCGGGCAUAGUGGGAAUGGGCAGGGGAGUAUACAAACUAGUAUUUUGAGUUUGUCCUUUAAAUGAUUGACAAGUUUUACACUGCUGAACAAACCUUUCGACGUCCUUACUCAUGUUAGGCCAAUAAUACCGUUCUUGAGCUAAUCCCAAAGUUGUCUCUCGAAAUAUCCCCCUAGCUCGCUACUAUGCAAAUUUUGAAUCAAGGACUCUCUUAACCAUCCCUGGGGAAUGCACAACGUGGACUUUCUGAAAAGGUAUCCGCCGUCCAAACAGUAAUUAGAAAGUGAGUCAUUGUUAGGAGAUAGAUACUUUUCUAGAAUAGGACCGAAGUUCGGGUCAUUUUGAUAUCGGUUCUUUACUAUCUCAAAUCCUACUAUCUGUAAGGAAGAAGUGAUAGGCAAAUGGUUUCGACGGGUGAGUGCAUUAGCGAUACGAUUAGCAAUGCCUUGUUUAUGCCACAAAUGAAAAGUGUAUUCUUGCAGGAAUGCAGUCCACUUGGCAUGUAUUUUGUUCAAGUUCUUCUGAGAAUUUAAAUAUCGCAAUGCUUUAUGGUCUGAAUUAAGAAUAAACUCUCGAUGAAUCAAGUAGGGUCACCAGUGUUUCAAAGCUUGCACGAUCGCGUAAAAUUCAAGAUCAUAAGUAGAGUAACGCGCUCGUGCAUCAUUCAAUUUUUCGCUAAAGAAGGCUAUAGGACGUUUCUCUUGAGAUAGUAUGCCUCCAAUUCCGAUAUGUGAGGCAUCACAAUCAAUCUUAUUAAAUCAAACACUUUUUCGAAGUCGGGAAAGGCAAGUACUGGAGCCUUUGUAAGUUUGUCCUUAACCAAUUGAAAACUUUUUUUAGCUUCAGAUAUCCAAGUAAAUUUAUCCCCUUUUAGGCAAUCAGUUAUUGGCGCAAAUAAUGAAUUGAAAUUUCGAAUGAAAUGCCAAUAAAACGAUGCAAAUCCAUGGAAACUUCGGAUUUUAGUUAUGGUCUUUGGGGUUCGCCAACUCUGCAGUGCUUCUAUCUUAAUAGGAUCUACUUUAAUUCCCUCUGCAUUGCUUCUAUCUUAAUAGGAUCUACUUUAAUUCCCUCGGUGGACGCCAUGUAGCCUAAGAAGGUAAGGCUAUUGGUCAGAAAUGUACACUUUUUAAGAUUCAAGUAUAAGUUGUUAUCUCUUAAAGUUUGAAGCACUUGGCUUAAAUGAUCUAUAUGAGUCUCAGGACUUGUGCUAUAAAUCAGAAUGUCGUCGAAGUAAACUACGACAAAUUUUCCAAUGAAUGGUCGUAAGACUUGGUUCAUAGAGCGCAUGAAAGUACUAGGGCCAUUGGAUAACCCAAACGGAAUAAUCGGCCACUCGUAUAAUCCUUCUUUAGUUUUAAACGUUGUUUUCCAUUGAUCUCCAGAUCGAAAAACGGAUUUGAUGAUAUUCGCUCUUAAGGUCAAUCUUAGAAAAUAUCUUCGCACCUCUUAACAUGUCAAGCAUAUUAUCAGUCCUAGGAAUAGAAAACCUAUACUUGAUAGUAAUUUUGUUAACUGUUCGAUUGUCAACACACAUACGCCACAUGCCAUCCUUUUUUGGCGUAAGGAGGGCAGGCACCGCGACAGGGCUCAUACUUUCUCUAACGUAACCUUUUUGCAGAAGUUUAGAGACCUGCCUAUGUAACUCUUUGUGUUCAGUGGGACAUCCUAUAAUGGGCUAGGUGUGGAAGACUAGUACCAGGUACAAAAUCAAUACACUGUUGAAUGUCUCUUCUUGUCAUGCCCCGGGGUCCCUCAAAGCCUACGGAUUAGCGAAAAAUGCCCAAUUUUUUUUUUUUUUGGAACCUUGACCCCAGGGAAUGACAGACCAGCCACAAAUAUAGAGAAUCCACUGUACACACGGACAGAGUCUCUCCUAUAUUUGCACAGCGUCGCAAAGUACAAGUUACAACCACAACCAAUCACAACAGUGCAUUCACCACAAUACAGUAUAUUUAUAUCAUAAAUAAUCCACAUCUAUCAGUUGAAAGUAUUUUCUACCCCGAAACUCAUUUUGAAAUAUUAAAAUCACGAAAAAGUUGAAAACCUUUUAAAAACUGUUUCCCACGCGGACUUCCAACUUGGGAUUCACAGCUAGGAAAACCUUUCCUUUCCUAUUUCUUUCUCGAAAGAAAUGUAAGAAAACCCCCCUCUAUAGUGAAUGCCUAGCUGACGAAUUUUAAAUUAAAAACGAGAUACCACGAGGGGUAGAAAAUUAUUUUCAUAAUUCCACACAAUGUUCACAAAACAUCUUUAUUUAAUAUUCCAAACUGUGUCAUAAGCAAAGUAAAACCAAAACAAAACCAAAUAAAGCUAAACUGAGCCACAUAAAGUCUAAAUUAUUUAUCAAUAGAAAAAGGGGGUGAAAUCUAGAAUCGAAAAUGCCACCAAGUCGGGACCUCUAUCACUCGCUAGCUUACCUGGAAUUGGGGGGGGGNGAAAACCUUUCCUUUCCUAUUUCUUUCUCGAAAGAAAUGUAAGAAAACCCCCCUCUAUAGUGAAUGCCUAGCUGACGAAUUUUAAAUUAAAAACGAGAAACCAACAAGGGUCUCCCAGUGGAUACAACAAGCCGACGAGGGAGAGUGUACUCACUUGUAACCAAAAGAACAGGUAUGAUAGGUAAUACAGUAGCAAAGUAAAAGAUGAAAUAAGAUAUAUGUACAACUACCGCUCCUGUAAGUAAAAUGCAUCAAUCGGACAAUAGUCCCAAAGUACCUAAUUCAGAUCCGCCGUGUCGGUCUAAAGACCUCAGGCAAGUGCCAUGCCACUCUAAAUAGCAUAUAACCCUAGCAAUAAGCUCCUGGGCUCACGGGUCGGAAGUUCAACCGCUUUUUCGAAAAAGAACACUGUUGCAGUGGCCAAACCGUUGGUAUACGUGAAAUGCGUAUGAGCAAUGGCGAUCGAUGCAAAUAUGAUCAAUAGCCGUUGGCAAGUAGCCAACAAUCAAACCCCUUAGGGUAUACCGACCGAAUGGAUCAUCGAACCACGAGAGUCAUAGAAUCGACCAAUUAGGUCACAUGGAUGUCACAAAUCCACGGAUAUAGUAAACAACCGCUCUACUUCUAGAUCAUAACAAGAUAAUAUGAAAAUAACUAAGUAGAGCAACAUGCAAUGGGGUCGUAUGGUGUCAGGCUCAUCAAUCACAAGUAAUGCAAGAAAUAUAGAAAGAGGUGGAGAGAACAUCAUCGACCGUGCACCACUAGACCGACUUCGGAUCGAAGUACCCACCUGAAUCUCUGUCGCGUCUGCCCCUAAGAUGCGCAAAAUCGUCAAUUGGACUUACGAAGGGUCCACAGGGUCAGAGUCCAACCCACUGGCUCAAAACUCAAUACUCACAAACCCCACGAUUUCCCACGGAGUCGGUUUCCAAAAAACCGAUCACGUAACUCGUUAGAAGUCCCGAAAAUCACACCAGGAUGCUGCCAAGACCCAUGAAGUGUCCCGGAACACACCGACACAAGCCACGAGUUACCCGCUGACCCGAAACACCGAUUUGGGUGUCUCGACAGCGAACACAAUAUCUCACGUCAAAACGAUUAUUGUCGGAUAAUCGUUUCGAUUCGGGUUCCCAGAAGUGUCAAUUUCGACACCGGAACUCUCUGUCGCUCACUCGUCGUCUCCGAACACUCGAUACGAGGUAGAGGGCCAGCCAACAAGGCUCAGCGGCAAAACCUAAGGCAUUCCAACAGCGUCGGAUGAAAUCUGAAUUGAAAUCGCGUUCCGUCGGCGGAUUUCGCCGAAAAAUGCAUAAAACGGGAAUUUGAUCUUCACAGAAGGUUUCGGACCUUGGACGAUCAGUCCAGAGGUCACCUACCAUGAAUACAUGCUACCCACAGCAGCCACAAGCCAACAAAUUAUAUAAAAACCCCUACCACAAACCCUAAUUAUGAUAUUACAUGCAUAAUGAGAGAGUUUAGGGAUUUGUACCGCUUUCCGUGCACCUUGGAGGUUAGCCGAUGUAUGGGCCGACAGGUAUCGGCGAGGCGAAGGCCGUGCUCACAGUCCGGAGCAUAGAAAACUACUGAAGAGCGAGUGGGAGCAAGAUGAAUGUCAGCGAAGAAUGUGCCCCCGGGAGCGACGAAGGCGAAACCAAUGAUUCGGGCCUCGCCAGCAGCGAAAUAAGUGAGCACGAUGAUCAACGUAGUCCAGGGUCAUCAUGCUCCUCCGGAGGCAUCGAAUCAGCCCCAGGUCGCCGAAACAGUGAAAACAACCCAAAAAGGCCCUAACCGGGCUUGCUAGGGCAGAGGGGCCAAGGCCCGGCCGGCAGCAGCAGGUGUGCCGACCACAAGGGGGUGCGGUCGAUAGGAGAGGGUUGGUGCUCGCCUUAGCUGGCGGCGGCACGCGAACAACCCAAGCCCACACGAGUUAGGGCUGUGGUUCAGCUCCCUUCUUCGGCCACGGUGACGGCUAGGGUUGUCGGGGGAGGGCCGCGAGCCUCCUAUGGGAUCGAGAGGGAGGAGAGGAGGUGGCUCACGGUGGCGGCAGAGGCGCGUAGCUCGGCGCGGCUGCACCUGCCCAGGAUGGCAGCAAGCUUGCAGUAGUCGCAGCGGCGGCUGCAGCUGCGGCCAGCGGAGAAAGGUCGCUGGGGGUCCAGGGUGAUGCUGGAAGGGAGCCUCGAAGGUGAGGGAGCACCCUGCUCUGCCCUCGGCAGAGAAGGAGAGGGGGGCAGUUGUGGAGGUGAUGGAGAGGAAGGUGAUGAUGGUGCUGGCGGCGUUUGGCCGGCUGGAGCACGGUCGCCGGCGGCCGGGAGGCGUGGGGCGCGCACAAAGGGAGGGGAGGCGGUUGUCUCAGUUUGGAGGAGGUAGGUGUUACGGUUAGGGUUUGUGGAGAAGAAACCCUAAAUCCAACCUAUAUAGCAAGGUGUCAUUUUGCAGAAAACACCCCCCAAACCUCCAAAUUUACAGCCGAGCCCUCCACAGCACGUGUAAAACGCGCGUACGCACCUCUAUGUGUGAUCUCGUGCAAUUCGGUACAUAAAAUAUAGGGGGUUUUGCGAAAACUUCGUUUUGCCAAAAUCGACUCCUUAGUAAUCGCGGGAUUACCAGAUAUCCGUCCGUUGAAUUUGUGAACGGACUGCGCCAGCACUUCCGGCACUGUCGAACCAUAGAAACCAUAAUUUUGUUUCGCCUGAAUCGGUCGCGGAUUCGCGAUAAUUCCAUCCUCUCUCCGUCUCUACCAACAAUCACAACAUAUAAACAAUAAAAUUUAAUUUAAAUUCAAUUUCAAUUUUGAAUUCUCCUAUUUAAUAAAGUCUCAGAUAUUACACUUAUAGUUGGAAGGCCAUCGGGCAGUUCCUUAAGCAUGAUAUCAGAAAAUUCAUUCAGCAAUGGUUGAACAGCCUGAGGAACUUCAGUGUUCUUAGAUAUUUCUUUUGCCAAAAGGAUAUGUACCACUGGGGACUUCGCUAGAUCUUUAGAUAAUUGGCUUUUGUUCAAACCAUCAUUUUUUGUUCAUUACUGGAGGGUUGCUUUUGGGACUUGUCGAUUUAGACUUUGGUUUGGGUAAAUAAUUUAGGGGAACCAAUCUAACUUUCUUAUUGUCCUUCGUGACAAUGUAAGUGUUCUCCCUAGCAUCAUGUAUAGUGCUAUGAUCAAAUUGCCAAAGUCUACCUAACAAUAGGUGACUAAUGGGAACAACGUCACACCGAACUUAAUUAGUAUAAGUCUUCCCAAUAGAAAAUUCAACAAGACAUCGUUGUGUUACUGGAAACUCAUCCCCAUCCUUAAACCAAGCUAUUUUGUAAGGUUGAGCAAGUUUUUUAGUUUUUAGUUUGAGUUUAUCAACCAUUUCUCUAGAGACAAAGUUUUCAGUACUUCCACUAUCAAAUGACCGGAGAGCAGAACUUACCUCCUGUGCUACAGAUGGUUUUAAAAAGGCUAUGACGCUUCCAAUCAUCUUGGGUAGACUUAGAGGCUGAUAGGACUUGAUGGAUCGUGAGAUUUGUUUCAGUAGCAUCGGGAGAUUCUUUAGAGAUCUCAUCGACAUCUUGUUCUGCAGUUUCUUCCGCAUUUUCAAUUUCUUCCUAUGUCUAGAUUUGUUACAUUUAUAACAAAUGAUGCCCGAUUCAGCGGGUUUUGCACCUAAAAUUCCUUUGCCCUUAAGGUCUUGAACAGGUCUUGAAGAGGUUUGACUGUUGUUCUUUGAGAUAGCCUUGGUUCCUGUGGUGUUCCUUAUACUCGCACUUCUCUAACGAAAGGUUUGUCUUUUAAGUUUAUUCUUAGCCUUAAGUGCAUGGCUAUAAGCCAUGUCGACUCUAUAGAAAGUUAAAAGGGCUAACUCAUCUUGGAUUUGUGUUCAAAGACCGGCUAGAUAGCGAGCUCUUCGCUCUUCUUCCUUUUCUUUAAGUUCAUUACGAGCUUAAAGGGUGUAAAAUUCUUUAGUAUAUUCUUGUACCGACUUAGACCCUUAUUUAAGGUUGUGUAAUUUUUGAAAACUAGUUUCACGAUAAUCAAUCGGUAAAAAUUUGCCUUUUUCUUUCAUUCUUUUCCAUGAGAUAAUCUUUUCUUUUUCCUUUCUAACCCUGUCGUUUUGAACUUGUUUCCACCACACUAAGGAGUGUCUUUUCAAUUUAAGGGAGACAAAUUUAACUUUUUGUCAUCAGGUAAUUCUUUCCAUUUAAAAAAUUAUUCUAUUUUGUCUAGUCAGUCCACAAAUUCUUCAAGUUGUAAUUUACCCUCAAACUCACUCACGUCCACUUUAAUGCCCUGAUCCCAUCGAUGUAUAUUUCCUUGAUUUUGAAAAAAGGAUUUCUAGCAGGUAAAGUACGAUCGUCAAAAUCAGUGUCACUUUUUGGAUCUUCUCCUACCAUAUUUUGUUGUUGCAUAGUUAAUCUUUCUAAUAGUUGUUGAAUGUUAUUCAUUUAAUUUUGUAUGCUUUUUAUGAAAUCUUAUUGUUUCUCAUACGCUUCUCUCCAAUCACGAGGAUUUUCACGAUUGUCUGCCAUUACCAAAUGUUGACAAGUUGAUUGAUGAAGUGAUUUUUUUUUCUUUUUUUUUUUUGGAAAUAUUUUGGCCCAAAAAAAGAACAAGAAAAACAAAGUUGAACACCAGAAUAAAAUUAUCUAGAUCAGAACAAACAUUUCCACGAAAAGAAAUUGCUCUGGUACCAAUUGAUGCAAACGGAGAGGUUUGCCAGAAUUGAAUUUUGAAGUUUGCUUUUGUUUAAAGGUAUUUCUUGAAAUAAACUAGGUUCAAUUUAUCGAUUUGGACGAACUUUACUAUAAUUAAAACAAGGAAGCAAAAAUUUCAGCAAGAGAAAAAUUAAAAUCGAAUUGAAGCAAUACUUAGAUGAUGAUAAACCUUCAAUAUAUGAGAUAAUAACAGCCAAUUGAAAAUACAUAUAAUAGUUCCAAAAGAUAAAUUCGGCUUUAUCGGACUUCAAGCUUUUAGAUUUGGUUGUUUGACAAAUAUGAUUAGUAAUGGUAAAGGACUAUAUUGAAAGGGAUAAUAGGAUAUCAGGGGAUGAGAGAUACAAAAAGUGUAUUGUUUACAUCAUUGCGGGGGAUCCAUGAUAGACGUGGAAGGCGGUACACCACAGGUAGAACUUCAGCAACGGGGAAGAAGAACAUGAGGCAGGGAUCCGGAAGAAGAGGAGGGGUAGAGAUAGAAGCUGAUCUUGUCAUGAGAAAGAAGCAACAACAAUCAAGUUGAGGAAGAAGACGAUUUCAACGCGUGGAAGAAGGUAUCGAUGAUCUCACUGAGAAGUAGAACACCAAGGAUAAAGAACAAGAGUAAUUUUUAUUCAUCAAAAAAUAUCCCCUCAAGGCAUCAAGAACCAUGUGUUUAUAGUGUUGAGAGCCCUUCUAUAACAAAUUGUUGUCUUUUCGUUUUCAACACAACACGGUCACCUGAGGGUCAUGCAUAGAAGACAAUGCAAUUUUGGGGAAUUCCAAAGGGUCUUUUGGAAUUGUUUCUUUGUUUAUUGGAGAGAAGGGUUUGGGUUAGCCAAAUCAAUUGAAACUAAUUGAUUUAAGUAUGAAUCGAGCACGAAUCUAUAAAAUAAAAGAAAGUUCCAUUAAAAAAUAAUAGAGGUUUAUUUGUUGCAUCAUUAUUUAAGAUUGGAUUGGGCAGGAUAAUAUAAGACGAUUGUGUGAUGCUUUGCUUCCUGGGGGGGUAAGCCAGUCUAGAACUAAUCUCGCCCUAGACUCAAUCUACUCUCUCAAGCUGUUGGGUUUAACCACUGCCCAAAAUGUUAUAGUCAGGUUAAGAUGUUUAGCCUUAAUAUAGGACUAUUCCAUAUUCUAGAGUUGUCACAGAUUGGGAGUUUGGAACUAAGAUUGGAUUGGGCAAAUGAUUAUCCAGUCCAGUGUUUGAUGUUUCUAUAUAACGUAUAGUAUUUCAUCAUUUAAUAAAAAUUCAAAUUUAUGCCUAAACUCGAAGUCAUAAUUUAAUUUUUUAAUUUAAGUUGAGAUAUUUAAGUUUGUAUUCAAAAUUUGAAAUUUUAAAUUGAAUUCCAAAUUUGAGUUUAUUAUUUAAAUUUAUAAUUUGAAUUCAAAAUCUGAAUUUGAAUUUACAAUUUGAAAAUUGAAUACAAAUCUAGAUAUGAAUUUGAAUUCAAAUUUUGAUUUGAAUUUAUAAUCAAAUUCAAAAUCUGAAUAUGAAUUUGAAAUUCAAAUUCAAUAUUUGAACUUGAAUUUGAAACUUAAUUCAAAAUCUAAUUUGAAUUUGUAAUCCAAAUUCCAAAUUUAGGUCUUGAAUUUGAAAUUCAAAUUCCAAAUUCAGAUUUUGAAUUUAAAAUUUGGAAUAAAAUUCUGAAAUUGGAUUUUAAAUUGGAAUUCAAUAUCUGAAUUUGAACUUCAAAUUAAAUACAAAAUCAAAAUUUGAAUUUGAAAUUAAAUCGAAAAUCUAAAUUUUAAUUUGAAAUUCAAAUUCGAAAUCAAAAUUUAAAUUAAAAUUCAAACCCAAGAUCAAAUUUGAAUCUAGAAUUAGAAUUUUAAUUUUGAAAUUCGAAUCCAAAAUUAAAAUUUGAAUUAAAAAUUCUUACUUUGAAUUUGAUGUUGAAUCUAAAAUAUACUUUAAAUUUGAAAUUUGAACUGAAAAUAUUACUUUGAAUUUAUGUUCACAAUUAAAAUUGAAAUCAUGCAAUUGGCAUUAUUAUUUUAAACUCAAAUCACGGAGUAAAAUGCCUUGAAUGCUGAUCCAGUCCAAUUUAAUCCCAAUGCCUUAGGUGAGAUUAAUUAGUCCCACUGGAGGAGCUAUUUGUUGGAGGGAAUUAAUUUAGUCCAAUCCGGUGAAUACACCAAACAUUGGAUUUCUAAUGGUGGACCGGAUUAUUUUGAGUCCAAUACUCUCCUAAUUCCAUACUCCAAAGAUACCCUUGGAGAGUCAUAAUAUUCUCAUACUGUUCAGCUAUCUUAGACAAUUAAUUUUGGAUACUGCAGUUUAUAACAAUCUUUUCGUUCUCAACAUGGCUUUUACUUGUCUGCUGCAGAUAUUGGGUGAUUGAAAUGCAUGUUGAUGGCUUUCGCUUCGAUCUAGCUUCUAUUAUGACCAGAAGCUCUAGGUUAUUCCCCUUUAAUUUUCAUCGUUCCUUCUUUAUAUUUGAAGAUCUUGUGUUUUCCUCUUGGCGAACUUGAAGAUCUUGUGUUUUCCUCUUGGCCUUUUUAUUUAUUAUUUCUAUUUUUGAAGCUUAUGGGAUCCGAUUAACGUAUAUGGAAAUUCAAUAGACUUGAUAACAACUGGGAGCCCUCUUGGUAAUCCGCCACUCAUUGACAUGAUUAGCAAUGAUCCAGUCCUCAAUGGUGUAAAGGUAACUUUUCAACUGAUAAUAUAUUCACAUUGUUUUUUUUUUUUUUUUUUGAGGAAAACAUUGUUCAUUAAUUUACUGACAUUUAUUUCUUUAAUCUGGUGAAAAUAACUGGAAAUUUAUUAUUUGAAGAAAUCAUGGUUCCUGUGUCCUAGGUUUUAUUUCCUUCAUUAUUUCAAUUAUUUCUACUUGCUCAUUUUUUCUCUUUAAAUCAUCAAUGGACUCUUUCUGAAGUAAUUUGAGAUUAUACAUUACUAGAUACUGCAUCACUAGAUAGAGAUCAUAAUAUGCUAUCUAAGAUGUCAUUGGAAAUGAUCAACUGAUUUUUUCCCCCUGCUUUGACUGUUGAAUAGCUCAUUGCUGAAGCAUGGGAUGCCGGAGGCCUUUAUCAGGUGGGCAGUUUUCCUCAUUGGGGCAUCUGGUCUGAAUGGAAUGGGCAGGUUAGAAAUAUCACUGUGAAGCUAACUUACUAACAUGUUUGUGAAAUUAAGAACUUCCAGUGCAUGUUUAAUAACAUAAGCAUGCUUUGUUUUUCUGUCCUUUACUUGUUGAUGUGCAGUAAUGGUCAUGGGGAAUUUGUAGUUCGACCUUGUAGUUUGAUAAUCAAUUUGUUAUGAAUCUUAUGAUUUCUUAUGUUUAACUGGAUGACAAAUUAUGAAUUAACUGCCCAUAAUUCACUAGACAAGGAACGUCCACCUUCAGAUAUAUGAGCUUACAUGAGUUGUAAAAGACUUGAAAUCUCACAGAACUCUGUUGGUCCCCAGGGGUAAAUUAGAGAGGAAAAUCAAGAAAGAAAGCAAAUCUUAGAUAGCAUGAAGAAAUCAUUAUAUAUGAAUGUGAAUUGGUCAUUUAAUCCCAUUUGAAGAACAUAGUAGAGUAAAAGACUAGUAGCCUAUGUGUCACGGAUGCGAGAGUAUUCCUUGUGCAUCCGCAUUGGACGCAAGUACGAUGCAGGUGCGCCAAGGACACGCACUCGAAGCGCAUCCAUGGUGCGUUUCUUUUUUUUUUUUUAGAAAAAAAGUGCGCUGUCACUGUGUCGCGACAAGUGGGUUUAACCUGCACCCAUUAAGGAAAAACAAAGAAUGGUUUCGUGUGAAAUUUUAAAAGAAAUUCACCUACCCUCCUCUCAUCUAUCUCCAAGCUCCAACACAACCUUUCUCUCCCUCCCUCUCUCUCUCUCUCUCUCUCUC